ACAUUUUGGAACAAAAGGAUGUUCGCACACAUACUUGGAACAAUGAGAAUCAUCUUUGCACCUCAUCCUUGCAAUUUCUGUAAUAUAAAAGAUAAGAAACAAAUAUUACUAUUAAAAGUGGUGAAUUAUUUUGUAUAAGAUAAACAAUAAAGCUCAAAAGGAAUAAAAAAUAUAUUUACCACUAGCAUCAACUACAACAAGAAAUAAGAAAAUUAAAAAGAUCACUAAAUAAACGAACUUAAAAAUUUGAGACAUAUUUUUCUCCUAUAGAAAUGUUUAUAAAUGUACUAUGUUUUGUUUAUUUGUUUCAAUUUUUUGCACUUAUAUAUCUUAAAAAAAAUGUAUCAUAGGUGAUCAAUUUUUCAUUUUUGCCUAUUUAGCUCGCUCAAUAGAUAAGGACAAUCCUUUCAUUAUUUUCCUUUUUUUAAUGUCUAGCCUUUUAUGAUGUAUAGGGGCAAAACUAAAAAACAACAAAAAAUUUAAUUGACAUAAAAAAGAGAUUUCUUGCAUGUUUGCAUCUUUUAUUUAUAUUACAAUAUGUUUCAAUCACAAAUUGAUGUGUUAUUUCAGUGAAAAGUCAUGUAAUUUUGGGUGUUUGAAGCAUCAUAAUUCAUAAUAAUAUAAUAUGCAGCGUCUAGAGAGUUUCAUUUUUCUUUUCUAAUAUCUGAAUGAAAUAUUUUUUCCUUUUUUAAUGCAUAUAUUUGAUUAGAGGUGGACAGUGGUGAAGCCAAAAAAUUUAUAAAAUCUGGACAACUUAGUAAAUGUUCGGGCUUGCUGGACGGUGGAAUCGCGCCUGAUUAAAGGAGAACAAUGUCAAGGUAAACAUGCCCCAGAAGAUAAAGCUAUCACAAGAGAAUUGAAGCUACUUGUUCAACAUGACAGUUUUUUUAAUAUAAAAAUUAUAUAUUUUGUUGUUUGACCGAAAUCAUGGGUGGAUUGUGUAAAACCUUCAUAAAACCUCCAGAUGCAGUACAACAAUCUAUUGUACGUAGAUCGACAUUAAAAUUUUCCAACAAUAAAAACACAUCUUAUCUUAUAAAAUAUAUACAAUCAUAAUUUGUAAAAAAAAAAAAAUACAAUCAUAGUCCCUUCUAAAAAUACAAGCCUAUUUGCUUACAAUUCAUUAAUUAAGUGAUAAAACUAAAGUAGUUAAUAACUACCAAACAUGUACAUUAGGCAUAGAAGUCCAAGCACAAUAAGCACAAACUAACUUCUGAGAAAUGUACACAUAAACAGCAAAAGAAAUACUCAUUAAAAACAAAUCUUUCCAAUCACCCUUUUGUUGUUGUGGACUUAAAUUAUUCAUCUUCUCUUGUGACUUAUUCUUCCCAAUUAUCUUCUCAAAAUCAUUCAAAAUAACUUUCCAUUUCAACAAUGGUACCUUCCCUUUUCCACCUCCUCUUCCAAUAUCUUUCUUUUCUUCAUUAUUGGAGUUAGAGAUAUUUAAUGCUCUUCUACUUUGACAAGAUAUUGGAACAAUAGGUGCCCUUAAUCUACAAAAAGAAUAGCCAAUAAUUAGAGAUGCCAUAGAUGAAUUUUUUUGUUUAUUGGAGUAGGAAUUGUAUUAUUAAUUUGAAGUCAACAUAUGUAGAUAAAAUAAAAUAGAUAUAGAUGUCACUUUAUGACUACUAAAAUGUUGGAACUCUAUUUUUUCAUUACUAAGAUGAAUUAUUGUACCUUAGAUAUUUUGAUUAAAUGGAUUGGUUGAUGGAUAAGGAGUCUAUUAUUGACCUUGGACAUUGUGUGGAGGAGACACGAUAUAAUGAGAGAAUAUAAAAUAGAAUUUUUCCCGUAAAAAAAAUAAUAAAAUAGAUUUUUUUUCUUUCAUAAAUAAAAUUAAGAGAAUUCUUUAAUCAAUUAUUUAGAGGAAAGUGGAGAGAGCUUUAGAUUGUUAACUGUUGAGUCUAUAUUAUAAAAUAUAUUUGAUGUUUUACAAAAAUUAAAAAUUUUAAAAAAUUUAUUAUUGAUUUUAAAAAAUAUUUUAUAGUAUCUGUAAUUUAAAUGAAAAAGGUAAGUCAUCUCCUCUCCUUAAAAAAUUUUCAUCCAAACAUAUCCAAUAAUUAAGACACAUAAAUCAUGUCAAUCAUCACACUUUUUAAAUAAAUAAAGACAUGUAUGUAAGGCUUAACUUGUUUGACGAUGUUGAAAUAUUUAAGUUGGAUACUUUUAACCAUUAUCCGGGUUCGAACCUGAAAUUCCUUAUUCAUGUUUGAACUUAAAAUUCCUUAUUUGUGCAUGUAGGAUUUUAGUGAAACUUGUCAAUUUGUCAUACGACAAAAAAAAAUACCAUGCCAAAAAAUAUCGUAUAAUAGUACACUAAAAAAGGAUUUUAAGGUUUUCUUUUUUUGAAUGAAAAAAGGAUUUUAAGGUUUACUACCUAUAAUGUAAAAGAAAAAGUUGAUUACCUAUAAUACCGCUUUUAAAUGCUACUAUUUAAAAACCCUUAUAUAAUAUUCCCUCUGAUUUUUAAUAUAAAAAGAAGUUCACUAUUUAGAUAUAUUGAAAUAUUGUCUAAAAAGUGAACUUCUUCUAUAUUAAGGACCGGAGGGAAUAGUGUUUCCCCGGAAAGUGCUAUCAUAACCUAUUUUAAGUGCUAAUAGUCCUUAAUAGCACUUCAAAUAAAACUUGCUAUUACACUCUUGUGCUAUAUGUUUUUUGAAACACUUUUGUGCUAUUUUUACAAUAGGUUUUUUUAGUGUCGGUAUAGUUAAAAUGUCUUUCUCUAGUGAAGCAGUUUCACUCCAUUAACUUUCAUUUUUUGAAGACACUAAUAUAAUACAAAUUAGCAUUAAUCACAAUUUUUUUUGGAUAUGAUCUGACUCCUCUAAAAUAAGAAAGCGAGAAGUGGGUAUUAUAAACUAUUGAUUAAAUCAAAAGUAGAGAUAUUACAAGUAUAAAAAAUGUUGUUUAUAGCGGACAACAAACCACGAGAGAUAGCGAACAGUGUAUUUUUAUCACAUUUCAGUCCAAUCACCCAUGUUUUCCGCAAAAGUCAAAUUUGACCAUUUUCGUUUUAACUAGUACAAAAUAAUGCUUCGUUAAGAAUUCGUGAUAAAAGUCUUCGCUAUGAAUAACAUUGCUUAGUAUGUCAUAACAAAUCAUAAAUUUAUUUGUUAACAUCUCUCACUAGACAGUCAAAUACCCACCUCACUCAAAGUCAUCCUCAAGCAAUCUUAAUGAAAAUUUGAACAAGCCAUGUAUUUAAAACAGCGCAACUCUUAACUUCAACUAGUUGGUACAAAUGGUUUUUUCAGGCAUUGAUUUGUAAUGUGGCUCAUCAAACAGAUAAUGCAAUUGGAAGUCUUCAAAAAAUGGGGUAUAUACAGUCAAACCGGCUUAUAGAUUAUGCUUCAAUUUAGUCAUCGAACCACCCAUCCCAAUAGUAACUGUAACUUCUUUUGUCAAGUAAAUUAAUGGUCAGAAAUUCUACGUAAAUAAAUAGGCUUUGUUUGGUAAAAAAAACGGAUAACUGAUAAGGUAACUUAUAGCGGAUAACUUAUAAACUAACUUUUAGCUUAUAGCGAAUAAGCUAGCUGAUUGAAUUUGUAGUGUUUGGUAAAAUUAGCAGUUGAAUUACCUUAUAAGUAUGAAAUGACAUAAAAAAAGAUAUGUUUAAUUAAUAUUUAUUUUUUUCAAUUAAGAUGAUAGGGGUAAUAUUGGAAGAAAAAAUGAUAAGCUAUAAGCUAUAAGUUCAUAACUACUUGAAAAAUAAGCAAUAAGCUAGUAAAAUAAGUUAUAAAUUCUUUUUAAAAAACUGUUACUAAACAGAUCUUUUAGCUUAUAAGCUAUAAAUAAGCUAGCUUAUUGUACUUCUCAAACAGAGCCAGAGUAUCUAAGGUUCAAAUUUUGACUUUUACCUAUAUAAUGCGAUGUUCUUAUCAACCGAAUUAAUCUCACCAAAACUGUAAAUUAAUUUGGAAAUUAGUGAUCUUACUAAAAUAAAAUAAGUUAAAAGUUGGAGUUUUUACCGCCCCGAUUAUAUUAAAGGAGCCUAUUGAGAAAUAUGAUGUUAACGAAAAAUGAGUGAAAAACUUAUGAAGUUUAUAUCGAUAAUAGUAUAGGUAAAAUGAUAUAUUUAGAUUAUAUAUUUAAUCAUUUAACUUAAUUUCAGGUAAUAAUUCAGUCUUUUAUAUAUGUUUUUUUGUCCUUUUUUUUUAAUCUUAAUUCAUGUUUGUAUAUGAUUUUUCAUGCUUCAAAUCUAUAACAUAUAUUUAUGAUUGAUAGUGAACAAAGAAAAAAACUAUAUUUAAAGUUUAAAAGUCUGUUUGGUUCAAAAGAGACGAGGGAAGGGGAGACUAUGAGGAUAAAUUUUUUAAGGAAUAAUGUUGGUAUUUUAAAAUAAAUAUGAAGAUAAUUAUGUCAUUAAUGUAAUUAAAAUUAUAAUAGUUUUUCAGCCGGAGCUGGCUGCUCAACUAAACUACUUGUGGAAGCCGACCCAUCGAUAGAAGCAGCGGGGCGGGAAGGCUGAUGCAACUCUUGGUUUACGCUUGCUUCUGAGCCUGCAUCAGACCUAGUAGACACCCAAAGAAGAAUUUCCUCUGCACCGAAUAGUGCUCGCACUAUAAAGCCAAUAGCAGGAAGUUGAAUCAAUCUCGUUUGCUACAGGAUUCUUUCGAUCUAGUAAAGUAAACCCCUUUUUUACUAAAAUGUCAAAUCCUCAAUUCUUCUUAGUACCCUUUAAUGAAUGGGAAGAGGAAGUGGGAAGACUUCCCAUCACGACCUAAAGGUCUGUUUGAAACUCCUGAUCUAACAGCCGCUCAAACUAAGAGCAGUUUGGAACAAAUCUACCUCCCUAUUUCUACUGGUCGAGUGAGUUCUUGCUUCUCUGCUUCGAGUUGCCCUUACCUGAUAUGGAAUUUCCUUUGUUUUCAAAAGAUGUCGUAGUACAUCUCUCCUCCCCUCCCCUCCAAAUCUCCCCAAAUUGGGGGGAAGCAAAAGAUGAAGUUAUGAGGGAUUUUGCACCCCCCCUAAAAAUUGAACCAAACACAUAUAAUUAAAAAUAUUACAUCUCACCCCGUUUCCUCCAUCUACUCCGAAUCAAACACACCCUAAAAUUCAUAUUCAAACAUGAAAAAGAAGAUAAAAGACUAAAGUAAUAAAACUGAAAUUUUUUCAAUAAUUUAAAAUAGUGUUUAACCACUAUAAUGUUAGCGAAUUUUGAUUUAACUCCUAUAACAUAAUGAUUUCUUUUAUUACUCUUUGUAAUGUCAAUAUUAUGUUAUUUUAACCCAUACAAGGUUAGCUUAUCAUCAACAAACCCGGGGUACUCCACUUAUUCACCUUUAAAGUGGAUUUUCUAGCUACUAGACUACUUGAAAAGAAAAAAAUUAACCAUAAAGAACACUUAUUACUCAAAACAUAAAUAAACAUCAAUGUUUAUUCUUAACCAUCAUAAUUUCAUAAACAAAAGCCAAACUAAUGUUUAUACUUAACCAACCAAGAAAUAUAUUACCAAACAAGGCCAAGUCUAACAUGCACAAGUGGAGAAAGUCCUCCACGGUGCACAAGUUAGCAAUUAUACUAUAACGAAUACAAAUUUUACAAAAUUCACCGUUGGAUUGAAAGUUUAUACCAUAUAGGUCAUCCAUAAAAAUUUUGAAAAAAAUUGAAAAUAAUUUGAUAUGUCAUUGAGACCCAUUAAUAUUAACGUUAGUCAAUAAAAAACCAUAAACCGUUAAUUUUGACGGGUCUCAAUAACAUAUCAAAUGAUUUUCAAUUUUUUUCAAAAUUUUUAUGGAUGAUCUAUAUGAUAUAAACUUUCGAUGCAACGGUAAAUUUUAUAAAAUUCGUAUUCGUUAUAGUAUAAUUGCUAACUUGUGCAUCGUGAAAAACUUUCUCCAUUUAUUCAUGUUAGACAAAACCACCAAACAAUUGAUGCACCAAGAGCUAGUGUAUUGCUUAAGUAAAAAUAAAAAAGCUAGUGUCUUGCUUAGAACCAAUAGCUUCAACAUAAAUAUAAUCACAGACGAAUCCAAAAACUUAUCAAUUAUCAUAUUGAGGAUAAAAAAUUGUAAAUAGUAAAAUGAAUGUAUUUAUUUAGAGAGAUUAUUUUUGUUUAUAUUGUCAAUAAUUUUUUUAUUAUCAUGUUAUAGGUAUGAAAUUCUCGUCAUCAUUUGACGGCGACUAACUAAUUGCCUUUGAAAAACAUGUGGGCACAAAAAUAAAAAUAGACCAAAAUAUAAACGGACCAAAAUAAAUUGAUCUUGAAAUCUACACAGACUGCAUGUUAUAAGAAUCGAUCAACGAACCUUAACUCAUGUAUUCAGCUCUAACAUUAAUUAUAAGCAAUUUUUGUUCUUCAAAAUUCAUUAAAUAGUCUUUAACUUUUUAUAAAACUAUAUGUAAUUUUUUUUGGUUACUAUGAUGUUGGUAUAAAGUUUCCACGUAGUUAGUGAUAACUAAUCUCAGUCACAAAAUUUGUGGGGCACAUAAGGUGAGUUAUACCUUCAACCGAAUUUUCUCCAUAUUUAUAAGUCAGAAAUCGAAUUUCUUACCACGUGCUUAAGAAAAUCAAGACCAUACCACAUUAAAAUUUGAAUAUUUUAACAUUUUGAAUAAUUACUCCUUCAGAUUCUUAAUACUACCUCCGGUCCUUUUUAUAAGGAGCACUUUGAAAAAAUCACACAGACCAAGAAAACACAUUUAACAUAGUUAUUUUCAUUUAAUACUCUUACAAAUUUAAAUUUAUUCCAUGUAUACCCUUAUUUAAUUACUCUUUAUUCAAUUAACUUAUUUAUUUUUAAAUUCUCUCUCAUAAUAAAUAAGGGCAUAAGUGAAAUUGAACAUUUAAAACAUUUGAAAAUUGGUCAAAAUUUCUUAUAAAAAGAAUCAAUUUUUUUUUCUCCAAAGUGUUCCUUAUAAAAAGUACUGUAAGAAGUAUAAAAUAAGCUUUACUCUAUAAAUUCAUUAAAAAUUUAAUGUAUUUAGUCCAUAAGAUGAACUAGAUACAUUCAAUUAUCAAUACAACUAAAAUGUAAAAUUUCUCAGAGUAUUUAUUUUGAAGUUGAAACUUGAAACCUUUAAUUAAUUUUUGUCAAAAAGAAAGACCUUUAAUUAAUUAAUCUCCCAAAAACAAAAAAAUUACAUGACAAAAAAAGCUUAAUUUGAGAAACGUGUCAUGUUCUUAGUGGUUUACCAAACACAAAAUUUACAUUUCCACCACACGCAAUUCAAAACACCCAAACCCACCGAACCAUUUCUCACUUUGCAUGCACAAACUUCAAAACUAACAAGUCAAGCUAGUUUUACAUUUUUAAAUUCAUCUAAAAUACGCCGGCACCGCACAAUACGCACCCUCAAAUUUCCUUUUUCUCUUCAAUUCUCUUUCACGUUCAGUGCGCUCUACGCACAUUGCGUAUUCAAGUCCAACUCUUUCUCUUUCUCUCUCUUCACUUUACUUUUUCUCCGUUGACUACAACAAGAAUNNNNNNNNNNNNNNNNNNNNNNNCAUUUUCAUUUUUCUUUUAUUUUCUCUCUUCAUUUUCUUCACCGCCAUAAAACUUGCCGGAAAAUCUCUUCCGAGUAACCCUAGCCGCAAUUUUCAUGCUCUGCGUUUUUGGUAAUUUAUCGUCGUUUUAAUUAUGAAGAGAUUGCGAUCAACCGAAGAUCUUCACUCUUAUGGUGAAAAGAACGGUGCUGAUAAGAAUUCAAAUCUUUCUGUUAAGGAUUCUAAUUCCAAUUCAAAUCUGAACCGUUCGUUUUCUUCUACUGGUCAAAGAAGUUUUUACUAUAAACAAGAGAAUGUGAGGAAGAAUUUGAUAUCUUCGUCGUCGUCUUCGUCGCGAUUCGAUAGGGAUAGAGAUAGGGAUAGGGAUCGGACGGUGGAGGAAGAUCGAGAAAGUUCUAGAAUUGUUCGGAAGCGAUCUGAACAUGAUUUCGAUGGUUUUGAUCGGAGGAAGGGUUUUGAUCGGUAUAAUCGUGAUGGUGGUUACAGUGGAGGUGGAGAUAGAGAUAGAGAUAGGAAUUCGAUUCAUAGGUCGGAGAGUUUUUGUGGAGGUUCGAGGAGGGAGUUUCCGAAGGGGUUUCGGUCGGAGAGGGAUCGAUCGAGGAGGGAAGGGAGUGUGUCGUCGUGGAGGAGAGGUUUAAAGGAUUUUGAUGAGAGUAGCAGAGGGGGGAAUAGUAGAGUUGAAGAGAGAAUUGUGAGGUCACCAAAGGGUUUCUCGAGGGACGUGAAAUCGCCUAGUUGGUCUAAGGAUUCUGAGAGUGAACAAUCGAAGAAGAGAUCUUCGGAGUCUCCGAGGGUGUUUAGAGAAGCUACUAAGUCGAUAUCAAAGUCGCCUUCUUGGUCUAAGGAUUCGGAGAGUGAACAAUCGAAGAGUGUUAGUGUGGAGGUGAAGAAAAGUGAUGAGUUGUUGCAACAGGUUCAGAGUGGUAGUGGUAGUGAAAUGGAAGAGGGGGAGCUUGUACCUGAACCCGUCGCUAAAACUGAGGCCGAAGCNNNNNNNNNNNNNNNNNNNNNNNNNNNNNNNNNNNNNNNNNNNNNNNNNNNNNNNNNNNNUGCUGCAGCUGGAAGGGAAAGACUGCAAGCCUCUGAGGAUGAACAAGUGCACAAGAAGAAUGAAUUUGGUUCGAGUGAUGCAGAUGUUGUUAUGGAAGAAAAACAGAUGUUGGGUGAGAAAGAGGUGAAACCUAUGGAGGAUGUUGAUUCUGAGGUAAAAGAUGCAGAGAAGGAAGUUCAUGAAUUGUCUAAGAAUCAAGAUAAAUCUACUAAGGAAAUUGCUGUUAAUAAGGAUGAGAUUAGAACUGUUGAUAAUGAUAAUGUUAAGAAGGAUGUGUGUUUGAAUGGUGAUGAUACUCGGCACAAGGAGGUGGAGAAGGAAAAGGCAGAAAAUAACGAGAAGGCAUUGCUUAAGAAGGAAAGGGGGGAAAAUAACGAGAAGGCGUUGCUUAAUGAAGAAGAGCAUGAGGUGGACAAGGGUGUAGGUGGUGACAAACUUGACGGAAAUGAUGAAGGCUCAACAGAGAAUACAGUUGGUGUUGAAGUGCAGGAAGAAAUGAUGAUGGAGAGUGUGACAAAUAAUGUGAAGGAUAAAGGCAAAAGCAUUUCGGUCGCACCUGAUGUUGCUCAUGCUUCAGAAGAUGGCUUGUGGAUUGAUAGAGGGUCAAAAGAUCUCACAACAAGCCCCGCAGAUGUCAUGGAAGGUCCAAGCACAAGAGGGUUUGAACUUUUCUCUAGAUCUCCAGUAAGAAAAGUAGAAAAGUCUGAUCGCUCGGUUCUAAAAAAGGAGAAUGAUGACAGUCUUGGAAUGGGGCAGCUUGUUCUUACUCUUAGCUUGCCGAAUGUUCUGUUACCUAUAGGUGCUCAGGAGACGGCGUCGCAAGCCCCUGGUUCUCCUAGUCAAGCACUGAGUGUUCAGUCUCUAAGUAAUACAUUUUGCACUAACUCAGAUGGUUUUACUGCAUCGAUGUCAUUUUCAGGUUCACAAUCACUAUAUCACAAUCCAAGUUGUUCGUUAACGAGAAAUUCAGUGGACUAUGAACAAUCUGUUGGCAAAUCGGUUGGUAGUCGCCCCUUGUUCCAGGGAUUUGAUUGGCAAGCCCUAUCUCAGGCUGAACCCAAGCAGAAAGAAGUUCCCUCUGGUCAGAGAACUUCGAGUAAUGGGAACGGCUCUCUUUACCAGCCUCAAGCAUCAUGGGGAAUUUUAGAUAAUCAAGCUUUGAAAGGACAACCUUCUAGGCCUCUUGAAGGAAGCUCAAAAAUGGGAAAUGGGCUUGAAAGGCAAUUGAGUUUUCAUAAGCAGCUUUCAGGACAGUCAAGACAACAUGAUGAUGUUCGAUCUCCUACACAGAGUGUUGGGUCACAUGACAAUGGAUCGAAUUAUAGUUUCGAGAAGAAGAGGGAUGUUAGGGAAAGAAGUAGCAGUAGUCUACAUCGAUCAACUAGCCAGAAGGGACAAGAUAAUUUUCUGAUGGGUGGACUUGAAUUUGUUAAGACAAUCAUUGCAAGAAUAGUUUCUGAACCUGUGCAAGCAAUGUCCAGAAAGUUCCAUGAAAUGAAUGGACAGUACAUAACGCGUAUGAAAGAGGGUAUUCGGGAACUCAUGGUCAGUGCAGAUAACCAGGGACAAAUACUUACUUUUCAAAAUGUUUUGCAGAACAGGUCUGACAUAUCCUAUGAUGUCCUAGUGAAGUGUCACCUAGCGCAACUGGAAAUUUUGGUUGCAUUAAAAACUGGUGUAGUCCAUUAUCUUCACCUAGAUGAUAACAUUUCAUCUUCUGAUUUAGCUCAAAUUUUUCUAAACUUGAAGUGUAGGAAUUUAUCAUGUCGAAAUCAGUUGCAUGUCGAUGAAUGUGAUUGCAAGCUUUGUGUGCAGAAGAACGGUUUUUGCAGGGAAUGUAUGUGUGUUGUGUGUUCUAAGUUUGACAAUGCGUCGAGCACAUGUAGUUGGGUUGGGUGUGAUGUUUGUCUUCACUGGUGUCAUACUGACUGUGGAUUACGAGAAUCUUAUAUUAGAAAUGGACUUAGUACUACUGGAACGAAAGGGACGACUGAGAUGCAGUUUCACUGCAUUGCUUGUGAUCACCCUUCUGAGAUGUUUGGCUUUGUCAAAGAGGUGUUUCAAAAUUUUGCAAAAGAUUGGUCACCCGAAUCUCUUUGCAAGGAACUUGAAUAUGUGAAGAGAAUCUUUUCUGCUAGCAAGGAUAUUAGAGGGAGACAGUUGCAUGAGAUUGCGGAUAAAAUGUUGCCGAGCCUGGCCAUCAAGUCUAACAUCCCUGAGGUUUUAAGACACAUCAUGUCUUUCUUUUCUGGUAAGUAACAAAUGUCUUUGAUUAUUUGAAUGCUUUUAUCCUAUUUUCUUAUUUUUACAGUAUAUGAAAUGCUUGCAUUCAACAAUGAUAUACUAUUUUCCUGCUGUCUGAAUGACAUGAAAAUAUUAUUGUUGCAAGAUUUAAAUGAGCCUUUCUUUUCCGUAAAUUAUUCUGUUUGGCCUGGUAUUUUUUGGAAUGUCUCAAACCAUGUCAACAACUCUAUGUUAGAUAGGUUCAUUCAAUCAUGUGGAAUAUAGCUAGUGAUGGCGUUUCCUCAAUAUAGUUGGGCAUUUAUGUUCUUAGGUCAUAUACGUCAUUGGUGUUUGUGAAGGCUAAAUUGUAUGUAUUUACAUGCAUGGUUAUUAGUAUAUUACGUUUGUAUCAUGAGUCGUAUCCAGAUUUGAUACUAAACUGAACUCAAUCAAUACAAAUCCCGAUUCACUAUGAUGAAUCACGUUUCAUUCUAAUGAAUUUUUACCUAAACUUAGUGUAGUCAACCACCUGUUAUAUCAACUUUGUAUAAUCAACCGCUUUUCAUUUGUAAUUUGCUUUAUGACUCAAAUCUUGAAUUGCUUUGAGGUUCAUAUAUGAUAUAUCUGCUUAUAAUUUGUUGUCACUUGUUUUUACUUAAACAAGUCAUUAUCAUUGGUAAUAUAUCUUAAGAUUCAUCAUAAAAUUUGAUUCACUAUUCGCAAAAUAGGUCUUCUGAUUUCUGAUAUGAUAACCAUGUUUACAUGCAUUAUGGUUAAUUGCAGAUUGUGAUUCUUCCAAAUUACCCAUGACAACAAACUUUUCUGGUAAGGAACAAGUCAAAGAAAACAAUGGGGUAGCUGGGCCCAGCCAGGAAGCUGCUUGGCUAAAAUCUAUUUAUUCAGAAAAGCCAGCUCUGUUAGAAAGACCUGCAAGCAUCCUUCCAAGAUUUGACCAGAAUGAUAAAAGGACACUGGUGCAAGAGUUGCAGAUGAGUAGUAUCCAAAAAGACUUCUGUUUUGAUGAAUUAGAAAGUAUAAUAAAAAUCAAACAUGCAGAGGCCAAAAUGUUCCAAUCUCGUGCUGAUGAUGCUAGGAGAGAAGCUGAAGGGUUAAAACGCAUCGCCCUUGCAAAGAAUGAGAAAAUUGAAGAAGAGUAUGCCAAUCGAAUUGCCAAGCUGCGUUUUGCCGAGACAGAUGAUUUGCGUAAACAAAAAUUCGAAGAACUCCAAGCAAUAGAGAGGGCACAUCAUGAGUAUUUGAACAUGAAAAUGAGAAUGGAGUCAGACAUUAAAGAUCUGUUAUCCAAAAUGGAAGCUACUAAAAUGAACCUUGCCAUGUGACCUGAUCAAAAUAUUUAGAAUAGUUAUUUCAGGUAAAUGUAUUAUCACUCAUCCUGAAAUUUGUAGGUUCUAGUGCUCUACCAUGUUGUUGUGAACUACCAUAGUUUUAUUUAUUUUUCAUUGUAGUUUAUUUUGCUUAUAAGCUGCUAACCAAAAUCUGUAGAGUCCAUCACAGUAGUUAACAGUCUUAUAAAACAAUUUCGAUUAUGAAAGCAGUUUUAAACAGUUUAUUAUUUGAACUGACAAAAAAUUGGCCAGCAUGUGGCUUGGAUUUGAUGUACAGGCUUGUUGUACUGACUGUUGCGUAUGAAAAUUUAUAAAAUAGAAACCUUGGUGGAUAUUGUGCUUUCAAAUUUAAUGUUACAUUUAGGACAAGUGUGGUCCAGCAGUACCUUUUUCAUCACUUCCUGUUGGUCUGUGUUAAUAUUUCUGACACAUUUAUUCAAUCAUAAAUUCAUAAGUUUUCCAGCUAUCUUUUAAAGAAUCUUCUACAUAGUAUAUGUUGGGGUUAUAUUUGUCAUUCUGACAUGGAUGUAAAUAAAGCUUCAUCAGGAGUUGCAUUCUCUUAUGAAGCUACAUUUUUUUCUUUUUUCUGCAUUGGUUUUCAAAUUUUAAAGAGCAAUAAAAGUUGCAAGAAAUCUGUUGGUGUAAAUUCUUGGCAGAUUUUACUUUUAUCUUGUGCCCGAAUUUUGGAUUAUCGGGAUAUCUUUUCUCUAGAAACCAAAGGGUAUAAUACAAAAAAUAUAUAUUUUUCUUUCACUCCCAAAAAAUCAAUUCAAGAAAUCUGGGGUGCUUUGUUUUAAUAUUUUUUUUCCAUUCGUUUGUUAGUACUGAUUUUCUAGUCUGGUUGUAUCGUAUCAUUGGAUGAAAUUUCUCUCAGACUGAAAGAGGGUAUGGGUAUGAGAGUUUUUUUUUUUCCCUCUUUAAUUUUGAGGUUAUUUUAGUCCUUAAAUGUGUUUUUGUUUCCCGUAAAGUCAACAAAUUUGGGUUUUAAGUCUUCGUACAAAAAAUCCUCUCAUUUUGCCUCUGUAGUUUCAGAUUACUUUGGUUUCAGUCCUUAAUGUGGUCAAGUGGAAGAGCCGUGUUAUGGGUUCCGUCGGGUUGGUAAAGCAACCAGGAUCCUCUUUCCUCCAAAAAAAAGGUCCAAGCAGUCACGUGCCUCUUCCAUCCGUUCGGUCCUCGCUCUCAAUGAAAACUACCGGAAUAUUGAAGCAACCUUUCGCAUAGCCCUUUCUUUUCUUUCUUGGGCAAUUGAAUCAUGAACAGGUGCAGAAGACAUGUCACACAAAAAUGCUGACAUGGCCAAAACCUGCUGAUUGGACCAUUAUUAUAUGUUCAUAGACUUGACAAAUUAUACGGACAGAAACCAAAACUCACAUAAAUUAUAGAGACGAAAAUCAAAACUCACAAAUUACAAGGACGUAAAUCAAAAUUCACUCAAAUUAGUGACGAAAUUUAAUAAGACUACUCAUUCACUCGAGUAUUUUAUCAUACACAAAUUUAAAUGUGGUGGGAUGGAUUGACCCACAUGCAUGUUUUUUUUUAAUGUAUUGAGAUUAAAAAUGAAGUGCUCAAUCCAAUUUUUGUCUUUUUUGUUGAACACUUCAUUUUUAAUCUCAAUACAUAAAAAAAAAUGCAUAUGGGCCAAUCCAUCCUACCACAUUUUUUAAGCGAGUUAGACGGAGCAGAUUAACUUAAAGUUACCAGACACAAAAAUUUAGCUCAACUUGUAAAAAAUAGUGGCUUAAACAGAUUGACUUGAUGGACUCGAUUCAUUUUACCACCCCUAACCAUGAAUAGACAAAAAUAUAAAAAUGACUUAAAAAUGAGAUGAGGGACUAAAAUUUAGAUCAAAAUUUAAUUGAAGACUAAACAAUCAAUCUUCAAAAUGGGAGACCAAAACUUCAUUCUUUUAAAAAUAGAGAAACCAAAAAUGUUAUUAACCCUUUUUUUAUUUUUAUUUUUAUUUUUUUAUCUCUCCUAUAUUUUUUGUUACAAGCAUUACAUUUUGAGAUUUACUUUUGUCACCCUACUGAUUCUAGGGUGCGUCCUAUAAAAUUACCAAAAUACUCCCGGCCGCUACUUAUGUAACGGGUUCUACGUAGGAGGGUGUUUUUCUCUAAAAAAUCUUAUUUUUAUAACAUUUGCUACUUAAGUAACAGAUUAUAAUGAGAAAUUUUCAUGUUAAAGAGUGUUUAUUUUCUUCUUCUCAAAUUUCAUAUUUUUAUAACGUCCGCUACUUAAGUAGAGAACUGAUAAAAAUCUUAGUAGAGUAUUUUUUUUUUCAAAAUUUCUCAUUUUUAUAACGUUCUCUACUUAAGUAGCGGAAGGGUAAAAAGAAAAAUGCAUAGGGAGCGUGAAUAGCCCGUAGGGUGGCAAAAUAAAUCUCCUACAUUUUAGGGUGGAGAGGAAAGAGGAUUUGGCAAAAUAAAUCUUCUCAUUUUUGUUCUUUGCUGUUUUGGUUCAAGGGAAUUUCUUUUCCUGCUUCCCAUGUUUCUUGUGCGCCCCAAUUUUUAUCUUUAUGUUAUAUUAUUUUAGUAUUGGACGUUAUAAAAAUGAGAAAUUUGAGAAAACAAUCGUCCGCUACCUAACUAGCUAACGAUGUGUGUUAUCUAUCUAGUGGAUGAAGCUGACACAAGAAUAUUAACAGAAAAUAUGAUGAUCUCUUUAAUAAAAUAACAUAUUACAUUGUGAUGAAGAUCAACAACAAAGACAUAAUAAGAAAACAUAAAUUAAGCACAAACGAGACUAUGAAUUAGAUAAAUCAACCGCUUCAUCUUCAUCGUCCUCAAGUUUAACCAUGCACGCNNNNNNNNNNNNNNNNNNNNNNNNNNNNNNNNNNNNNNNNNNNNNNNNNNNNNNNNNNNNNNNNNNNNNNNNNNNNNNNNNNNNNNNNNNNNNNNNNNNNNNNNNNNNNNNNNNNNNNNNNNNNNNNNNNNNNNNNNNNNNNNNNNNNNNNNNNNNNNNNNNNNNNNNNNNNNNNNNNNNNNNNNNNNNNNNNNNNNNNNNNNNNNNNNNNNNNNNNNNNNNNNNNNNNNNNNNNNNNNNNNNNNNNNNNNNNNNNNNNNNNNNNNNNNNNNNNNNNNNNNNNNNNNNNNNNNNNNNNNNNNNNNNNNNNNNNNNNNNNNNNNNNNNNNNNNNNNNNNNNNNNNGAAAUUCAAACCAUAUUUUUAAUUUUCUCUUAUAAAAAAUAAUUUAAAACCAUAUUCAUUUUUUGGACUAAAAUUUAAAACAAAUUCUUAAUUUCUGAUUUUUGGAUCCAUCAUCAACAUAGUACAUUUACUUUUUUUGUGUUCCCCCGAUGCUUCUGCACCGACCUCUCAAUUGUCAUUAAAAUAUUGACACCAGUUGGCAACAUGGCAUAGAGUAUUGUUCUUAAUUUAUACAUGAAUUUUUAGUAUUGUGUUCACCAGAAAUAGACACAAUUAUUUUUACCAUUGAAAAAAUAGGUACAUGUUUAUAUCUCACUUUUUGUGUUUUAAAUAUUAUUUGCAUGCAUCGAUUUCCGUGCUUGUGAGUGGUAAAAAAAAGUGUGUCAAUUUUGUGUCCCUAAAUUUUGUGUUUAGAUAACACUCCUCUAACUAUUGUAUUGAAAAAUAACUAAUCACAUCUCAUUCAUUCAAAUGUGAGUGGAUAAGUAUCAAGUCACAUCGACCGUGAAUGAGAAGAAUAGUGAGUUUAUAUAAGAGAGGUGAUUCAUUAACUUUGUUUUUUUGACAAAGACUCAUUAACUUAAUAUCUUAAAGUUUUAGGUUAAUAUUGAGAUGUUGCAAUGUCUUCUUCUCUUGUGGUCCUAGAGCAUUUGACUUUGAUAUUUCUCCCGAACUCCCUCAAACUCUCCAACACAUAUUAUCUCUCUCCUUAAAUAUAAGACUCGUUGAUUAAAUCACAGAAUUAAGCAUUUUCCAAUUCAUACAAUAGUUAUACUCAGGGAGCGGUUAUGAUGCAUAAGCGAAUUCCUUAUGCACAAUGCAUAAAUAACACACAAAAUCAUUUCACAGUAAAAUGGUUUUGGAUUACAACCCUCUGAAACCAUUCCACAGUAAAAAUAGUUUUGGCAUGAUUAAAUAAAUCUAAUGUGAAACAACUCCACAGAAAAAAUGAUUUUGACAUGAUUUUUGUUUAAAACUAACUACGAAGUAAUCUGAUGACGUUCAGGGGUUGCUGUUGUUGAUUUGAGGGUGAAAAAUGAUGCAUUUGGAGAUUUGUUUAUACACUAUGCAUAAGUUUAUUCCUUAUACAUAAUAAUUCAUGUCGUUAUACCGAUAUGUUCCACUAAUAACAUAUAACAUAUAUUGUAAAAGAAUAAAGAGUAACAUGCCAUAUACUUUGCCUCAUAAAUGAGCCAUACAAAAAUAACCUCAAACGAGAUGUUGGUGAAUAACAUUAAGUUUGGCAGGACAAGAGUGAAGAACUAGGCAUGGUAGCUAUAAAUUAUCUAAUGUUUUGGUAACACAAAUUAAUAAUGCAAGCAAAAGUCAUGUGACCACGUACACAUAUAACACUAUAGUUUGAAAUUACAGAGUGUGAGAUCAACAGAUAUUGUUUCUUAAUUCUUACUAUUAUAUAGGGACAACUUGCCGCCCAUUGUUUAAAAAUUAAAAUUAGAGCCCACAGAAACCCAUUUGUAGGUUAAGUAAUUGGAAAUCAAACUAAUGAAUUGUUGCUUAAGCAGUUAGCUGAUGUUCAAGUUCUUUGCUAUUCAGAUUGGCCACAUGCAUGACAUUUUGGUAUUAAUCAACGGACUUCAAGUUGUUAAUGAGCUCUUACUUAGACGAAUCGUCUGGAAAAAAUCGAGUUUGAUUCUUAGUGAGAGUAAUUUUUGGUCGGACUUUACUUAUCUCACGAUCGAACUCUGGAUCACAGGGACUCCAUUUCCUUAAAAACUAGAGUAUUAAUUAAUGUAAUAUUUUCAUAAAUUAAAACAAAGCAGUUCUAAAUUUGUGCUUUGUGGAGUUCAUGAUCAAACUAACGAAUCAAUUAAGUGAAUCCAAUUUAGGCAGUCUAUAUUGGUAUAGAAAUGCCACCGGCUUAGUUUCUCUAUAUUGUUUGUUGCAUCUAUUGGCAAGUAUAAAAUAUUUUAGCGACUCUUGAACAUAAUUUAGGAACAUUCAUCAAGAAAGAAGUCAAAAAAUAAUUUAAGAGUUUGAACAUGGCUUAGUUUAAUUUAGGCUUAACUACACAUUUGAUCCCUUACGUUUAUUUUACGUUUUAAUUUUAUCCCUUACGUUUUAAAAGUAUUAAUUUGGUCCCCUACGUUUAUUUUAGGUUUCAAGUUAGUUUUUUCCGUCAAUUUUGUCACAUGUGACAGUCAAUUUGCAUACGUGGACAGACACGUGGCACUUGGACACACUGACACAUGUACUGUUCAAACGGUGUUAGUGACAAAACUAACGGAAAUGAUUAACUUGAAACCUAAAAUAAACGUAAGGGACCAAAUUGAUACUUUUUAAACGUAAGUGACCAAAUUGAAACCUAAAAUAAAUGUAAGGGACCAAAUAUGUAGUUAAACCUUUAAUUUAAGACUAAGAAACUCUUCUUAAGAGUUUUAACACUAUUGAAUGUUAAAGAUAUAGAUCGGACCCAAGACCUUGAUUAAGUUAGAAGAGAUUCAUCUAUCUAAUUAGCGCUAUUGUUUUUUUUUUCUACCACCAGUAUAAGGCCCAAUGGACUGCCUAAUCUGGUUCGAGGGUUAGUUCUACAUUAAGUGAUUCCAGCCCCCUUUCGAUCGCAGUUGCGGGGAUCGAACUGUGGUCGUCCCUCCUAAGUCUAGUAUCAAUCACCACCGGACCAACUAACCAUUGCUAUUAUUAUUAUUAUUUUUGUUUACAAUGAGCUGGGGAUCGAACCCAAGACCUAUAACAUACUACUCAAAUCCUUCACCACUAGACCAAACCUAGUGGCUUUCAUUGCUAUUGGGUUUUGUUUAAACAUAUUUGAUAACAUUAAACGUUUAUUUAUCUUAAGUCACAUGAAGUCAAUAAAUUUUAAUUAUUAAAUGUUGAUAACAAAUACCUUGCCCAUGUUAUUACUUCAUAAGUGUUAAUGUAGAUCACAAUGUAAUAACUCCUCCUACUUGUAGUUAUUAGACCGUACUUAUCCUAUGUACUAACUAUCAUAAAAUAAAUCUUAAAUCCUAGAUUCCCUCAGAAAUCUCGUGGCAUGAAUUAAGGAGAAAAACUCGUUUUGAAAAGUCAAAACCUUGGUGCAAAUCAAUAAGUGUUUCUCUCCAAGUGCACAAUAAAAGAGAGCAAUGCUGUGUCCAUUUCUCUUGCACACAAAACCAAAGCUUUUCUUUCCUCAAUACAUUUCUCUUUUAAUAUUGCUACACAUUUGUUUUUCUUUUCAUGGUGAAAAUGGCAGUGACAUUCAUAUAUACACUUUUUAUGACUUUGCUAUUGGCUUCUUCAGCAUUUGCUAAUUUUCAUCUCAAGUCACCUGAAGGUAAUGUUCACUCUAAUAAUGCCAAUUCAUAUUUUUUAAAGGAACACGUUGUACAUCUAACAUGUUUGAAUGUUUAAGUGAGACAAGUCUUUCCACAUAUGUUAUAAGGUUUGUCUAAUAUGAAUAAGUGAGACAAGUCUUUUAUCAUACACAAAUUUGUUUUAAUCAUUAGAUCAAUAAGUCUCACCAUUGGAUCAAUAUGUUGCGUUACAUUUCUUUUGAUCCAAUGAUAAGAUUUAUUGAUCCAAUGAUAAAAAUAAGCUUGUGCAUAGUGAAAAACUUGUCUCACUUGUGCACCAUAGAUUUGACCUUGUUCUAUACAAUAAAUUAUCAUAUUUCAAAAAGUGGGUAGUGUCUGUAUUAUCCCUGUAACACCAACACUUGAAAUUGAAGAUUGUCCGGUUCUGACACGAACAUGACACCUAAUAUAUUUGAUUAUAUUCAGUUAUGUUAUUUUUUUGAAAUUAUUACUGAUGUAGACUUGUGAGUGUCAUAUCUUGUAUUCAUCGCAGUGCUAUAAGUUGUAUUGCGGUAAUGGUUAGAUGACCGGCGAGUUUAAAAUUAUCCCAGUAGUACAUGAUUUUGUUGAAAUUCUAAAGUAUACCUUUUGUCAAAAUAUUGGUGGCUUAUCGUAAUUAUGCCAAUCUCAACGUCAAUCCAAACAUAUUAUUUAAGUGGUUAUGCAUGUUGUGUUCCUUUCCCUGAUUCUGCUAUUGUCACUCACUGCGGUUAUUAAAGUGUAACUUUUGUCAAAAUUGCGAGGGCUUAUCGUGAUUAUGCCAAUCUCACACCGUUAUUCCAAACAUAUUAUUCAAUUAGUUAUGUGUUUUCCUUUCCUAUAUUUCUAUUGUGCAUAACUUCAUAUUCUUAAACUCUGAUCCAAUGUGUUUGGUUGUGUUCUAUUAUUUCUUUUGUUUUUUUUUGUUUGCUUAAAGUUUACUUCAAAAAUGGGAACUUUGAGGAGAAGCCAAACCCAAGAUUCUUGAAGAAAACAAGAAUCAUUGGGAAACAUUCACUUCCAAAAUGGGAAAUCAAUGGUCUAGUUGAGUUNNNNNNNNNNNNNNNNNNNNNNNNNNNNNNNNNNNNNNNNNNNNNNNNNNNNNNNNNNNNNNNNNNNNNNNNNNNNNNNNNNNNNNNNNNNNNNNNNNNNNNNNNNNNNNNNNNNNNNNNNNNNNNNNNNNNNNNNNNNNNNNNNNNNNNNNNNNNNNNNNNNNNNNNNNNNNNNNNNNNNNNNNNNNNNNNNNNNNNNNNNNNNNNNNNNNNNNNNNNNNNNNNNNNNNNNNNNNNNNNNNNNNNNNNNNNNNNNNNNNNNNNNNNNNNNNNNNNNNNNNNNNNNNNNNNNNNNNNNNNNNNNNNNNNNNNNNNNNNNNNNNNNNNNNNNNNNNNNNNNNNNNNNNNNNNNNNNNNNNNNNNNNNNNNNNNNNNNNNNNNNNNNNNNNNNNNNNNNNNNNNNNNNNNNNNNNNNNNNNNNNNNNNNNNNNNNNNNNNNNNNNNNNNNNNNNNNNNNNNNNNNNNNNNNNNNNNNNNNNNNNNNNNNNNNNNNNNNNNNNNNNNNNNNNNNNNNNNNNNNNNNNNNNNNNNNNNNNNNNNNNNNNNNNNNNNNNNNNNNNNNNNNNNNNNNNNNNNNNNNNNNNNNNNNNNNNNNNNNNNNNNNNNNNNNNNNNNNNNNNNNNNNNNNNNNNNNNNNNNNNNNNNNNNNNNNNNNNNNNNNNNNNNNNNNNNNNNNNNNNNNNNNNNNNNNNNNNAGGAAAACACCAAUAAAACUUGUUUUUCUAUUUUAUAUUUUUUUUGAAAAUCUUUUUCUAUUUUUUUUAAUUCAAAGAGAAUAACAAAAAAUAAAGUUUCAUUUUUAAAAAAUAAAGAUUAUGUUUUUUUUUAAUUCAAAAAGUUUGAAAAUAAAUCUUUAAAAAUUUUAUUUCGGAAAUAAACUUUAUUUCGGAGUAAAUCUUUAUUUUGGGAGCAAAAUAAGAAUUUUUUUUUUUUUUNNNNNNNNNNNNNNNNNNNNNNNNNNNNNNNNNNNNUAUUUUGGGAGGAAUUUUUUUUUUUGUUGGAAAUUUUUUUAAAAUCAUUUAUAUGAAAAAAAAUUAAUUUUUUUGUAGGAAUUUUUUAAAAAAAUUUUGGGGAAAAAAAACAGAAUUAUUUUUUAUUUUGUAGGAAAAAAAAUUAUUUUUUAUUUUUUUAAAAAAAUAUUAUCUGACUUGGAAUUUAAAAAAUAAAUAUAAAUGAUUUUUUCCACAUGUACAAGCCACGUCAACAGGUUNNGUCCUGCUGUACACCCAGGGGGCGAAAUGAGAGAAUCUAUUUUUUGCAAGGGGGUAAACAGAAAAAAAAUCUGUGCAGGGGGGUAAACGAAAAUUUGCUUAUUUUGCAGGGGGGUAAAUGAUCAUUUACCCAUUGUUAAAUGUUGGAAACAGGUUCCUUGCCUGUUAUUUUCUUUUUUUACACAAUUCCUUUCCUAUGUUAUUACUACUCCAGUAUUUUUCAUAAGUUAAAUAUAGAUCACAAUGAGUAACAUUUAUUUGGGCACAAUCACAAUGGGUCUAUUUGGGGCAAGCCAAAAAGGUUAGCUUUUAGCUUUUGUUAUGGCUUAUAAAGACCUGUUUGGUAACGGUCUUUUCAGAAAGAGCUUUUAGCUUAUUUUACUGAAACAACGUACCUUACUAUAAUUAACCAUUAUAUUAUAUUGUGAAUAUAUUUUGUUGUUAUUUUUUCAUAAAGUAUAUCAACUGAAAUGAAAAUAUUUUUUUUUUUAAAAAAUUCGACAAAUAAAAAUUAGUUUAAUAAUAAUAUUUGAAAAAUAUAUUUAUUGAAUUAAUAAACUUAAAAUAUUGUACCAAAAAAAUAAAAUAAACUUAAAAUAUUAAAUUAUAAGUAUCUUAAAUAGUAUUAAUUUGAUAAAAAAAAUUAUUGAAUUAAAGAUGUCCUUUUAUGUCAUUUUAUAUUUAUCAGUCAGUUGAACCGCUAAUUUUACCAAACACUUCAAUCACCUUAUCAGCAAGAAGCUAUGAGCCAUAAGCUAUCAGCUAGCUUAUCGGCCAUAAGCUAUUUUUGCCAAACGAGCCAAUAUUAUUUUUGGUUUUUACCACCAAUAUCCGGCCCAUAUGACCACUUAAUUUGGUUCGGGGUCAGUUCUGACAUCAAAUGGUUCCAGUUCCAUCCCGAUCGUAGUUGCGGGGAAUCAUAGUCUUCCCUACCGAAUCUAGCUUCAAUCACCACUGAACCAACUAACGAUCGAUCAAUUUAUAUAUAUUUAGGCAUACUCCCCUCUUAACGAGAGUUUGCCAUUUAUUUGGGCCUCAAGGCUCGAGGGAUUAGUCUCUGCAGUUGUGUAUAGAGAAUACCCGAUUUAUGCAAAAAAUAAAUAAAUAUGAGUUGCAUAAGUAUGACGUAACUUGUAGGAACUACUUAUUAGUAAUUAGUAAUGUAUGAGACUCAUAAUAGAUUUCUUAAAAAGAAAACCAUCGGAGAUACUCUAACAGCUAUCGGCAAGACACUUCUUAAUUUAUGUAAAAAGAACUAUAAACAAAUCUAAAAUCCUUAGAUUCCCUCAGAUAGCUCAUGGCAUGAAUUAAGGAGAAAAACUCGUUUUGUAAAGUCAAAACCUUGAUACAAUCAAUUGCAAAGUGUUUGUCCCCAAGUGCACAAUAAAAAGAGCACAGCUUUGUCCAUUAGCAACCUGAAUUCAUUUGUCUAAUUUGUUUCUUCUCAUGCUGAAAAUGGCAGUGACAUUCAAGUGUACUAUUUUUAUCACUCUGCUCUUUGCUUCUUCAGCAUUUGCUAAUGUUCAUCCCAGGUCGCCAGAAGGUAAUAUGUUCCACUCUCAUAAUUCCAAUUCUACACCUUGAUAAUUCAUUUUCACAAAUUAUUAUCUGUGUAGACGUGUCAUUAUCAUGUCUAGUGUAUGUGUUAGUUCUACAUAUUGUACUAUGCUAAUGGUUAAUGUUUAGAUGUCUAAAGUUUAGCUUUUGCAUAAAUCGCGUUAUCAUACUGUGAUUUCGUCAAUCUCAACUCCAAUCCAAACACAAUAUUCACAGGGUAAUAUGUGUUGAUUUCCGUGAUUCUGCCAAUCUCAUCGUAAUUCUUAAAGUGGUCAUUUGACUUUCAUAUUAUGGACCAGAUACAUCGGUUAUUCAAUGAAUAUGAAAAAUGAAUUUUUGCUUAUAUAUGAAACCAGAGGGGAGUAUUACGUGCAUAACCUUAUAUUCUUAAUUUCUGAUCCAUGCCAGUGUGUUGGUUGUGUUCUUUCUUUGUUUUUUUGCUUAUAGUUUACUUUCAAAAUGGGAACUUUGAGGAGAAACCAAACCCAAGAUUUUUAAAGAAAACAAGACUAAUUGGGAAACAUUCACUUCCAAAAUGGGAAAUCAAUGGUCUAGUUGAGUACAUCUCUGGAGGGCCACAACCAGGAGGAAUGUACUUUCCAGUCACACAUGGAGUUCAUGCAGUUAGGCUUGGAAAUGAAGCUUCAAUUUCCCAAACCAUUAAAGUCAAACCUGGUCAAUGGUAUGCUUUAAUAUUAGGAGCCACAAGAACUUGUGCUCAAGAUGAAGUUUUGAGAAUCUCAGUGCCUCCACAAUCUGGUGAUGUUCCUUUACAAACACUUUAUAGUCUUAAUGGUGAUGUUAUUGCUUGGGGAUUCAAGGCUAGUUCUAAUGUUGCAAAAGUUACAUUCCAUAACCCUGGUCUUCAAGAAGAUCCUACUUGUGGUCCACUUUUGGAUGCUGUUGCUAUUAGAGAGUUUUACCCUCCGAUGCCGACAAGAGGUAAUGAACCAUAUCUGUGAAUCUAGAUUCUUUGCAGGCCUGUAGUAGGUCUAAGUCCAAUCUCACAAAUUCAACUGUUUUUGUUUUGAUUUGCAGUUGAAUGAUCUGCAGCGCUGCAUAGAAUCUAAGUCAAAUAUCUGCAGCGCUGCAUAGAAUCUAAGUCAAAUAUCUAGUUUAGAUUAUGCUUUGUCCUUUGUAGGAAAAAAAUUAUUUGAAGUUGAGAAAAUACUUGUUUUUUGUGAAGUCUUUCCAAUGCAAUUAUUAGAUUUUUAUAUUUGACCUAACUCAACUCUACAAAACUGGCCUAUAAGAGGAUGGGGUGUCACUUUAUAGAAAAUCAAGCAUAUAGACUUGUUUGGAUUGAUUGAUUUAAGUUUAUCUACCAAAAUAAGCAAUUGUGUGGUUGUUUGGGUGAGCUUGCGGAAACAACUUAUGACAUAUUCAUAGGCUGUUUUCAGCUGAUUCGCAUAUGCUCUCGGUGAUUAAUUAUGAAAACAACUUAUAACAUAUACGAAUAAAGUAUGCCUUUAUUUUAUUUUCUGUUAUAGAAAUAGCUUAUACGUAAGUACUUAUACGAUAAACACUUAUGCUAUAAUCACUUAAUUAUUUAUUUUAUCCAAACUGGGCUUCUAUCUUCUUUAACAUGAUCUCUUGCAGGUAAUUUGGUAAGAAACCAUGGCUUUGAGGAAGGUCCAUUCCCUAUUUUCAACUCAACCAAUGGUGUUCUACUCCCACCAAAACAACAAGAUCUUGUAUCACCACUCCCUGGUUGGAUUAUUGAAUCUCUCAAAGCCAUUAAAUUCAUUGAUUCAAAGCAUUUUCAUGUCCCAUUUGGACAUGGAGCAGUGGAGCUUGUUGCAGGCAGAGAAAGUGCCAUUGCACAAAUUCUCAAAACUGUUCCAAACAAAGUCUACAACCUAAAAUUCACAAUUGGUGAUGCAAGAAAUGGUUGUCAUGGAUCGAUGAUGGUCGAAGCAUUUGCUGCAAAAGAUACUUUUAAAGUUCCUUUUAAAUCGGUUGGAAAGGGAACAUUCAAAACAUCAAGUUUCAACUUCAAAGCAGUUUCAAGCAGGACUAGAAUCACUUUUUAUAGUUCUUUUUAUCAUACAAGGAUUGAUGAUUUUGGAUCUCUUUGUGGUCCUGUUCUUGAUCAAGUUAUUGUAUCUCCUGUUGCUUAAACUCUCCUUAUGUUUUACCUAGUAAUUGUGAUUUUUGCUUUAUAUCAGUUGAAUGUAACGUGAUUUAUGUUUGGAUACAUUUAGGUAAAAGUGAGUUGAAUAAUAAAUGAAAAGGUUACAAAAUUAAUUGUAGAGGUAAAAACUCGAAAUUCUAGCUUCAAGUUUGAAACAAUUCCGGUGACAAAAUAAAUCCUAUUUAAAAUCUUUCGAAUAUAUCAAAAUGAAUCUACAACAGUAAAACUAAUUUUGCUUUCUUUAAAAGUGAAAUCAAACAUUAACAAAGUGCAUGCUCGGUUUUGCUAUAGAAUCUCGUUUACUUGCAUCACAAGACACGGUAGGAGACAAGCUAUAAUUGCAAUUUUUUAGAAGUUACCUCCUUAUAACUUCGAUUCACCGUAAUUUGUAACGUGAUUCCAAAUUUUGCUCAAAUUAACAUACACUAAAUUGACUUAAAAGAAAAUAUUUGAGAGUAACUGCACAUGAUUUCGUAAGUAUAUAGUACAUCUGAACGAUACAAAAACUCGUGAUUUGUGUGAAAAUGCACAUUCAGAUAAUAAAAGUUCCUCCCAAAAAUUUUAUGAUUUUAUGAUAAUAACAAAACAACUCAUAACUUUCUUCCACUAUGUCUCCAUGAGACCAGAGGCGUCUUUUGGGGGUGUGUGACAUGUGCGACGGCAUAAGGCCUCAUAAAAAUAGGGGUCUCUAAAUUUUUUUAUAGGAUAGUAGUCUUAGUAAAUGAGAGAUAUAAAACUAGGGAUUGCAGAUUUCCAAAUGCGAGAUUGUAGAGUUCAAAUACUUGAGAUUCUCUUUAUUCUAAAAUGAUUGAUUUAUUAGUUACAAAAUGUCCUAAAAGAGAUUUUUCUAUUGUGAAUAAAUUUUUUAGACGCUUUAUAGUUAAUUGUUAUACUAUAGUUUUAUUAAAUGAAGAGGCGUGUAAUAGAGAUUGUCUUGUUUUUUAGACGCUUUAUAGCUAAUUUUGCAUUGUUUAUUUUAUUAUGGCCUAUUUUUAAUAAUCCCACAUGGUCUUCAACUUUUUGGAGACGCCCCUUUUGUUAGACUAUGAAUCUUUUUUAUGUUAAUUACAAAAUGAUUAUAUUUUUAUGUUAUUUGCAAUUAAAUCAACGAUGGUUUUUUUUUUAUAAAAAAAACUUUACGUUGUUUUUAUUAAAGGGUCACUUUUAUAUUUUGCACAGAGCCUCCAAAAACUCGGAGACGCCCCUGGAUGAGACAUGCAGCAGUAGCAUGCAAAACGUUAACAUUCAAUGCUUGUGCUAUGAAUAUUUUUAUUUUAAGCAUGGCUCUGAUAACUUAAUGCUGAAUCUGAGACAUUGCCUGCAUUGUGAAGAUAGUAACAAUGAAUACUGAAUGCUCACAUUAUAACAUGCAUUGAUGCACGCGAGUCAUGACAGAAGAAUCACAGAAAAGUUAGACUUACGAAACAUGAUUUUGGAAAUAAUUUUUUAUUUCUAAAAAACAAUAGGAUAGGGAAAGAUACUUAAGUCUAAAAUAAUUUUGCUAGGCACAUUGAGAAAUUUUGAAAUAGUAGUAAUUGAUAAUGUGACAAAAGCUUUUGUAUUAUUCCACUCGAAAAAACGCUCCUUAACUAGGCGAAUUACCCUUAAUGUACCCUUAUGGUUGUAUUGGAUGUACUUACCAAUUUUUAUGAAACAACAAAAAUUAGUGGGUAGUAACGGAGACUACCAAACUCUCCAUCCAACUCUCUUCAUUCAUCUCUCUCCAUCCAACUCNNNNNNNNNNNNNNNNNNNNNNNNNNNNNNNNNNNNNNNNNNNNNNNNNNNNNNNNNNNNNNNNNNNNNNNNNNNNNNNNNNNNNNNNNNNNNNNNNNNNNNNNNNNNNNNNNNNNNNNNNNNNNNNNNNNNNNNNNNNNNNNNNNNNNNNNNNNNNNNNNNNNNNNNNNNNNNNNNNNNNNNNNNNNNNNNNNNNNNNNNNNNNNNNNNNNNNNNNNNNNNNNNNNNNNNNNNNGAGUUGGAUUGAGAAAUGCAGAUGGAGAGAGGUUGAUGGAGAGAGUUGAACGGAGACCUGAAAUUCUAGAGGAUGUGAUCAAACAGAGGAAGAUCCGGUCUAAUGUAUCAGUGAUUUCGAUAUCAACCUAUUUCGGUAAAAAUGAUCAUUGCUUCAAUAAGUAACUGUGUUCUAAUUUCAUGUUAUAUCUCGAUCUCUAAUUUUAAUCUUAUAGGAGUGAGAUGGAUGGAGAAAAAUAGAUGGAGAGAGGAAUUGAGAGAAAUUGCCUUAGCUUUCCAAGACAAUACCAUUGAAGACAAAGCAAACAAAUCAAAGCUCACUAUGGUCUAUGGUAAUAAAAGUUAGAUGGUUGAAAAAUGCUUUAGAACACUAUUCUGCUAAAAAAUUGAUAUUUAGUACAAAAGAAAUGGUUUUUGGCUGCUUGUUCUGGUAAGCUCAGUUUGAGAUGAAACAUUAAAUUGGGUCUGCAGACUCAUAUGUCAACAUGGUAAAUUAGUUUAUUUUUGCACUUAUAUAUAUUAUUGGCUUGGCACCUUUCUAAUUCUGUUUUGUUUUAUAAAAUUGCAGGUUCAACUAAUAAACAAUUUCACCAAGAAAGGAAUGACCAGCCAUUGUUACAGGAUUGCAUAUACUUUUGGAAAGUAAGAGAAGUGGUGCAAAACAAAUUGGAAGGUUUAUGGGCCAAUUUGGUUUUAAAAGGAAAAAACUGCGUGUAGGCUAUUACUUAGCAUUAACUUAUUUUAUUUUAUUGUGGUUUAUAUGAACAUAGUGGGAUGAAAUAAAUCAAAAGAGAUAUACGAAAAGUUUUAAUAUGUUCAAUUGCAAAUAUUUUGUUUUGUAGAAAUUCAUGUGUGAGAUUUGAUUGUUAUUAUUUUAUGAUUUAAGUAUGAUGCAAUUUCUUUUUGAGUUGUACCAUUGAUGAAAUAGUUUUUAUAUACUUGUUAGUUAACCAACACUUAGAGAAUUAUCUGACUCUGAUUCCCUAAUUAUUUAGGGAUACGUAAUACAAGAGAUCUUCUCUGUCGAGUUAUAAUAUCAGUAACUCUAUAUUUUAACCAAGUACAUUUGUUAUAGUGUAUAAUGUAUUAGGCUUGCCAAGCUAAAUACAUAGUUAGUUAGAGGUGGCAUGUACACCGGUCAUGACCAAGGAUUGGGUCGUGACCAAGUUUUGAUGAACAUAUAUGAGCAAAGUGACCUAUUAUAUGUCAACUCUUUCUUUUUUGUUAUAAAGUUAAAUUAACCAUUUGGACAUUAAUUAUUCUGCCGUCACCCAUUCCCUUCCCCCAAAGUCAUUUUUUUAGAUGUAGAACCACAUAUAGUGGUGCGAUGAUCGGUGGCCUUUUGCACCACCUUUCUGCCAGCUCUCCGGCAACACCGCCUUCAUGGAGUAGAGUUUUGCAGCAGAUCUGGAGGGUAUGUAGCGGUUUUUUUUUGCAGUUUUUUGCAGUGUUCUAGAAUGAUUUCUACGUUGUGGAGGUUCGACGAGCUAGGAAUUUGAUUUGUAGCAGCGGCUUUGCUACGGCUGUUUCUGGUUCUAGCCAUUGAAGCAAUGGAAAUUUGGGUUUUAGAAGAAAAUGGGUAAGGAAAAUAUGGUGGGUUUGAUCUAGUUUUUCUAAGUAAACCAUGCCACAAACGGUGCCACUGAAUCGUCUGUUCAGAUCAGAAUAUUCUUUCGGUGUGAUUGAGGUGUCAGAGUUGUACUAUGUUGAUGAUUUAGGUUUAAGUACCAAGGGGAAAAGUAUCUUCAAAAAUGUCAGUACUUCAAUGCUCAAGUCAGUAUUACUCAAGGUGAGAAAAGGAAUGAAUGAAUGUACCUCAAGGCGAGUGCAUGCAUAUAUAAUGGAAUGUGCGUGUGUAACCGUUUUGGUUGGGUUCCCAUAUGAAUGGAAUGAGUCACAAAUAUUUUUAAGAAGAAUCAUUUAUCUUAUGCUUGGUAACAUGUAUAGCGAUUAUUGCACCUUACUUUUAAUUGGACCUUUCUGAUAAUUGCGCUUUUGACCAACCGAAAACAUUAACGGACCGCAUACAGUCAUGGAUGCUGACUACCAAAUUUCAUAUCAAAUAAAUGAUAAAUCCGUGUGUCAAAAACAAAAGCUCUAUUGGCAAGAAAACUACGAAUUAAAAUAUAAAUAAAACUCAAAGAAUCCAAUGGAUUAGAAAUGUAUAACUUUAUGUACGACGGUGGAUCUAAGGCAAUUUUGUUCUCAAGUGAUUUUUAGUGAGACAUUUAAAUCACAACCAUCAUACAUUAUCGAUAUAUUUCUUAUAAAAUAUACAAACAUUUGGGAAUUCAAUGCCCAAAUUCACGAAAUAUACAAACAUUUUCAUACUAUUUUAUAAUCGAAUGGCUGAAACCGAUUAUAACAUCCUACUCUAACCUCAAAAAAUCUAAUCCUAAAUUACCCCUAUUCCGUGACAUACAUGUGGAAUAUUUCUCAAAGCUGCCCUUGUUGUCGAGUUUUUCACACAUUCAUGCAUUUGAAGUAUUUGCGACUGACCAUUUUUGACCGAAUUGUUCAUAACCGUCUGAUCUUGAUUGAACAUCUAUCAAUGUCUUGAAUGCGUGGACCUCUGACGGUUUGAAAUUUUGAUUUGUGCUUCUAUAACUCUUGAAUUCAAUCUCAAAACACACAAUUCCACAUUUGUUCUUGAUUCCUUGUAUUAAAGAUACACCCAAAAUAAAAAAAAAGAACCUAAUCAGAAAUAGUAUGGUUGUGCCAACAAAGAAGCAUAGUUACACAUCGUCCAAAGAUAUGGAUACGUGCCUUGUGUUGUUUAGCCACCGAAAAACAACGUUUUGUGAAGCUUAUUUUCCUCCUAGGUNNNNNNNNNNNNNNNNNNNNNNNNNNUUUUUUUUUUUGGUGUCACUUUCCUCCCAAGUACUACUUACUACUUUUUUAAUUAAAUAUUAAAUAUUCCUAUAAAAUAAAAUUUAUAUAUGUAUAUCCUUCAAAAAAAAAAUCAAUAUAUGUAUAAAUUCUAGAGUUAAAAAUAAAACUUCUCUCAAGGUCUUAAAUUCAAAUUAUUAUUAUGACACUUACGUUGAGUCGGUCUAUAAAAAUUAAAGAUAUGAUUUCCGAUAUUAUUUAUGAAAAUCUAGAAUAUUAUUUCUGGAUAUUACUUAUGAAAAUACUAUUUAUUUUUAAAAAAUACAUCAUUUAAAUUAGUAUUUUUAGUCAAUAGACAAAUUACUAGAUUGAAGCAAACUAUUUCACAAAUGAUAAAAAUACAUUCAUCAAUUUGCAUAUGAACUAUAGUCACUAUAAUAAUUAAAAUAUUAGAGAGAAGUAAAAAUAAAAUUUUCUGCUAGUUUUAAAAUAUUUGUCUAUAUAAAUUCAGCUUCAUCUAGAAGGAAGGAAUAUAUAUAGUUAAUUGUAUUUUUUUUGGCGAUAGAAGGAAUAAAUUCUAGAAGCCGUAUAAGGACAAGGAAAAUACUAGUAAUUGAACUUGGUCAAAACGAACGAACAGCAAAGAUUUUGUUCUUUGUUUAGGUGAGAAGAGAAGAAAAGUUACAUGGUGCAUGGAUGCUUCCAUUCCCAUAAUAACCAAUUGCUAGUACAUUAGUUAGUAUAAGAAGAAUCGUACCCACACGUGGUGUAUUACACUCCCUUAUAGUUAUACCUACCCUACUUACGUGGCAUUGUAGUCCUUAUCCAAACAUGUUUUUCUUAUUGUAAAAUUAGAAAAAGAACAAAUUGUAGUAAAACACUACUUGGUGUGUGUCCCAUCGGUUGGGUAUUUUGUGAGGGAAUAAUUUUUAUAUGGACCAAAAGAUUGGACCUCUUUUUUGUCAUACACAUAUAAAAAAUUAAAUGUAAAAAAAAUAUAUUAAAUAAAUGUGACCAAAUAUGAUUUUCUUGGUAUCAUGAACAUGCAAGAAUAUCUCUUUGUGAGGAUAGUUUCUGCUGGUGUACUAUGAAUUUCUGGCACACCUUAUUUUUACUUAUCACUAUUUAAGUAGAGAAUGUUAUAUAGCAGAUAUUAUAAAAUAAGAAAUUUGAAGAAAAAAUAUUGUCUGUUAUUUAAGUAGUAGAUAGUGUUUGAGAAAUUCAUAGGAUGCAAAAAGAAAUUACCAAAAGAAAUUCAUAGUAUUGGUAGCGGAUUGGCUAGCAUACAUUUUUAAUAAAAAAAAAACGUUUAGGUAACACGUACUACAUGUCAUUUUUCUUAUUUAUUUGUAACCUAUUCGUUUUGUAUUCUUUUUUUUUCCUUCAAAUUGGCCAUCUAUCUUUAUAAAUGUGAACAUGUUAAUCCUUUAUCUUAUUUUUUUCCCCACACUGGUUCGUUAUCUUUAUAAACAUGCGCGGAUUAAUCAUUUAUGUAAUUCAUUUGUAACAUAAUGAAGAGUUUGAAGCAAACAUAAACAAACAAAACACAUAAAUUCCUAUAAUCUUGAGGUACAUUUGAAUGUAUACUUUGUUAUAAAUUAGUGAAUAAGAUGAUGGAUGAACGUGGUGAAGAAGAGGAUGAACAAAAUAAAUGUUCAUCAUCAUAUGGUUUUAUAAAAUGUUUCAAGACGUUCAAAUGUCUCUAUGUUUCAAACCCUCCAUUAUGUUAAACAUGAAUAAGAAUAUAUUUUGAUGGCCCUAUAAAAAAAUGCACAUGUUAAAAUACACUUCAAAUUUGGUAUAGCCUAUUUUUCUUUCAAAAAUACCCUUCACAACAAUUACAUCUAUGCCAUGUCAAAAAUAAUUAUAAUUUCCCUUCAAUUUCUUUUUUUAUCUUCCAACCACCACUUAACAAUUUUUUGUAGUUUUCUUUAUCUUUUCACAGUUUAUGCAAGAUGAUUCAAUGAUCAUCGAUUCAUCUUUUUUAGAUGCAUCCAUUGAAUCAUCAAUGGAUGCAUCUAAAUUUUAACAUGUACAUUUUUUUAUAGGGCCAUCAAAAUAUAUUCUUAGUAGUACAUUAUUUGUAAUUUUUGGCAUUUAUGGUUGGAUGGAAAAUAUAUAAAUUAUUCAUCUCUUGAAUUACCUAUUAAUAGUUGUAUAUAAGAAUAAGUCCUUACAUUUUAGUGAUUUUUUUUUUAAAAAAAAACUGUUAUAUUGUUUUGUUAACUCUUGAUUGAAUUCAAUUUUAACCUUCAUGUUAAAGUAGCAUUGUCGAUGACAACAAAAAUCGAGUAAAUGUGAACGUUUAAUUUUGUAGGAUACAAUUUUCUAUCCAAAGCUUCAUUCAAGUAUGGAAAAUGUGAAUGUUUGUCUUCACAAAUUCAUGCAUGAUCAUGGGAUCAACAAACAUAUAAGUGGAGCAAGUGCUUUCUAUCGGAGUAUUUGGGAAAAAGAAUUUUUUUUUUCUUUUCUUUUCUCUUUCAAUUUAUGCUACAACUAAUGUUAGUAUUUUUCAAGUGGUUUUAUAGCUUCUUCUUUGGUUCCUAUUGCUAAAAUGAUUGUUCUUUUCAUGCAUGAUCAUGGGAUCAACAAACAUAUAAGUGGAGCAAACACUUUUUUUUUUUUGAGAUAGUGGAGCAAGCGUUCUAUUAGAGUAUUUUUGGGAAAAAUAAUUUGUUUUCUUUUUCAAUUUAUGCUACAAUUUAUGAAUUUUUCAAGUGGUUUUUUUUUUGUUUUGUUUUCACACAUAUUAGUCAAAAUAUAUACAUGUUAGUGCAAUAACAAAAUAAAAAGAGCGGACAGACGGGCACGAGAGUGCCCGUCUGCACGCUAGUAAUAAAUAAUGUCAUAAGUGAAACUAAAUAUUUAAAACAUUUGAAAGUUGAUCAAAGUGUUUCUAAUAAAAAUAAUUAAUUUUUUUUUCUUCCAAAGUAUUCAUUUUAAAAAGGACUGGAGAGAGUAUGUGAUUUUGUCAAUUUUGAGUAACAGAAAAAGAAUAAAGCAAUCACCGCGAAUAAGUGGGUGUACAGGGAUUUGAACUUUGAUCUUUGUAUAUUACGUGUAAUAUUUUUAUCAACUGAGUUAUGCUCAUGAGACUCUAUAACUAAUUUUUAUAUAAAUAAAUACUCUCGACUAAAGAUGUAUAAAAAUAAAUUGCAAAAUUAUUUAUAAAGCAGUCACACGAUAAGGCGGUGAACGCGGUGGUUGCUGCAUUCCAAGCCUAUGUUUUCAUAGGCUCCACCGCUACAUAUCGGUGAAGUCANNNNNNNNNNNNNNNNNNNNNNNNNNNNNNNNNNNNNNNNNNNNNNNNNNNNNNNNNNNNNNNNNNNNNNNNNNNNNNNNNNNNNNNNNNNNNNNNNNNNNNNNNNNNNNNNNNNNNNNNNNNNNNNNNNNNNNNNNNNNNNNNNNNNNNNNNNNNNNNNNNNNNNNNNNNNNNNNNNNNNNNNNNNNNNNNNNNNNNNNNNNNNNNNNNNNNNNNNNNNNNNNNNNNNNNNNNNNNNNNNNNNNNNNNNNNNNNNNNNNNNNNNNNNNNNNNNNNNNNNNNNNNNNNNNNNNNNNNNNNUCCGUGACUGAUUCCAAGCCUAUGUUUUCAUAGGCUCCACCGCUACAUAUCGGUGAAGUCAAUUCUCAUUUUAUGAUUCUCCACCACAAAAUUGAUCCAUGCUUGUAAGUAAACUCAUAUGUGAUCUUCACAUUUUUAAUAAGUUUUUGUAUUUAUAUUUAUAAUAUAAAAAAAUCUCUCCCACAUAAAUUUGUCCCAUGAAUCUUAUAAAAUCAAACUGAAGAAUCGAGAUCGGUGAAGAUGUUGAUGUUCCGAACCAUAUGAUCGAUGAACUAUUCUAAGCAAGAUGCUGGGAGUCGGCUUAUUUUAUGCAAGUUGCUUGUUAAUUAUUUUGUGAGAGAACUUUUGCAAUAUUAGAGACCUCACCAAUAGUUUUGUUUUCAGAGUAAAUUACAUUGUCAUCUCUUGAGAAAUGCUUAAAUUUCUUUUUUUUUUUUUCCUCUUAAAAGAAACUUGAAUUUCGUUCAUCUCAUUCUUAUAUUAAAAUCUAGAUUUUCCUCAUUUAAAUAUAAUUAAACUUAUAAUGAAUAUGUUUUCAAUAUUUUUUUUUUGACAAUAAUGUUUUCAAUAUUUUUUUAUUCACGUCAUUAACAUAUAGUUUUAAACAUUGUCAUAAAAUAUGUAGCUAUAGAAAAUAAAAUACAAAUCUUGGAUGAAAUACUAAAACCGAUUAAAAAAUAUUUCAAAUUGAAUUUUAUGUUCUAAAAUAAUAAAAUUUAAAAGAGAGAAAAAUUAAUUUCUUAAAUGAUGAGUUAAAUAAAACAAAGGCUUAAAGUUAAUUAUUAUCAUACAUUUUUUUUUAUGUUAAAAUGAAUUAAAGUGUAUAUUUUAACAUAUUUAUGCUAAAAUGGACUAACAUAUAUGUUUUAACCUAAGAGGAAAUGAGAGUGUAAAUCUUGUUUCUUUUAAGCACGGGGAUUUUAAUUUACUAUUGUUUUUACAAAUUAAUUUUCCAUAGCAAAUCAAAAAGAAUGUGAUGAAACUCAUUGUUCUAGGGUGUUUUAUUUUAUCAUAUAACAAGAAAAUAUAUCUUCAACAAAUUCACUACACUUUUUUUUCUAAAUAAAUGUAUAGAUAUUGAAAAACAUAUGUUUUCCUGUAUAAGUCUUUAUAAUAUCGAUACAUUUUAUUAUGAUGAUAGCACGUGCACUUGCGGCCUAUCAAUGAAAAAAAACAAAUAAAAAUCAUGAAUGAUUAUUAAGUCAAGAUAGUUUGUUAUCAAUGAAAUAUAUAUCUUGGAGGGAUUUUGGAACAUUCAUCAACAACAAGUAAUUGUCACUGAUAUUUUUUCCUGUAUAAGUCCUUAUAAUAUCGUCACACACAAAGAAACUUGAUUAGAGAACAAAACAAAUAAAAAUCAUGAAAGAUUAUUAAAUCAAGAUAGUUUGUUAUCAAUGCAAUAUAUAUCUUGAAGAGAUUUUGGAACAUUCCUCAACAACAAAUAAUUGUCAUUGAGAUCCUUGUGCGUUUAGCUUAGUUGCAUUUUAUAUGCAUGAGUUAAGGUUCGAACUCCAAACACGCAACUUAUUCACCUCAAAGGUUAAAUUCUAGUCGCUAGAUUAUUUUCAUAUCAUUGAUAAUUAUAAUUUAUCAUAAAAAUCAUACCCAAGGCAAAUAUUUGUAACUAAUCAAUAAGUUUAAUAUAUAUNNNNNNNNNNNNNNAUAUAUAUAUAUAUAUAUAUAUUUUUUUUUUUUAAUAUCAUGUAAAUAAAAUUGAGAAUAAUUAUAGUAUACUUCCUUCGUUCCAAAAUAAGUGUCAUUGUUGACCACUGCACACAUGGCAAUCCAAAAAUUUAACAGUUAAUAUAUUUGGUUAUAUACUAUUAAAAAUUAUAAAAGUUAAUAUUUAGAAAAUAAUCUCAUCAAAUCAAAUCCAACAAUACCUUAUUUUGUCUUUUAUGUAUUAGUUAAAAAAUAUAGUCAAAGUAGGUUAUAUGAAUAGUACACAUAAUCAAAUCAAACUAUGACAUUUAUUAAUUUACUAUUAAAACAUACAUGAAAGUGCACAAUAACUUCAAAUAUUUCAUAAUCGAUAUUUUCUACGUUAACAUAUUAGCCAAAUACAUUACAUUUAUUAUUUUUUGAUUCAACAUUAAAUAUUAAUAUCUCUAGUCUUUAACAUGAGGAAAAGCUUACUUUUUAGACUAUUUGAGUUUCUAAUAAAUCUAUACUAUAAUAUAGACUAAAUACAUUAGAAAUUGAAUGAACCUAAAAAAAAAAACUUCCUUUAUAUUAAAAAUAAGAGAGAAUAUAAUUAUUUGUUUUUUGACUCAACGUUAUUAUAAUUAAAAAAACGAAUAAAGUAUUCAAAUAUUCAACAUAACUUUACCAUAAAUUUCAUUAAUUUACCUCUUUAUAAAAAGUCUUGAUAUUAAUUAGUUAAUUAACCUAAUUUAAAUUACAACUUUGCGUUGAUUCUUUACGUAAGCUCUUCUAUAAAAACUCCUUCAGGUGAUUCACAGGAUAUCAACAUCACUACCUCCAUUUCUUUAAAUUACUUUAUCUUCUAUAGAGAGAUGGCCAAAGUCUUGAUGUUAGCAUUANNNNNNNNNNNNNNNNNNNNNNNNNNUUAUCCUUACAACAAACACCACAAACAUCAUCACCAUCACCCAUCAGUCCCAACCACUGCCCCUGCUCAACCACCAUCUUCUCACAAUGAACACCACCGACAUCAUCACCAUCAUUCAUCUUCUCCAACGCCUUCCCCUAUUCAAUCACCAUCACCUUCCCCUACAAAAACUCUUAGUCUAGAUAAUCCUAACAAAGAACACCACAAACAUCAUCACCCAUCCUCCCCGAAAUCUGCCCCUGUUCAACCACCGUCUCCUUCCCCUAGUCAUUCUCACCAUAAACAUCAUCAUCCAUCCUCCCCGAAAACUGCCCCCGUUCAACCUCCGUCUCCUUCUCCUAGUCAUUCUCACCACAAACAUCAUCACCCGUCCUCCCCAAAGUCUUCCCCUGUUCAACCACCAUCUCAUUCCCCUAGUCAUUCUCACCACAAACAUCACCACCCAUCCUCCCCAAAAUCUGCCCCUGUUCAAUCACCAUCUCAUUCCCCUAGUCACAAACAUCAUCACCCAUCCUCCCCGAAAUCUGCCCCUAUUCAACCACCGUCUCCUUCUCCUAGUCAUUCUCACCACAAACAUCACCACCCAUCCUCCCCAAAAUCUGCCCCUGUUCAACCACCAUCUCAUUCCCCUAGUCACAAACAUCACCACCCAUCCUCCCCAAAGUCUGCCCCUGUUCACCCACCAUCUCCUACCCCUAACCAUAGUCACAAAGAACACCACCAACAUCAUCACCAUCAUCCAUCAGCCCCAACCUCUUCUCAUGUUCAAUAGUUAUCUUCAAAUAUUUUGAAUGAUAGUUUUUGAUAGAUAAUUUUUGUAAGAAUAAAAAAUAAAUAAAAUUAUGUUUAUUGAUAAUUCUUGCCUCUAAUAUUCUUCGCCUUUUUUUUUAAUUUCAAAUUAUUACAAUUUGUCGAAAGAGAAAAUUAUAUGUUGAUAAUCAAUAUUCGCUAAUCAGUUCAUAAUAACGUUUAUGUUUAGUUUUUUUGUUGAUAGACGAAAUGACAAAGCCACUGAAAACACACACACACAAAGUGGAGUGACCGGGGUUUGAACCCCGGUCAUAACGUUCAACACUAACAAUUUCGACAUNNNNNNNNNNNNNNNNNNNNNNNNNNNNNNNNNNNNNNNNNNNNNNNNNNNNNNNNNNNNNNNNNNNNNNNNNNNNNNNNNNNNNNNNNNNNNNNNNNNNNNNNNNNNNNNNNNNNNNNNNNNNNNNNNNNNNNNNNNNNNNNNNNNNNNNNNNNNNNNNNNNNNNNNNNNNNNNNNNNNNNNNNNNNNNNNNNNNNNNNNNNNNNNNNNNNNNNNNNNNNNNNNNNNNNNNNNNNNNNNNNNNNNNNNNNNNNNNNNNNNNNNNNNNNNNNNNNNNNNNNNNNNNNACGUUCAACACUAACAAUUUCGACAUUUCUACUAGUUGAGCUAAGAUUUGUGAACUUUUCUUUAAUGUAUUAUCUUUGUUAGACAUAUAUAUUUCAGCUAAUAUUAUAUUCUUAUCACCAUUAAGUUCAUUCUUUUUUGUUUUUUGACGCACCAUUAAGUUCAUUCUUAACCACGCGUCAAAAGGAGUUCCUCCUAUUCAUUAAAUUUGACAAAUUAUUUUCUGACUCAACGAUUAAAUUUCUCUUGUCGAGAAGUAAUAUGUAAUUCGUAAAUAUAAAAAUUGUAAAAUUAUUGACAUAGACAUUAUGGGAAACCUCUCUCUAAAUUUUUACGAUCCACAUAGUCUCCAAAUAUUAUAAAGUAAUGUUAUUAUGGGAUAACUAUGUGAAUACUUUUCUAAUUGAUUGCUGGACGUACACAUCUUUUAAGUAAAAUUUAGAAGAGCUUAUCAAAAAAAAAAAAAUUUAGAAGAAGUGAAUGAAUGAGAAGUAAAAUUUAGUAUUGAAAUUGUAACAUCCCAAACGAGACAUUUAAGCAUUGUCGAUUGAUCUGACAAACCAACACGAGUCUUUUCAGUGAUCCAAGCAGAUAUGCCUGACCCCUAUCCAUGUGCAACAUUGGUCACUGUCUUCAUAAAAUUGGGAAAGCUUCUCUUCUCACCCCAUAUUUCUUUUCUACCCCCAAAACAUGUAAAAAACUUCGAUAAAUAGUAAUCGAUGUUUUUUUAGUUUAAAAUUUACACUAAAAAAUUUCGAAAAAUAGAAACCAAAAUUUUCUGCAUGUUUUCGGGUAGAAAAGAAAUGUGGGGGUGGAAAGAGAAGCCUUCUAAAAAUGAGGACUCGACAUAAAUUUAAUGACGCGAAAACAGAGUACCGAGAUGUUGUACUCACAAGUUGGAACAUCUGGUCCAACAUGCUAGAACAUUGUUUUAACAAAAUGAAGCCAACAUACAAAAACCUCAACAAGAAGAAUUCAUGGCUCAUUAAGGUAGCUAAAGGUAUUUUUGUUGUAAUUCUUAAAAUAUUAAUAUUGUUCAUAUUAGGUACGACUGAUUAUUUUUUUACGCUAUUGAUGUUAUUUUAAAUGUAAAUCGAGAAUGAUUCUUUUUAAUUUUUUUUGUUUUUAUUAAGGAUCCAUUUUAAAUAUUCGAAUAGGGGGGCUCCAAAUUGUCGGGAUUGGCUGUGCUCGCACACUUUUUAGAAAAUUCCUGGAUAGUCAUGGUUUAUCCUCACUUGCACACUUUUUGCGAACUUCCCAAAUUGUCACCCAUUCAAAGAGGGUUCCAAGUCAAGAACACUUAAAUGUAGAAUUCUUAUAGGAUGGCUACCAAAAAGAAAAUGCAUGCAUCUUAUCGGUAUAGAUAGUGCAAAUCAUUUCACCAUACUUGCACUGCCAUAAGAUUUCUCUCAUUCUGAUGUUAAUUUAUUUCACUUAUGUGCCCUCUCAUCCGUUCAUUGUCUAUACAUGCGAACUUCCCAAAUUGUCACCCAUCCAAAGAGACUUAAUAUUUAACAGUGGGAUACUUAUUUGCUAGUGCAAAAUUUUCUAUAUAUAUGUGGUUAUAUAAUUUUAUUUUAUUUCAAUACUAGAGUGUCACAAACUCAACCACAUAUUUUGCACAUAUAUAGCAGAUUUACUAACACAAGUGGUAACUCAAUAAUAAUAUAAAAUCCAAUAUAUACAAAACUUUUCAAUGGCAGAUUUUUAUAAGUGUUGGAUUUCAUGGUUAACCACAUAUUCUGCAUUUAGAAUUAAGGAGAUUGCUAAUUUUUACUUAAUAAUUUAUAAUAUAAAUCUCCUUAUAACAAAUAAAAUUCUCAAAAGAAUUUUUAUAUAUAAAGUAGCUAUCAUAUAAAGAGUAUGAUGAUCAUAUAUCUAAGGUUUAUAAUCAUAUGAGUGAGAUUAAGUCUCUAGUAUAUUGUAAAAUAGGGUAUGAGACUAUAUAUAUUAAAAGUUUAAUAACUCACUCAUAAAACUCAAGUGCUACAAUUAUAGACACACACAUUUGAGAAAUAGUUUGGUUACACGCAGCGGAAAUACACAAGACUUACAUUUUAUUAUUAUUGAGGAUAUAUGAGAAAGUAGUCAUUAACUUCCAUAAGUGUUGAAAAAUAACAAUAAUAUGAAAUAUGUCAAAUAUAGUGAAAAUUGAAAAAAUUGAAUAUCUCAAAUGUACAAUUUAAAAUAAUGACAUAAAAUAAAUAGAAUUUUUCUUGAUAAAGUUGUUAAGCAUUUGAGAUUUUGACAUAUUGCGUUUACAAAAUGAGUUUGCAAAAAUAUAUAAUGAUAUGAAAGUAUAUAAUAAUUUAUGAGAGAAGACUAUAAUUAAUAUCCUCAAUACAAGUCUCUACGGUAGUUUUAUGUCUAGAAUUAUGAGACAAAUAAAUAUAUUUGUUUCUUAGCUAUAGUUAAUUUGCAUGUAGAAUUUUUCUCACUUGACAAAGAUUGAUAAUUAAAAUGGUGAGAUAUUUUUCUUACACCAAGGAGAGGAUGAUCAUGUUAAGCAAUGUCAUACGGAUAGGGUAUGUCCAUCACGUCACACAAUACAUAGUGAGGCAAGUGUAUAUAUACUAUAUCAAUUUAGAAAUAUUUACCUCACUUUUUCCAUUAUUAUAGUAAAUAUUUUUUAGUUUUUUUAUUAUCGAAUCUUUUUCCAUUAUUAUAAUAAUGUUCCAAUGCUUAACCAAUUUUAUUUCCUCCCUUUGCUUUUUUUAUUAUUGACUCUUUUUCUUUAUUAUUAUUAUUAUUAUUAUUUAUUAUUUUGGAUCAUACUUAUUAUUUCAAUUUUUCUAUGUUAUAAUAUAAAACAGCGCAUCACACCCACCCGUGCAUCGCACGGGUAAGGGUCUAGUAAACUGUAAAUUGGGAGAAGUUUGCAAUUGGUUGAGAUUAUAAAAAUGAAAAUCAAAAGAGAUUUGAAUAUCAGAUGAGAAAAUCCUUUGGAUUUUUCAGCUUUUUAAUCUUGUUUUGUGUUUUUUCUUCAAACUCUUGUAAUGUCUUCAGUUGAGCUAAGUUCCUUAUUUUUACCAUAUAAUUAUACUUAAAACUUAAUAUAAUAAUAUAAAAUAACUACUAAAAACCUAAUGUGAUUGAAUGUCAUCACAAUCUUUGGAAUAUUUGUUGAGGGCUUAUGUGUUAGAGCAGAGUGGGAGUUAGGACAGGUUUCUAAGAGCGGAGAUAGUUCUGUAUUAGGACUGAACGUGGUUUAGCAAAUCACUGAGAAAGUUAAGAUAAUUUAAGAAAAGAUGAAAGCGUCUUAAAGUAGACAAAAGAUCUACCAUGACAAAAGCAAAAUAGACUUAGACUUUUAAGAGGUCGAUCAUGUAUUUAUGAGAGUCACUCGAAUGUGGGGUUUGUCGGGAAUUGAAAAUGCUCGAACUUAUCUCCUGCUUUAUUGGACCCUCUCAAAAUUUGAGACAUUUCGGUAGUGUAGCCUACCAAGUAGCAUUACCUCCUUCACUUUUCAACCUUCAUAGUGUAUUCCAUGUAUCCCAACUUCACAAGUAUGAACAGUCACAUUUAUAAGUUUAGGGUUUUGAGACCUUGGUAAAGCUUGUGAUGAUGUGAUUCCAUUGGUAAAGCUUGUCUCAGGUGGAGCAGCUAAUGAAUAUGCAACUUCGGAAAGAGGGAGUGAGACGUGCAAUUUGUACCCAUAAUUGUUUACUUCAAGCAAUUUUUUAGAAAAAAAAUUCCUUAACGAAGAGAGAAUUGGAACAAAACAAUGUAACAUCCAGAUUUUUAUAGCAUUAAAAAUUGAAUCCAACUUAUAAAUGUAUGAUGAUUUUGAGAGUAAUUACUCCUUUCUCUUAAAUAAAAUGCUCGUGUACCAAUCAUCGGUUGGUUCAGUAGUGAUUGACGCUGAACUUCGUAGGGAGAACCACGGUUAAAUCCCUCGCAACUGCGGUCGGGAGAGGGCUGAAACCACUCCUCAAACCAAAUUAAACUGGUGGUGAAAGCCAAAAAUAAAAAUAAAAAAAAUAAAAUGCUUGUGUAGUCUUGACAUUCUCACUCUCAAAAAAUAACUCAUAAAUAUACUUCUAUAUAUUUAUUUAAUUUAUUCAAUCAUACUCAAACGCAUUCCACAUUAUUAAAUGAGUCAUGUCAAACCCUAGUGGUGCGUCCUUAUCGCACUUCCGUUAGUCCAAUCAGCUGAAACUUGACAACGGAGAUCAAACUUUCAAACAGAGAAAACUAUGGAGACCAAAAAAUUAUUAAAAUCUAAAUAGAAACGAAUGUUAGAAGAUCGCACGGGAUACUUUUUUUUUUUGAACAAGUCGCACGGGAUACUUAUCAAUAAGAUAUCUAAUCUAAUUGUAUUAAUUCCCAUUAGAGAACAAAUAACAUAAACUAAUUCCUUUCAUUCCAUUAUUUUAUCGACGUAACAGUUUAACAUCUAGUGAAACUAAUUUAAAUGGACUUCCUUGGCCUUCAAGUUUUAUUUUUAUUCCAUGAGAUACAAGAAUAUUUAUUUUUAUUCCAUGAAUUAACAGUUAGUUAACAUGGACUAGAGUGAAAAGUACAAAGAGUAACACCUUAGGCCAUGCAAAUUAGCAUGAGUUAAAGAACCAGAGAAAAAUAAAACAGAUAGAUAUGAAACAAAAACAAAUGCUAAAAAACAUAGUUUUUUACUGACAAUCAACAUCAGUGGCUAAGAUGUAUACAUUACUGUUUUUUGUCGUAGUAUUUGUCAAGCACCAUCUCCGAAUACUCUCCAUAAGUAAGGGAAGCAUUUGAUGGAAUAAUCUGGAAAAAAAAUCAACCCAUUAUUGACUAGAAACUAGAAAUGUGGCAUAUCUAUUUAAUAAUAGAGAAAUGGUUUUUGUACAACCAAAUUUACACAACUUUUACAACAAUUCUUUAAGUGGCUAAUAUGGUUCAAAUAGGUGGUUGAUUGCGUUCAAUAGAUAGUUAAUGGAUAUAUCGGAUGUCAAAAUUCAUUAACCACCAAACUAAGUUUAUUUAUGGUUGAUGAGGUUUGACACUAGCAUAUCUAUUAACCAUCUACUGAAUGUAAUUAAUCUCGUAUUUGAAUUAAGUUUUUUAGGGACGUAUUUGAAUUAAGUUAACCACUUAGAUUGUUGUCGCAAAUAUUGUCUAAUUUCUGUAGUUCAAAUAACACAAUUGUCAAUAAUAUGCGGAUGUAGCAGGUAUAGUCUAAAAUCUAGAUGCGGAAAAAUAUGUUAUGUAGAAAGCUAUCUUCAUUCUUCAUGAAUUUCAGAAUUCUAUAUUUGUGAUGGAUUUCUAGUUGUUUAGUUUAACAGAAAUCAUUCAUCGGUCCCAUCAUCCACAAAAUUUAGAGGUAUUGCAGAAACCCUACAUAUUUAGUGGAACAUGAAAUGCUAUGAACUGAUAAACUAGAUUCCCUAUAUAAAGAACUUCAGUUUUUUAAUAUGCUAUGAAAUCAUUCUUUUUCUGUUUUUCAAUGCCAUCUUUUAUCAAUAAUCUGUAAUGGCUGAAUGUGAAGAACAAUUAUGACUUUCAGGAAUGUACAUACCUCUUUAUGAAUAUGAACUUCCUCUGGAAAACUGAGUUUCUCAUCCCUGGAAAGAAAAAUUAUUGACGCACAAUAUUAAGAUGAGCUCAGAUACAUCAUUGACCUCAAGCUUACACGUAAUUCUACUAUUGAAGACAACUCAACAAAAUUUAAGCAAUGGAACAGCUAAUUUGAUCUCAGAGAACAUACCAAUCAGGUUGCAUGAAUAAUGCAAAUGUCGAACGCUCAACACCAGAAGACUCCUCCCCUUUCGGAGCCUAAAAGUACCAUAUCAUCCAUAUUUUAUAUCAAAAAAUGUGCACCCAAAAUGAAAAGGAAACACAACAAAAAGUCAAAGAAAAAAUCAUCAACUAGUAUAUAGGCAAUGUAAAGCUAUAAUCUGAGUGACAAAUAGUGAGUUUGGGUGACAUCUGAUCCGUUGAGUCCACAACAACUAUUUGUUGCUUUGGCAUUGGACAUGGUUUGUAAUACCACCAACAGCAAAGCAAGCACCCUAGAAAAGGGUACUCGAUUUACAAUUUUUGGUGAAUAACAGUUUGUUACUCAAAUUUUUGUGAAUAUCAAUAGUAGUGCUCAUUUAUAUAUGUCAAUAAACUCAAACAUUUGAAAAAUCAAACUUUAUAAGUCGGAAAAUAAACUAAAAUAUAAUCAUGACAUGAAUACAAAGCAUGGUGGAAUACAAGAAACCAAUGAUGUAAAGUAAAAAAUGAGAAGGAAUAUCUGAACACAAUUCAACAGGAUGACAAUAAAAAAUGCUACAAGUCUAUCACAAGGAGAGAAAAUUUAUGCAACUUUCUGAAGUUUUUUAAAUUACCUGGACACAAUGUGGUGUUGCACGAAGAAUACCUCCAGAAAGAAUUUCAGCAGUUUCACCAAUUUGGUAAGCUAUGUCAUCUGCUCCAAACACAACCUAUAAGGGAAAAUACAAUGAAUGCAUUGUGUUAAUUCACUAAAAUUCUAAGCUUAAUAUUCACGCCAUUUAGGAAUAAUGUAUCAGGUCCAUGAAAUACUUUCAAACUUUAUCCUGACAGCUUCAAGUUAUAAGCUUCAAAUGCUUUCAAAUUCUAAGCUUCAAAUUCUAUCCUAAUAGCUUUGUUGAAAAAGAGUGGAUCAUUUUACCAUUAUUUAACAACUUUAAAAUUCUUCCAAAUACAAGUUUAUUGAAAGGGAGAAAAAGCUUCUUCUAGUUGAAAGAAAGAUGAACCAACAAAAUAUUUUUAUGUUGCAGUUGUGUAUAUCAAUAUCACCCAGUUACUUUGCAUUUCCAGAAGAAGAAAUAUUACCCAGUUACUUGCAUUACCGGGAGAAGAGUGUGUACCUUCACAAUUUGAUCAUUUCUUGUUCGAAUAUAAAGGCCAGCAGCACUAUCAGGGCAAGGUAUUUCUACACCAUCUCUUGUAAAUAUACCACAAGUCAAACCUACAUGUGUAAUCGAAAUCAACAUUGAACAGACGAUACAAUGUGAAGAUCUUCGUUAGUAAUGCUCUGAGUAACAGUUUAUAUUUUUAAAAUCCAUGUGGUUCUCUAAUCAACUUGAAUAGAGGAAUAUAGAGUCUAAGAAGUUAACAUUAUAUAGAAACAAAAUAUAAUGAAAGAGAUGGAGUUGCUACCUAGGAUUCUGUAAUGAGCCCAUAUUAAAUAAAAAUAACCAUUUGUUAAAUACCUGUCAGUGAACCAUUGUCUGUAUGCCAUCCACACCAAGAAGACAUGGAGUUGGCACCUGGGAUUCUGUAACAAGUCAUAUCUAAUUUAUUAAUAUAUUUUCAGUCAUAUACAAAGGGAUAAACUAGAAUUGUUUUCUUUAUUUAAGCAUAAUAAUUACAUAAACUAGAAAACUACAAUAUAAGUUAAAUAGCAUUGGAAAUGAACUGAAAAUAUUUAUGAUCCGAGACUAUUACCAAGUCUAGAAGUGAAGGAAUUGAUGAAAUCAAACUAUUUUACGUGUGCAAGUAAUAUUUCUCCCUUUAACCCUCUAUCCAAAAUGAAAUUGUUAUUCGGCUACCAUCAUAUAGUUAUUUCAUAUCUUUUACAGCUUAUAUGAAUAGAAAAUGUUUAAAGUAACAACCAAGCUUGUAGCUCAAUUGGCACCGGCCCAAGUCUACUAAGGUUUGGGUGUAAUUGUGAAUUGAGAGGCCUCAAUCUUGGACUGGGACUUCGGAUACACAGAUCCAUAAAUCAUAUAGUCAAAUUCUGAUUAUAAUAUCUAAUUCAUAUGUCCAACGCAUAUUAUUAUCAAUUCAGUUUUAAAAACAAGAACGAAAGAUGUUUUAAUGAAAUUAAAACAAAAAAAACUCACAUGAUUUAAAUGCAAAGGUUAAAUUGAAACUAUAAGUCUCCAUUAUCAAGGGUUGGGUUUUUCUAGUUAUCAAUAAACAAGAGGGAAAUUUUGACUAUUUAAUUUUCAAUUAAGUUGACAAAGUAAUAAUGUAUUACACCUUGAAAAAUUCAAAGAAAAGACAGAUCAAACUAAACUCUAUCAGUAGAGUCCCAUUGGCAAUGUGAACACAUUUAUUUUGUGGACAAUAUUCACACUUCACAUAUUGAUUCUACUCAAUAUUUUAGAAAAUCAACAAACAUAACCUUGGUGGUUACAUCAGAUAUCAAUAUAAAAGUCUUCCAAUAAGAUAUGAGACAUUGUAAAGAAAAUUACCCCUGUUGUGCAGGAAAAUAAUAUAGCAAACGUCCUUUGUGACAGCGGGAGCGAUUAAGUAUUGAUUCCAGACCUUCAUCCUUAUGAACUUUCAUUCCUUUGGAUACUGAUAAGUUUUGAAUGCGACAAUUGAUCAGAACAGCAAUACAAAUGAGCAGAAAAAUAGGUAAAGGAACGUGAUAAUCAACAAAAUGUUCCCAAGAUUUAAUGCACCAUCAGUCAUAUAAGGUGCCUCAGGCCUUAAUUUGAUGAAAGUAUUGAAAUUUCAAAACUUUGCCAACGUUAAAAAAUUGAAAGAUGAUUCCUAGCUUAAGGAGCAAUUGGAAAGGGUGAAAAGGGAAUCAAAAUUCAUUGAGGUGACUAAUUAAACUAAUUGGUUACUGUUUCCAUUUUUAUUUUACAUGAGAUAUUUCGGGGUAAAAAAUAAAACAGAUAUUCUUUUCUCGAGAUAGAAUAAUCACUAGUCCGAAGCCCCAAAUUCUAAUUCCUAAUCCAUCUAAAACUAUUUAGAGACUUGACAAUGGCUCUGUUUGGGAAGACAAAUAAGCUAGCUUAUAGCUUAUAAGCUAAAAGCUCUGUUUGGUAACGGUCUUUUCAUUAGGAGCUUAUAGCUUAUUUUUCGGACGCUAUUUUAAGUAGCUUAUGAGCUUAUGACUUAUCGUUUUUUCUUUCAAUUUUACCCCUUGGAAAAAUUAAAUAUUAAUUAAACAUAUAUUUUUUAUGUCAUUUCAUACUUAUAAGCUAGUUCAACUGCUAAUUUUACCAAACGCUACAAAUUCAAUCAGUUAGCUUAUUCACUAUAAGCUAAAAGCUAGCUUAUAAGUUAUUCUCUAUAAGCUCAUCCGGUAUAAGUUACCUUAUCAGUUAUCCGCUAUUUUAUACAAAACAGGGCCAAUAUAAGAAACACCACUUCAAUUUGCAAAGAAAUUUAUUAGGUUUCAAAAUUCAAAAUAGGACGGGAAAUUAUUGUCCCUGGGGAAAAAUAGUUUUUCCACCUCCAACAAGUUACAACAUGUAUGAAAUAAAAAGCUAGAGUAAUGCCACGGUUAAAGAGGCCUUUGUCUAAAGCCAAACAAAUAACAAUGACUGCCUUACCAUAUUGAUCGCAGUGAUAUGCCACCAUCAAUCCAACAUCAAAUAUCAGCUUCCCAAGUGCUUUGAAAGCUACAUGCCAAAAACAAAAGAACAGUAUACAUGUAACCAAUUGUGUUACCAUCCGGCAAAACAUGAAGAUCAAAUAGUUAGGGACAAGUUAUUACCGUUAACUAAAUUUAACAUGAUUUGGAAGUUGUAUAAACAUCAUGCACUUAACCUUCUAAAUUUAAGUUCAAAAUCCAUAAGUCAAUGUAACAACAGAGCAGAAGCAUUGUUUGAUCUCAACUUUAAAAAAAAAUAAAAUUGAACUUCUAAUAACCGUUUAUCCAUAAAAGAUGAAAAAACUAUAUGGAGUCAUUGAGUAAAUAUUUUAAGGUUAGGAACAUCCAACCACUAAACUUGAAUAGAUUAACGAUACUCAAAGUGGUUAAUCAUAAGUAAGUAUACUUAUUAACUGGAAUUAUUUUUAUCAAUAAUAAUUACUUUUUAUUACUCUGCAAAGGUGGAAUAUUUUUUCAAAAGUAAAGUUAGAGCUGAGUAAUGUUUUCACUAUCUUCUGUAUACUUGAAAUGUAAAAAGCAACAAAAACUGACAACAGGUAUACAAAAGCAAGCGGCAUGGUUUGAUUCAUGCCUGAAUGUGUAUAGGCAUAGCACCACAAGUUAAACAAUUUGUGACUUACAAUCAUCAUCUGCAUGAUCAUUCAUGUAAAACCCAAGGAAAGAAAACCGAUAAUACAGACAGAAAUCUAUAUCCCCAAAAAUAUGAAAAUAAACACAACAAAGGCAAAAUCAAUUUAGGCUUCAGGGCAUACCCAAUUCAAGAUCUGGUAAUGUGCUUCUCGGCCAUAUAUUUGAUCCACAAUAUGAUGGGUACCUACAGUUUCAUACAAAAUAAAUUAUGAUAAAAAAAAAGUAAGCAACCUAUAUAAAUAACAAUAAAAAGUAACAUCUAAGUUUAAAAGGGUAUGGAAAUAGAACUUAUAGACAGAGGUGAACUCAGUAGAAUUCUGUGAUAUCUUGCAUGAAAGUCAUAUAUUUAAAAGAAUAAUGAUUGAAUUAUGAUAUAGCAAGAAUUUCUCUAGAAUAUCCAUACAUUAUAAAGAAACACCUGGUGUAAGAAACAGCUAAAAAGUUUAUACAAAAUCAUGUGUUCUCAUCCACUUUACCGUUUUAACAAUGAUUUAUCUGUUGUAGGUGUAUCAAGUAUGGGAUUGGCAUAGAACGAUCCUUUUAAUAAAUCUGCACUCAGAGAAGAAAAAAGUAGAUAAAUAAAACCGGCCUGGCUCUAAUAAUGUAGAUAACCAACAGAUUUUCCAAAAUGCAUCCAUGCAGCAAAGUAUAAGCAUUUCCAAAUUAAUAGAUACAAAUUAAAUGUAAUAUAUAGUAUAUAGCUGAAGUACUUUCAUAUAUAACAUGUCUAUGCUAUCAACCCAUUGCAUAUUUCUUCUUAGAAAAGUGUAAUCCAUGUAGAUUCAUUAUAUAACUAUGUUUUACAUGGUUCUGUUACACCUUUGACUGGAAUAAUACACUAACCCAUUCUCAUCAAAGACUGUCCUAUGGGGAUCUCUUCCUCACAAAUUACUUUUGAAACAUGCAAUUUAGAAACUUGUUUAAACUACUUGAAGAUAUUUUUCUUUUGUGAACAGAAAACCAAUUUUUAUCGAAGAGAGAAGAAGGAAAGUUCGAUAAUGGGCAAAGUAAGACAUCCUAUUAAACCAAAAAUUCAAAAUACAAUGUAAACAAGAAGUUAAAAAUGCAGCAGCUUUGUCAAAUAUAUAUGCAUAUCCAAAAUGGAAAAAGCCAAUAAAAAGAAAUGGAUACAAACACAAGAGAGAAGCAAUAAACAAAAUCUAAUGUGAAGCCAAUUAAGGCUGCCCUGAGAAAAACCACAAUAUAAUUCAUUAUAUCCAACAGAUGAGAGAAUUACCAGGCUUGCCGGAUUCAAGUCUCUCUUUCCCAUGACUCCAACCAAUAUUAUAUCUACAAAUUCAUGGUGAAUAGAAGACGCAGAAGUCAUUAGCAAUAUGCUACUAUUAAAGGAUUUGGACAGAUGGAAAAAGAAAAUUGAAUACUUGGAUGAUGGAAUGAAGUGGAAGUGAAAAUAUAUUAGUAAGAAGUUUUAAAUUAAAAAAAAAAGUAAAAGGAAAAAAAGAAGAUAAGUUACCUACUGUUAGGAUCUUCAAGAUCAUCCUUCACUUCUUGAGGAAGAUUUGCCAAUCUGACAUAAGGAAAGGAAAAAUGUUAUCAACAAUAACAACUUGUGUUGCUAAUGUUCUAAUGUUAUCAAUAACUAAUGCACCAGGACUAUAAGUAGAAAUAGCAUAUCAAAACACCUACCUUGGUGCGAGAUGCAAAAGAUUUUUGCGCAACGAAGAAUAUCCUGGGACCUAUAAUUAGUUCCAAUUAAGUAAUUAUGAAAAUAAAAAUUGUAAUACAGCUCAAAAUAAACAUGAAUUUCCAGUUCUAAAGUUUUAUAACAUAUCUACAAUCACCACUUUUAGGAUAAGAUAGAGUUAAUGACAAGAAAUGGGCAGAGCCUAACCCUGUGUGUGCUGCCAUUUUUCACUACAGAAGCCAUUAUACUAACUAGCACAAGGUGUAAGUUCAAUCUGAGAAACUUUUCCCCUAAAAAAGAUCAUGUCUCAGCCUCAAUAUGAUUCCCGACUAUAUUUGACUUCACAAGGUAAAAUAAAGUAUAUUAUGUGUUUUGUAAGUUUGUGCUAUUACUUUGAGGUUGAACAAAAAUUGUGGGUCAUACAUUUGACUCUUUUCUUCAUAAUUUGAUAUAGGGGUGAACAUCAGUUACAGUCAAAUUCAGUCAGAAAAUCGUCCACCGAAAGCAAACCAAAGAGAACAAACGUGAACCCAUCUCCAUCCAGUCCGCUUAAUCAAUGGUUAGAGAAGACAACAUUUGCAGUCUUGAUGGGAGUGGGACAACUCAGCGCAUAUAUAAUACUGAACAAUGUGAGGCAACUGAAACUCUCUAAAUACUUGCAUUGAGCGUGUUCGAGCACCACUGAAUUUAAUUUUGGGCAACUGAGCCUGCCCGCCCUUUCUUAUGAAGCCAUCUUAAACCUUUUUUUUUCUCAUUUAGUACCCAAAACCUGCCUGAAACCAACCGCAUUACGAUUUUGACUUUCGGAUAACUUGGUUUUUGGGUGGGUCUUUAAUUUUGAUCUGCCCUUAGUUGGGUUAAGAUUCACAGACUUAAUUCAACUUUACAUGCAAACACCAACUAACUAACACAAUUAAACAUUAAACUUAUUCAACAGCAACUUAUCCAAUAAAUGAAUUCAAUCCUUAAACUCAUUGUUAUGAGAAAAUAAGAUACGCACUAUCAAUGCCAUCCAAUAGCAACAAUGUAUUCCUCCAAAUCACCCCACUUUAAUUAUAUGAUAUGGAGGAAUGUUUGAUUUCUAUUGGAUGUCAGUGUAAAAUUAGAUUACACUUAUAGACCAUAUUCCUUAAACUUUCAUCGGUAAUAAAUCGAACAAAAAUAAAAGACAAAAUAGGAUUACACACUGAUAGUGUAAAAUAAUUUUACACUAUCACCAAAUAGCAACUAUUGUAUUCUGUCAAGUCACCCCACGAUACACCACUUUGAUUAUAUGACAUUGCAGAAUGUUUGAUUACACCGUACGACUGACAGAGAAUAUCCAUUAAACUGAAAAUAAAAAAAUACAAAUGAAAUUAAAUAUUCACAUACAUCAGUGACAGAUAGAAUCCCUAAACCAUUAGGUCCAAACCCUUGUUCAAUCUUCAAUGACAAAUCAUGAUUCUUAUCCUGUCACAUUAAAAUUAAGAACAAUAUAAUCAAUAAUAAAAAACUAUAUAUAGUAAUAAUACAAAUAAAGUAUAUAUCCAUAGUCAAACAUCAAGCCAAUUAUAUAUCAGUAAGUAUUAAACAAAACAAAAAAUCAUUCAAACAAAUGAUCAAACAGAUGCAAGACGAAUCCAAUCGAGAGUUGAGAGUUGUUUUCACUAGAGAGAGAGAGAGAGUACUUGGAGGUGAGAGAAGGGAAUGGAAACAGUGGAGUAGGACAUGGUGAUUGUGUGGCGGGGAACGACUGCGUUUUGAGAAAGAGGGCGCGGGAAUGGAGACAAGAAGGUCAACAUGCCAAUGACUCCAUUUUAGUUUGAACUUCAAGACGGUAAGUCAAUACUAUAAAUUACUGAAGAAACUAUUUUCGAGUUAACGGGAUAUCUGCGCAACUACAAAGAUUAAUUACUCGAGUUUUGUGGGACAUAAAUGGAUGACAAGCUCUUCCCAAGAGUUUUAUGGAAAUAAUUGGCUAUUAUUAUGAGUACUGUUAUGGAAAAAAAAUUGGCUAUUGGACAAAAUUAUUAAUCAUCAUAAUACUAUUAAUAGAAAUAAAUAAUGAUAUUAUUAUCAUAAUUAUAAUUUAUUAUCAUACUUAAUUAUAAUUAAGUAUGAUGGCUGCUCAAUAAAUUGUUGCCAAAAAUCCUACUCACUCGUACAAUAUGGAUAAUCACCCCAACAAAAUAAGAAAAAAACAUGAAAGAGUAUCAUUAAACAUAGACCACUUGUGGUAUUUUUUGAGAUUGCGACUUAUACCAGCUUUGAUGUAAACAGAAUAGAGAUAUGGAAAUGGAAUAGCUUUAUGUGAUACAAAAGUAUCUUUAAUUUUACCAAAAAAAGUAUCUUUAACGAUUUAUUUAUUUUUCAAAUAAGUAGGUGGUUACUUGUAAAUAAUUGGAGUGUCCGGGAUUCGAACUCCAACUCUUACACACAUAUUAUAAUGUCACUGUCAAUUAAGUUAAGUCUAAGGGGACCAAUAAAAAAAAAUACAACUUUUGUAAAGAUAGUUUAUAAAAAAAAAAUAGCUUAUUAUAUUUUUAUUAGUUAGAACUUAUGAAUUAACAUAAAAACUUAGGUUAAAUUGCACUUUUAGUCUCCUGAGUUUCAGAAAGUUGCGAUUUUGGCCCCCUAUGUUUCAAAAUAGCACUUUUGACCCCUAACUUUAACCCUUUUUGCAAAAGGUUAAUUUUGAUCAAGUCAACACUGAUGUGACAAGUCACUUAAGUGGCUUAGUUGCCACAUCAAUUUUUUGUCACUUAUUAUUUGAAAAAAUAAAAAAUAAGAAAAGGAAGAGUAAAAGCAUAUUAACACUUUUGGAGCAUAAAAACUACCGUCGUAGAUCAUCUUCCUAUGCAAAACAAUCACUAGCAUUGAACUCAAGUGACUUGCUACAUCAGCAUUGACUUUGUUAAAAUUGAUCUUUUGCAAAACGGAGUAAAGAUAGGGGGCUAAAACUACUAUUUUGAAACAUAGGGGGUCAAAAUUGCAAGUUUCUAAAACAUAGAGGGCCAAAAGUACAAUUUAGCCAAAAACUUAUUUAUUUGCAUAAUUUAUUUUGUAUAAGCUCAAAAAUAAGUCAAUUUAAACGUAUCCAUAAUGCAAUGCCGCUAAAUUAAACUCACUUGAAACCUUUCUACUUUGUACUUAUUCCUUGGUUUGAUGUGAACCAAUUGUACUUAUUCCUUGGUUUGAUGUGAACCAAUUAUAUUAUAUUAUAGUUAGUUAAAUGAUGACACCUAUGCUUGGUUCCAUUUUUAAGUCGACCCAUAAUUUAUAGACCAAAAUUUACUUUCAACUCACUUUUUUAUGGAAAUGCAUCAAACAUAAAUUAUUUUACAUUCAGCUCAAUAUUUUAAGUUAGAUCAAUUUUAUAAAAUUAAUUUAUUGAAAAUAAUUUGUUACCACAGAACCAACAUGCAUGACAUUGUGACAUUGUGCACUAUUAGACUCUAUUUUAAUUCAUAAUAACCAUAACCAUAACCACACAUAACCAUAACCAUUAACCAAUUAUUACAACCAUAUUUUCAGCGCACUUCUCUUUUUAUGUUGUACGGCAUUCUUGAAGGAUCAAUUUAAAAGAAGAAGUGCGAUGAACAUAUGAUUGUAAUAAUUGGAAGAAAAAAAAUAUAAGGAGAAGUAUUACCAAGCAAUUCUAAGGUGAAGCAUUUCCAAGAUUGAUAAUUAAAAAGAUGACACACACACACAUAUGAGAAGGAAAAAAACUAAACACCUAAUGAUAUAAAAUGCAUAAACUAUCAUAAGUAACCAACCAUGUACUUUGUCAAAAAAGAAAAAACAUGUACUAUUUUUUUCAUGACUAGAAUCGAACUUGAUACUCCAGAGUUUACAAAUUACAACACUCGCACACAUUGCACACCAAUCAUUGUACUAAGGUUUAUUAUUACAGUAUAUGAAUAUUUAACACAAUGCAAGAUAAUCUAAAUUUUUGAGGUUUGCAAUAUCUCUGACUCUGAGGCAUUACACCUGAUAACUGUUUUUGUCUAUAAUAAUAUUGGAAAGUUCCCAACCCAGUCAAGCUAUUCUCAAAUCCUACAAUCUGUGUAGUGGCAAUUAUAUUCCCUAUGUUUGAUGGGAUUGUGCCAGCAAAAUUGUUGAAAUUGAAAGCAAUACUUAAAAGAGAAGUGCAGUUGAAUAUGCUAUCAGGAGGCCUACAAUCAAGUAUUCCAGUUUCUUAAUGCAGGAGAGAAUUUUAACAAUGAUUAAUUGAGUUAUAAGUUGAGUGCGACUGCUGAGAUCAAACGAUUCAAACAUGCCAAGCUGAAAAUUCUGUGCAAUUGUUCAACUUGCGUAUGUAACAAAAUUGAAUUUACAAGUCUAGGAAUUACUAUUUCCAGUUGAUUCAUCUAUAAGCCAUAAACUGAUUAGCACGCAUCUAACUACUUUAGAAGCAACAUUACGACGAAUUACUUCUUUUUAUGUAAUGUGUAUUAUAAAUAUAAGGAACCAUUCCAUUGAAAAACAUCAAAUAGCAAAGUUCAACAUAAAAUCUACAAUAUGUCAGUGUAUGCUCGAAUUUUCUGUUUGUAAGAACUUGCUAGGAUUACAAGUUGAUGGAGGAAUUGGAUAUUGAUAUUUGACACUACUAUAGAAAGAAAAGAUUUUCUGAAGUACAUUCACAUUUUAUAUUUAUAGGAAUGGAGAAACUUUCUCGUUUUACCAACCAACAUUGAGUAACUCAUUCCAAGUAAUUGGAUAAGCCGGACACCGGGAUCAAAGACUUUUCCUGCCUGCAAGUGACUGUUGCAAAUCAAUGAUAUGAUCCAAAUAAAAUCAUAAUUCGGACCAUUACCGAAAGAGCCUCCUCGGGACUGUUCUCUUAAAGGCUUUUCCUUCAAGCUUUAGUCGUCCAUGUGCUUCUCUCAAAUGACUUGGCCGGAUUGGCCCAGAUUCCCUCCUCUCUUCCAUAAUUAUUCUAGCUGCAAAGAUAGUAGCUUCGAUUAAUGGAAACAAUACAGCAACAUUAAUCACCUUGGAAACACUAUAUGCGCAGGAGUAUUUACAUUUUUCUAUUUCCAAUUUAUAUUAAAAGAAAGCAUGUCAAGCUUGUAAAGGAAAACUAAAAACAAACAUACCUGUUUCCACAACUUCACCCACAAACAUUUUUGUAAUCACUGAUACUGCAAGUGAAAUUAGCUCAGGGACUGUAUUGGUCCCAUUUAUACUUGCUACUAACUGCUUUGAGGCAAUCAAAAGAGAAGAGGCAACUGGUGAGCAAUCUUAUCAUACUAUAAUGUAAAUUAUUAGUGCAAACUGAAAUGUAAAAAUGGCAAUCUGCAAUCUCAAAAGAGUUUUGUGUAAGGAUUCGUGGCCUUAAAAUGUUGGCUUGUGUAACACCGACACAUUGAAGGCGUAUUUGGUGUUAACAUGUGUCAGUGUCCGACACCUGCACCAGACCGACACAUGUGACUACAUUGACUUUAUGUAUGAUAUUGGUGUUGACGUGUCAAUUUCCGUGUUUGAUGCUGACUACCCCGGGAGGCAACCAAGGUUUUAAAAAAUUUCUGUUACAGCAAAAAUGUCCGCGACAAAACAACCGAUACNNNNNNNNNNNNNNNNNNNNNNNNNNNNNNNNNNNNNNNNNNNNNNNNNNNNNNNNNNNNNNNNNNNNNNNNNNNNNNNNNNNNNNNNNNNNNNNNNNNNNNNNNNNNNNNNNNNNNNNNNNNNNNNNNNNNNNNNNNNNNNNNNNNNNNNNNNNNNNNNNNNNNNNNNNNNNNNNNNNNNNNNNNNNNNNNNNNNNNNNNNNNNNNNNNNNNNNNNNNNNNNNNNNNNNNNNNNNNNNNNNNNNNNNNNNNNNNNNNNNNNNNNNNNNNNNNNNNNNNNACCAAGGUUUUAAAAAAUUCUGUUACCGCAAAAAUGUCAGCGACAAAACAACCGAUACUGUUUUUUACCUUGUUUAAUUUAAAAGAAAUGCAUACCCGAGUCAUUUGAGCUUUCGUGAAUUUAGCCCUACGAAAGGACUCAUAUCUUCUCAUUUGUUGAUCAGUGAAUUGUGAAACAAUAGAACUGAGUAUUAACAAAAAAAGAAAUUAGGGUUUAUGAUAUGAUAUUGAAAAUCAUGACAUGAAAAGAAGAAAAGAAUGAAGAUCCUAGUAGUAAGUAACUGCAUCUUAGCAAUUUUGGGAGGAACAUCAGCAGGAAACAUGGCGAAAUAAAUGUCCAUAUCAUCUUUUUCUUCUUCUUGUUCAUCUUUAUUAUUCUUAGUGAUUAUGGUAGUCCUCGUGUUACUUAGUUGGGAAAUCAAGGAAUUGGAACUUGGGUCCUCUGUAUCUGAAUCGGUUUGAAUUGGGGAUUCCGGUGGUGAUUCGAAUGGAUCCUUUGAUUGCUUCAUUCUUUGAAAACGCAGAGAUAGAUAGAUUGAUUGAUUUUGUUGGAAAGUUAGAAGUGAAAGGGAAAUUCUUUGCUUGCUUAUAUAGGUUUGUGUAGUGGGUGGCUUAUUUAUAUAGCUGUCAAAUGGGCCUCGGAGGACCAGACUAAAUAAAUAGUCUAUAUUGAUCCAACUUAACUAUUAUCGACUACCCUCCCACUAUUUUAGUAACGGAUGUUAUAAAAAUGAAUUUUUUUGAAAAAUAUCGUAUGGACGUUAUAAAGGUAUGAUAUUUUUUGGAAUGUCCGCUACAUAAGUAUUUUGAUAUUUUGAAAACAAGACCUAACAAUAGUAUGACAACUAUCAUGUCACUACUAUAUAAGUUGUUUUUAAUUUAAAAUAUUAUAUAAAUAUAAUAAUUAAUCUAUAGUCUUAUAAAAAACUUCUUUAAAGUACAAACAUAUAAAUAGAAAAUUGAUUUUGGUGGGUUUGUUGGUUUUUUUUUUUAAAUUUUUUUUUACAAUGACAUCUUCUAAUUAUUAAUGACAUUAUUCUUCUUAUGUCAUCUUCUAAUAUAAACUUUGAGGUUNNNNNNNNNNNNNNNNNNNNNNNNNNNNNNNNNNNNNNNNNNNNNNNNNNNNNNNNNNNNNNNNNNNNNNNNNNNNNNNNNNNNNNNNNNNNNNNNNNNNNNNNNNNNNNNNNNNNNNNNNNNNNNNNNNNNNNNNNNNNNNNNNNNNNNNNNNNNNNNNNNNNNNNNNNNNNNNNNNNNNNNNNNNNNNNNNNNNNNNNNNNNNNNNNNNNNNNNNNNNNNNNNNNNNNNNNNNNNNNNNNNNNNNNNNNNNNNNNNNNNNNNNNNNAAGUUGUUUUUAAUUUAAAAUAGGCUUAGAUGCACUUUUGGUACCCCUAUUUUCAAAAAAAUGAAGUUUUGGUCCCCCUAUUUUAAAAACCAACUUUUUAGUCCCCUAUUUUCAUUUUUUUUGAGUUUUGAUCCCCCAUCCUAUUUUGGAGUUAAUUUUGUUGAUGUGGCCAUGUAACUAAUGAUGUGGCAACAUUUAUGUAGACAAAUUUAAUAUCCACGUCAUUAUUAUAUAUUUUUAAAUUCAAUAAAACUUUAUUUAUAAAAUAUUUUAAUUGUUAGAAUUAUAUAUUCAACUGAAAUAAUAAUUGUUAAAUCUUAUAAAAUAUGAAAUUUGAAACUCUAAUUAUCAAACCUUCAACUACUAGAAUUUUAUUCACCGUCGGAGAGAAUCCUUCCUUAUGGAUUUCACUAAUUUUAUAGUUUCCGUUCAAACUCAACAAUUUUUGGAUUUUUAAAAACGAAAAGAAAUUAGAGAUGAUUUUGUGUUUCAAUAGAAAUUACUCACACUCUUUAAACUAUCUAUGACUUUGGAUGAGUUUGAAUGAAAACCCAAAAAUUGUUUUAAGUUUGAAGUUUAAUUCUAGAUUGGUUUUAUAUAAAGUNNNNNNNNNNNNNNNNNNNNNNNNNNNNNNNNNNNNNNNNNNNNNNNNNNNNNNNNNNNNNNNNNNNAGUUUUAUUGAAUUAAAAACAAAUAAUGACAUGAAUAUUAAAUUUGUCCACGUGGACGCUGAUAUGCAUUAGUGACGAUGCCACAUCAACAAAAUUAACCCCAAAAUAGGAUGGGGGAUCAAAACUAAAAAAAAAUGAAAAUAGGGGGACUAAAAAGUUGGUUUUUAAAAUAGGGGGACCAAAACUUCAUUUUUUUGAAAAUAGAGGGACAAAAGUGCAUUUAAGCCUUUAAAAAAUUAUAUAAAUAUAAUAAUUAAUCUAUAGUCUUAUAAAAAACUUCUUUAAAGUACAAACAUAUAAAUAGAAAAUUGAUUUUGGUGGGUUUGUUGGUUUUUUUUAAAAAUUUUUUUUUUACAAUAUUAAAUCAUUAACAAUGACAUCUUCUAAUUAUUAAUGACAUUAUUUUUCUUAUGUCAUCUUCUAAUAUAAACUUUGAGGUUAAGUUUGUUAGGAGACAAGCGAAUUUGGUUGUUCAUACUCUUCCUAGGGCGGCCAAAGCUUGNNNNNNNNNNNNNNNNNNNNNNNNNNNNNNNNNNNNNNNNNNNNNNNNNNNNNNNNNNNNNNNNNNNNNNNNNNNNNNNNNNNNNNNNNNNNNNNNNNNNNNNNNNNNNNNNNNNNNNNNNNNNNNNNNNNNNNNNNNNNNNNNNUCGAUCUUAAUUUCUUUAUUUUCAUUCAUUUUUUCAUCAUCUGAUUAUUAUUAUGAGUUUAAUUGUUGUGCACCGUCGGUGUAAAUUAUUUUUACACAUACAUCCAAUGACGCAUUGCCACGUCAUAUAAUGAAUGUGACACAUCAUGUGUUUUUAAUGACCAUACAUGAUGUGUCAGUUUUUUAUUGGACGCAUGUGCAAAAUAACUUUACACCGACGGUGCAUAUAAAUUAAAUUCUAUUAUUAUUAUUAUUAUUAUUAUUGAUAAUCAUGAUUGUUAGGUCAAUGAAGAAAUUGAGGCUCAUAUUCAGAUCACACGCGAGAUCGAAAACAGUAUCGUCAAAUGCGAAGAGAUGGAGAGCCAUUUUGAGAUAAAGGAAGCUGAAUUGAUCAGAACCAGUGGCGUUUUGCAGUUCGAAACUGUUGGAUAUGUAACUGUCGCCGGUUAGAAUUAUUCCCUUCGCUCUAGCUCCCUUCAUUUCGAUAUAUCAGAUUAGAUGUAUUUGGUAGUAUCAUUGAUUGUUCUGAUCUGUUAAUUAAUCGGCGUGUUUAUAGAAAUAUUCGAUUAGUUUUAGAUCAGUUUUUCUGAUUAACAAUUGAAAUUCCUGAUUGAACAAUGAAUAAGUCCGUGUAAAUAAUUAUAUGCAUGUUGAACAGUACUGUGAACCAACAAUUAGAUCGGUUAAAUUAAUCAAUUAUUUUCUAAUUAGUGUUAAUUUCUUAGGUUUUAUUCUUGGGGUACCUAUUACUAGUGUGAAGCACUUUUCAUUUUAUAACAGAUUAAAACUUGAAUUCAAAAAUAUAAUAAUAACAAUAAUUUAAUAUGAAUGUGUAAAAAUUGUAGAUGUUAUUACUGAAAAUUUGUUUUUGCCAAUUUUUUGAAUAUUAAGAAGCAAACAGAUUUGCUUGGUUUUAAGAAAAGGGUAGGUGACUGCAAUUUCAGUGGGUAUAUCAAGAUUUUUGACGUCUUUACGAUUACGAUCGCGUAGUGAAUACACUUGAAGUUUAUUUAACAACUAUUCUAUGUAAUAUUGUCGAUUAUGUCGUGAUUGCGAUUUAAAACUUUGGCCGCGACAUAUUGCUUGAAAAGUUUCUUUUUUAAGGACACCAAGUUAGCUAGAUUGCACAUAUUCUUCUUCUUUAUUGAUAAAAAAUGAAUUAAUUGGACCACAUACCUACCUAGAUAUCAGUAUCAUUCCUUUACUUCUUAAUUUUUUUGGAUUGUAAGUCCUUCACUUCUUAUUGGACAUUAGAAUGAAAUAAAUAGGCAUUUUUUUAACUUGUCCUGUUUCCUUCAUAUAUGUAUUCGUGUUUAAGUUUUAUUACCAAUAAAUAGCAUAGGCUUUGGGGCUUUGCCCCUCUUUUGUACCAAAAAAAUAAAAAUAGCAUAGGCUUUUCUUUACUUUUUUUUCCUCUCUGUGACUUUUACCUUUACCUCUGUUAAGUUUAUAUUUUUUUUUAACAUUACUGUAUGUUUGAAAAUGUCUUCCUAUAUGUAUGUAUAUGUUUCUCUCAAGCCUUCCUAUAUGUAUAUGUUUUAUUACCAAUUUGGUUAGCAAAAUCUGAAAAUGUCUCAAAAUUUUGAUUUUGAAAUUAGUAUAUCCAGAAAACCUGGUUGAGGACUUGUGCGUCUAAUAUGUUCCCCGAUACAGAUCAGCCCCUACAAAACGUCGGUGAACCAUUUGUAGUCUGUACACUUGUAACAUGGUUAUAAAAAAGAAAUUCUGAACCUACCUUAUUGAACAAUUAAUUGUUUGGUAGCCAUUUUUAUUGUUUCUGUUUUCCUAGGGUGCUGUAUUAAUUUUUCCUCCUUCAUUUUAUAGCUGAUUUCAGGGCAUCAGUGAAUACUUUGGAGAAAGAGAUAUGCUGUCUAAAAAUCAAGCGGGAUGAAAUGGUUAAUAGAAUGGACGAAAAACGGUACUGAAAGAUUUUUUAUUAUCCGUAGAUAUAUGUAGUUAUUGAAGUCUAUUUUGUUUUGGACUUCACUACAAGUUAAAAUUUGCAAAUGCUAAUUAUUAUUUGGGCUCCAUCACAGCUAAAAAGAAAACAAUACUGUACUGUGAGAAGAAAUAUCAAUUUUGAACUUUUUGUUUGGAUUGAAAUUUGCCAUAUCAUAUAGUAUAGUUUAUGCAUUAUGUUAUAGUACUUCCAAAAAUUGGGAUGACAGAAACUUUAACUGGGCAUUCACAUGUGGUAUGGAUGUAUAUCUACAAUUAAUAUAAGAUCUAGUAAUAUAGUCUGAGAAUAUCUUCUAAGAACCUAUAGCCUAUGCACGGACCCAGACACGAAUACCGGACACGACACGGACACUGACACGUCGACACCAAUAAUAGUUUGAGAAAAUGACAUAAUUCAAUGUAAGCAUAAGUGUCGGUGUCGUGUUUGUGUCCGACACUGAUGCAUGUCGGACACCGAGAUAUGCUGAAUCUGAGUAGUGUCCGUGCUUCAUAGUAUAGCCGACUAAAUAGCAUGAAUUAAUGUGCCCUUGUGUAACAUUGCAAUGUUGCAUCUUAAUUUGAUGACCAAUUGAUUUGUUUCCAUGCAGGGAAGAAUUUACAGCACACUGCCUAGAAUUUCAAAGAGAAAUUGACAAUAAAGAAAAUUGUAAAGUGAGGACUUUGUUGUCCGAGAAAUAUUCACUUGAAAAUGAAAUUCAACUUUUGGAUGAGAAGAAUUCUGUUUUGAAAAAUUCAGUAUUGGCAUUUGUAGAGGAAAUUCUUGAAGAUCUUCAUAAUUCAAACUCAGGUAAUAAUCUGUACAUAUUUAUACAAGGAAGUAAGUUUUUCAUGCUAAGUGUUGGUUUAUAUUAUUGAUUUGAUCCACCAAACCAAACUAAUUGUAUGUUUGGUAUCACGAGUAUGCCAAAAUCGCGGUGACUCAUCGUGAUUUUGGAGAAGCUACAGUGUGUAGCUUUUAGGAAAUCACAGUGGAUUACCGUGAUUCUGAGGUAUCCACCACGAUACCAAACAUAGGCUAAGAAUUAACAUAUUAUUAUAGGGAUUAAAGUUAAUGCUGUAGCCUAACUUUUCCUAUCUGCAGCAUUAGAAGUUGAGAUCCAGAGCAAGAAGUGGGAGAAUGAGAUAUUACUUAAAGAUAUCAAUGAACUAAAGAUUACACUGUUUUCAGCAAUUGGGACCAGUGAUAAUCUACUGUAAAUUCCUUUCUUUAAACAAAUUCCUUUCCAAAUUUGGUCAUUAAUUAAGAUUGAAAGUUAUUUGAAAAUGAUGCUAGAAAAAACCAAGCAGUGAUCAGUGUGUUGUAGUUCUCAUGUUCUGGUAAAGUUGUAAGAUUGACAAAAAAUGAAAGAGAGGUAGUCCUUUUGGUUGAUGACUAAUUAGCAUAGUUGUAAAUAUUUAGCAUAGUUAUAAAUAUCAUAUCAUGUGUCAUAUUCAUCCCUGUGAAAUUAAAUUUGACCAGUUCCGUAGUACAUGAAGAAUCGUGACUAGCUAGUAAAUGUUGGUUUCACAAAGUCCCAGGUGCAAGCCAAAGGAAAGGCAAAGCAUAGGAAAAAUUACAUUAAGAAACUUUUAAGGCUAUAUUUGGCAAACAAUAUUGGAUAGCUGACAAACUAACUUAUAACAGAUGAACUUAUCCNNNNNNNNNNNNNNNNNNNNNNNNNNNNNNNNNNNNNNNNNNNNNNNNNNNNNNNCAAAAAAAAAAAAAAAAGAUGAACUUCAAAAUAUAAAUUACAUCCUCAAUUCAUAAAAAUAACAUUUAAAUUAAUUUGUCAACGAAGAUCUAAUUAGCAAUGAUUGGUUANNNNNNNNNNNNNNNNNNNNNNNNNNNNNNNNNNNNNNNNNNNNNNNNNNNNNNNNNNNNNNNNNNNNNNNNNNNNNNNNNNNNNNNNNNNNNNNNNNNNNNNNNNNNNNNNNNNNNNNNNNNNNNNNNNNNNNNNNNNNNNNNNNNNNNNNNNNNNNNNNNNNNNNNNNNNNNNNNNNNNNNUCAUAAAAAUAACAUUUAAAUUAUAUCACGAUGAUUGUUACAACAUCUAAGAUUGUGACCUCGUUAUUGUUAAUUUGUCAACGAAGAUCUAAUUAGCAAUGAUUGGUUAAACAUUAUUUAUAGUAUAAUAUUUGUGAUUAUGUACACAAAUUUGUAAUAGAAAUGGACCAAAAACAGAAAUUGGUUCAACAGUUUAAGCAAUUUUAAAGAUUAAUCGAUUCAAAUAGAUCUUGCCAACUUCCAAAACAAGUCUGCUAUAGUCUUUCUUGUUCUAUUGUUCAUAAUUGUGAUACUGACAUAUUUAACUUCUAAUAGGAUUUUACAAAGAUAGAUAUCUCACAUUUUACAUGUCAAUUUUAUAAGAUCAAUACCAAAAACUUAUGGUUUUCAUUGGAUGAAGGAGCUUGCUGGUUGCAUAUACUGUUGCUACAUUGUUCCACAGGUGUAAAGAACUGCAACUGGGUCCCUAAGAAAAAGUUAAGUUUUUCUAGUCAAUAAUUGCUACUAAAUUUUCUCUUCUUCGUGGAAGUAUAUGUGAAUAAGAAUGAGCAUUCCAAUCCAAGCAACAAGCUCUUUUGAGAUGAUGCAGCUUUGGUUACACAGUUGAUGAUUCAGAGACUAGGCUGUCUCACAUGUGUGGCCACUGGUCAUAUAGAUUAUGGUCAGUCAAACUACAGCUAUACUUAAUUUCAUUUGCUUAUUUUGAAUAUGUACUAUGAUAUAAACGACAAACAAGGAACUGAAGGGAAGUGUUUUAACAUCGUUCGUACCUAUAAAAAGGCUCUCUCAUUUCAUUUUCUAAUUCUCAAUGGGACAAAAGUGCUCAUUUUUGGUAGGGGUCUUGCUUCGUUACUUCCACAAUCUUUCUUAUUGCCACUAUACGCAAUAUAUGUAGUGUCACUAUCCAUUCCAGUUUGGGAGGACCCAUAUAAUGUACGGUUUCUUGCAUUGCUUCGUCUUCGGUUUAAUAUAGACCAGUACCAACCAAUUGGUUGAUGUAUAUAAAUGAAUUCAUUCAUUCAUCAAAAUCAUUAUAUGGAUAUUUGGCUGUCUUUGAUGCUAAUUAGGGAUGUUAAUUUGAUCUGUAAAGGUGAUUCUUGUGAGAAUUGUCCUGUUUGAGGAUCUGAAUAGGGAGAAUUUUUCUUCAUCCCCUGAGAGAGGUUUGGGGAUGGGGCUAGAAUUUUACCGCCAGCCUCGCGGAGACUCCAUCCCCAAACACUUUAUUAAAAUAACAUUUAUAAAUGUAUAUUUAAUUACUUUAUAUAUUACUAGUUGGUCAGACACGUUCCGCACCUGUGUUUAACUUAUGUAAAAACAAGGACAUGUCUUAUGAUGAGUUUGUUAAUAAAAGAUUUUUGCCACUAAAAAAUAAAAAUGUGCCUUAUGUUAUGGUGAAUUUGUUAAUAAAAUGUUUUUAUUGCUAAAAAAAAUAAGGGUAUUGUUGGUAUUAUUUGACCCCAAAAAUAUUUGUAUCCUAUAAAUGUAGUAUUAAGUUGGUAACCGUUCAUGUAUAGGCAACCCAUUUGCCACUUAUUCACAUUUUUAUGAUUUGAUUUUUUUUAUAAAAAAUAACCAUUAUUUAAUAGAAGUUGUGAAACUAAGUCAAGGGUAAAAUAGGUAUAAUAAAAAAUUCAUCCCAAACUUAUGUAUCCUUUUUAUAGAUUAGUAUAGAUUUUUAAUUAUAUUUAAUAUGUGUAUAUUAUUUUUAAUUAUAUUUUCAUACAAUGUGUAUAAAUUUGUUUUUACGUGGUGUUUAUUAUUGUCACAAGACUCACAAUAAUGUUAUAAUUUUUGUAUUUGUUUUAUGAUUAAACUUUGUUAUUUCUUUUACGACUAGUGGGGAUCCACAUAUAUGGGGAUGAGGGGAAAAUUCUCUCCAAAGCGAAAAAUGAGAAACAUUUUAGAUGGUGGAGAAUAAAGUGGAAAAAUACUCCCUGUUCAAUCUUCAUUCCGUCGACAUCCCUAAUGUUAUUAAACUCGUUUGGACGGGGCAAUGUCCAUUUUCACUGUGGAUCGAGUAUUCGACGUUAUGGCAGAUAAUAACACACACAUCCUAAAAACAUACCGGAGCAAGAUUGAGGGAUUUGCUACGACGGUUGGAUUAAGGACCUAGACAACUUCAUACACUUUGCCACAAGGACAACUAUCUAGGAGAAGGUUUGAGAUUGGGGAACCUAGUCAAUCAAACUAAUGAACAACAAGACUAACAUAUAUAAAAAAAAUAAAAAAUCCGAACGCCUUGAUGAUAGGAGAAUUUGGUUGUGUAUAUCAAAUGACUUAUAAGUCUCAUAUUGAAUGUAACUUAAAACUCUAAAUGUUAACAUAUAAGAGUUCGUAAAAUAACAUAAGUGAAAAGACUUAUAUAUAUACUUUCGGAAGUCCUAAUAGUGGUAUUAGGGUCCAGUUUAAAUUUAACUUGACGGGGGAGGAUCAGUUUUUGGUGUUCAGUCAAAGGCACAGAGAAUCUCACACUUAAUGAAGAAAAUGCUAAUAUAUGAAGUAUGAAUCUAUUAUUAAUAUAUUAAAAUCGAUUACCACCAAAGUUACUAAUUUAUCCUUAUUUUAAGUUUUAUAUUCUUCAUUGUAAUUUCACUUAAAAUAAAUUUUUUCAAAAAUGUAUAUAAAGAAUAUAAGAUAAAUAAAAAAAAUGAUAUACUUAAAAAUAGAAACAAAAUAGAUUAUAGAUUAGAACAAAACAGAACAAUCUAUACUCAUAAAAAUAGCAACAAAACAAAUUAAUACGAUCAACUCAAUAAUCUAUUAAAAGAAAAAAGAGAAUAAAAUAGUAAAUAAAAAAAUUAUAGAAUAAAUAAGAUGAAUGUUCAUAAAAUUAGGAAAAUAGAAACAUAAAAAAUAUUAGUAAUAAUAAUAAUACAAUAAAGUUAAUUACUAAAAAAUUUAUUAAAUUAUCCUAAAUAUUUCUAAUCAAAUUUCUAACUUUUUAUUAAAAAAUAUACACGGGACUAUUAUUUGUGACAGAUAAAUAAAAAAUUAGAUAAUUUAUCAUUGAUAAUUAUAAUAAAAAAUAGCACAAUAGUUUAACUUAUAUUUUAACAAUAUUAAUAUAACAAAUUUUUAAAUAUUUUAUCCUAAAUAAAUUUUCUACCAUGAUAUAAUGACAAACUUAAAUAUCGAAUAAAAGUCAAUGACUCAUGCGAAUGCACGGAUCUUUAAACUAGUUACCAAUAUAUCUAAUACGUUAAAAAUUUUGAUUUUGGAGAAAAUGUGGUGUUCAACCUAUUGUAAAUAGAAAUAAGGGAGAAUGAGGUUUUGAUUGAAAAUAGAUGCAACACAAGAACAUAGACAUUGAGAUCACAAUAGGUAGAGUUUCAUAUUACCGUUUAUUCUUAUUCAGAGGUCAAUUCUGACAUCAAGUAAUUUCAAGCAUCUCCGUCUAUUUUUACUAUACAUGUUUGACAAAACUGAUUGCAAGUGAACAUACACAUGUCUAUGAAUAAAAGUACUCAUGUCAAUUAUUACAUAUUAUCAUGAAAUAAAUUGACUUCUUCUUUUUUUUUUUUUCAUAAUUGACUCGUUUUAUAUUACAUUCCACAUAUAUAUUGAUAUUGUUGUGGCUUUGUCUAAGGAAGGUCUUGCAUGAUAUAAAUCGCUUAUUGUGGUAAGUGAUAACGCACGCACGUCAUUGCCACUGGCUAUGAAUGGAUUCGAAUACAGGAGAAGGAAAAUAACAAGAAGCUCCUUCACAGCCAAGAAAAGUUGUGUGUGGUUUAAAAUUUUGAAAUGCAACAUACAAACAACAACAAAUAAGCUGUCUUCCAUUUUAGAUCCUAUUGGCUAGGGAUGAUAAAUAGACCAACUAAGGAUAUAUAUUAUUGAUUUUUUUUUUAUCUAAAAAAGGGCUAAAAUUAUGGAACUAAAAUGUGACNNNNNNNNNNNNNNNNAUUAUUAUUUUUUAUUUUUUAUUAUAUAUAUAUAUAUAUAUAUAUAUAUAUAUAUAUAUAUAAAGGUCGGGAGUUAAAAUAUAAAAUUUAGUUCUAGCUACUUUACUAUUUGUUAAUAUAUACUCCAUUCGGCCAUAUUUAUAAGAAAAAAACUUCUUCUUUGAUUCAUUUAAUAGUCUGUAAGUCUAGUUUACAUUAUAGAUCAGACACAUCAACUAUUCAAAUGAAUCUAAAAAAAAUGGAUUUUUGCUUAAUUAUUUGAAUAAAUUAACAUUAUUUUUAUUUUUUUUUUGCUUUCACCACCAGUUGUAUCUGGUUCGGGGGUCGGUUGAUUAUUUGAAUAAAUUAACAUUAUUAUCUUAUAUAAAUAUUCAUCUAGAAAUUGUAUUGAGUGUUCAAAAUACUCUCUGGUUUUUAAAUUAUGAAUAGAACAAGUCAAGAAAGACUACCAGACUUGUUUUUGGAAGUUGGCGAGAUCUAUUGAACCAUUAAUAUUAUCAAAUUCUAUAUAAGUUUGAUAAUUAAAUAUUUAAAUUUGGAACCACUUGUAGGUUAGUAUUGAAAUUGAAUUGUUAGUAGAGUUCUCUAUAUAUAUUGCAAUUGCAAUUUCUCAUACAGGUAGGGUUUCACUUGAUCUCUUGUCUCCUGUUUUUUAAAAUUUAUAAAACACUUGUCCCCCAUUAACAUACGCAGCUGGUCAGUUCUUGUAUCUUAAAUAUGUCAANNNNNNNNNNNNNNNNNNNNNNNNNNNNNNNNNNNNNNNNNNNNNNNNNNNNNNNNNNNNNNNNNNNNNNNNNNNNNNNNNNNNNNNNNNNNNNNNNNNNNNNNNNNNNNNNNNNNNNNNNNNNNNNNNNNNNNNNNNNNNNNNNNNNNNNNNNNNNNNNNNNNNNNNNNNNNNNNNNNNNNNNNNNNNNNNNNNNNNNNNNNNNNNNNNNNNNNNNNNNNNNNNNNNNNNNNNNNNNNNNNNNNNNNNNNNNNNNNNNNNNNNNNNNNNNNNNNNNNNNNNNNNNNNNNNNNNNNNNNNNNNNNNNNNNNNNNNNNNNNNNNNNNNNNNNNNNNNNNNNNNNNNNNNNNNNNNNNNNNNNNNNNNNNNNNNNNNNNNNNNNNNNNNNNNNNNNNNNNNNNNNNNNNNNNNNNNNNNNNNNNNNNNNNNNNNNNNNNNNNNNNNNNNNNNNNNNNNNNNNNNNNNNNNNNNNNNNNNNNNNNNNNNNNNNNNNNNNNNNNNNNNNNNNNNNNNNNNNNNNNNNNNNNNNNNNNNNNNNNNNNNNNNNNNNNNNNNNNNNNNNNNNNNNNNNNNNNNNNNNNNNNNNNNNNNNNNNNNNNNNNNNNNNNNNNNNNNNNNNNNNNNNNNNNNNNNNNNNNNNNNNNNNNNNNNNNNNNNNNNNNNNNNNNNNNNNNNNNNNNNNNNNNNNNNNNNNNNNNNNNNNNNNNNNNNNNNNNNNNNNNNNNNNNNNNNNNNNNNNNNNNNNNNNNNNNNNNNNNNNNNNNNNNNNNNNNNNNNNNNNNNNNNNNNNNNNNNNNNNNNNNNNNNNNNNNNNNNNNNNNNNNNNNNNNNNNNNNNNNNNNNNNNNNNNNNNNNNNNNNNNNNNNNNNNNNNNNNNNNNNNNNNNNNNNNNNNNNNNNNNNNNNNNNNNNNNNNNNNNNNNNNNNNNNNNNNNNNNNAAAAUAUAAAAUUUUCCACUUAUUUACCAUAAAGUUCUAGCUACUUUACUAUUUGUUAAUAUAUACUCCAUUCGACCAUAUUUAUAAGAAAAAAAUUUCUUAGAUUCAUUUAAUAGCUGUAGGUCUAGUUUACAUUAUACAUCAGACACAUCAAUUAUUCAAAUGAAUCUAAAAAAAUGAAUUUUUGCUUAAUUAUAGGCCAGAGGAGAGUGUGUGUAUCUAUAUAUAUAUAUAUAUAUAUAUAGCCAUGUAACUCAUCAAAAGUUCAAUCAUGAAAAAAUUUGAUUAUUUGAAUAAAUUAACAUCAAUUAUUUAAAUAAAUCUAAAAAUGAAUUUUUGCUUAAUUAUAGGCCAGAGGGAGUGUGUGUGUAUAUAUAGUCAUGUAACUCAUCAAAAGUCCAAUCAUGAAAGAAUUUGAUUAUUUGAAUAAAUUAACAAUAUUAUCUUAUAUUUGUAUUAAUUGAAUGGAUCCAAAUAUUCAUCUAGAAAUUGUAUUGAGUGUUCAAAAUACCCUCUGGUUUUUAAAUUAUCAAUUAUGAAUAGAACAAGUCAAGAAAGACUACCAGACUUGUUUUUGGAAGUUGGCGAGAUCUAUUUGAAACCAUUAAUAUUAUCAAAUUCUAUAUAAGUUGGAGUAUAUUGCAAUUGCAAUUGCAAUUUCUCAUACAGGUAGGGUUUCACUUGAUCUCUUGUCUCCUGUUUUUUAAAAUUUAUAAAACACUUGUCCCCCAUUAACAUACGCAGCUGGUCAGUUCUUGUAUCUUAAAUAUGUCAAAUAAUUAAAAUGGGGCCACAUAUCUAGAAUGAACUAAUAUAUUCUAUUGAUUGCUGAACAAAAUUAGAGUUAAACAAGUUUUUAAUUUUAUAAAAUUAUCAAAUUUUAUUUUGAUUCUUAUAAAAUAAAGUUGCAUAUUUUAGUCCAUAUAAAAUUAUUAUGCUUGCAGUUUUAAUUUAAUUUAAUUUUUAAGUCAACAUUUUUGUUGCUUUUAUGUUUUGAAAUUUUAACUCUAAAAGUUAUUAUAAAAUAAUUGAUCAUCCUCUAUAUUCCUAGGGUUUCCUAUAUAUAUAUAUAUNNNNNNNNNNNNNNNNNNNNNNNNNNNNNNNNNNNNNNNNNNNNNNNNNNNNGGUAUUUUCCUUGGCGAGAAUAGCCCAAGGGCGUUGUGAGAGCAGUUAACUCUGCUAUCCAUUAAUGAGGCGUCCCAUGUGGCAUAUUAUUUAGGUCUUACCUUCUUUCAAUGACUGAGUUUAUCGUUAUCUUUAGGUUUCUAUCCGUUAUGUGAUGUUCCGGUCAAACCCUCUAAGCAUGAUGAGCCUUUAAUUGUGAUAUUGUGGGCGAGCUAAGCCCAUAUAUUUUGGACGGAUGAGACCCAUAUAAUAAAGGGUGAAUCCCAUAUAAUUUUUUGGGAUUCGUCCGAUACAUUAUGUAAAAGUGAUCUUAACUAUCCAUUUUAAAUCGGACAAUUCCGAUCUGUUACAGCGUGUAAUAGCGGGAAAUCCAAAUCCCAAAUAAAUCAUGAAGCAAAACCACAAAAGUUAAGUCAGCAUGUAACAAAGACCAUAAAAUAGGAAUUAUCUCGUCCUCUAAAGUAGUACUACACAUUUGAGAUAAGAUUGAAAGCCCUAACAUAUCCUUGUUGAAAAGUAAUAAUAUGAAUUUAUAAAAAAAAUAUAAAGUUACAAAAAACAAAAAACAAAAAGAAGAGAUAGAGACAUAGAGUAGUGCAUUGUAUGGUUUUAAACAUUCCUUUCUUUUAUAUUAUUGUAGCUUGCCAGAAGUGUUGGGACCCAAAGUGUAUCUCUUUGGUAACAUAAUUGGGACAUCUCAUAUGAUCCACCACAAACCCCACGUUUGGUUUCUGCUUUAGAGACCAAGGAAAGCCAAGAGCAUAGGACCACCACAAACCCUUUUUUAUUUUUAUUUUAUAACUUUAUUAUUUAAUCAUCACUUCAUGUUGAAACUUUAUAUUUCAUACAAUUAAAUCACCCCAAAAAAGUUAUAUACUUAGAAAGCAUAAAGAGAGAACAUAAAUGCUAUAUAAAGUACACAACAUGGAGAAAAAAGGAAACAAGCAAAAUUCUAAGUUGAUACAUGCAAAUGAGAAGAUGAAGAUAGAAAGUGAGAAUACUAGAGUGUCUAAAGGAAGGCUUGUGGGAAAAAGAAUUAGUGCUCUUCUUAAAGAAGGUAGAGGAAGAUUUUAUAUAGUUAGAAGAUGUGUUAUAAUGCUUAUUUGCUCUUAAGAUUAAUAUUAGUAAGUAUUUAUUUAGAAGUUUUGUUCAUAUUAUAUAUGGCACUAUUGUAUAUUAAUUUUGCUUUCUUCAAAAAAGAAGAGAAGUUGUUAUAUAUAUAUAUAUAAUAUAGUUGAAAUAAAAACAUGAGUUGUGCAAGUAUUUAUUCAUCUUCUCUCUAUAACCUUUAUCAAUGGUGACAUUUCGUUUUGAGGAGGAAACUUAUAAUAAAACAAUGUGAAUAUAUAUGUAUUGUGCAUUUGUGUUCAUUAACAUGAAAAAUUAAUAAUGACCAACUCAAUCUAGUGUCGGAAGUAUUAUCUCUCACAAACUUAAUUAGUCUUUUAAAUAGUAUAUGAUUAAAUAUGUUUUUAAUUAGUCCUUAUAAUUAAAUCACGAGCUUUUGAGUUUAGUUCUUAAAAAAAAGUUAUUCACUGUUAAUUCUUAUUUGGAUUUUAUAUAAAGUGACUAAUUUAACUUAUUUAAGGACUAAAAGUAUCCCAUUUUUUUAAAAUGUUUUUAAAAUAGGGGCUAUUUUUAUAAACUACUAAUAUUAUGAAGAAUUAAAAUUAUCAUUAAAAUUUAAUAGGGACUAAACUUAAAAGAACAUGAUUUUAAGAGUACUAAAAAUAUAUUUAACAUUUAAAUAUAUAAAAGUAAUUGAAUAUGAAAUCAUUUUCUGUUUUCAUAAAAACAUUAUUUUAAUUCCUAAAACAUACGAAAAUUCAUCAUAUUAAUCCUUAGCAUGUUAACAACAUAGACGGGACUAUUUAGAUAAGCAGCUUCUUUGCAAUUUAUAUAGAUACUGUUUGACAUAACUUUUUUCCCUCUUAUUUUAUCUUAAAAAUAAGAAGCUAGACCAAACAACAACUUUUAAAAGCUCUAUUAAGAAAAAAAAUAACAACAGCUUCUAUAUUUUAAAAAAAAAUUAUAAUAUAUUAUCAAACAUGUCUUUUAACCAUAUAAUAAUAAUAAAAAAAAAAAACUUUUAACCUUUUUUUUAUACAAAAAGUAAGAUUUACCAAAUAACUUUAAUUUUUUAAACUAUUAUUUCUAGUUUUAUGAUUAAAAUAGCUUUUACACAAAAAAAAAAAAAAAAUUGGGUCAAAUGGUACCAUAGUACAAGUGUUUGUCAUGAUAAAUGCUUAUAUAUAAGCUUACAUAUAAGCUAUUUUUAUAGAAGAAUAAAGAUAACUUUUUUUUUAAUAUAUAUAUAUGCCACGGAUUAUUUUCAUAAGCUAUAACUAAGAACUUAUGAAAAUAAGCUGAAAAAAAAGUAAGAAAAUUUGUCAUAAAUUAUUUUUUUUUAAGUUCUCUCAAAUAGGUACUGUUUGGCAGACUUAUUUUCCACUUUUUUAUUCUUUUAAGUAGAAGGUAGGCCUAACACAAUAUAAAUUAAGUACUUAAUAAAAUUAAGAACUUAUUUUGAAAUGAAAAAUAUUGAAUAGAAGGAGCUUUGACCAAAAGUUGUUGAAAUGAACUCUCAAAAUUUAUAUCAGUAGAUAUAAACUCAAAUAAAUCAAUUCAAACAGAAAAUAAAAUUUCUAGUCCGAUCAAUUAUAGUGUUUAUUUAUAUUAUAAAUGACUAUACAAACUUUGUGUUGGGGGCAUGAGUCAUCUAUUCGAGUGAUUUCAAAUAUAUGGGUGUGUUUGUUUUAGUUUUAAAAAAAAUAUGUUUUUUUGUUUGUAUUUUAAGAAAUGAUUUUUAUGAUAUAUACACUUUGCAUGGAUAAUAUUGAUUUACAAAGAAUUAAAAAUAUUAUCUUAAAAAUUGUGCAUUCAAUUUUUUUAAAAGUUUAAAAAUAGUUUUUAUCUAUUCACAAAUUUCAGUUUAACUAACAAAAAAAUGCCGAAAUUGUUAGGUCGGACGUUAUGAUCGGGGUUCGAACUCUGACUCUCUUACUUCUAUGUGAGUUUAUAAUGGCUUUGUCAUUUCGUCUAUGUUAAAAAUAAAAAUUAUCAAUACAAAAUUUAGCACCAUCUUACAAAUUUAGGGCAAAAAAUGGACAAUGAGUGGGUGAUUUGGUGAGCUUGUUUUAAAUUUCUUUUAUUUCAAAUAUCUUGUGUUUUUAUUUUUGUAUUAAUUUUAAAUAAUAUUUAUAAUUUAGAUAGAGUCGAUUAUAAAUUUAGAACUCGUCAAUUUAAAUUGGCCUAUUUUUCUAUAAUAAGUAAAUAAUAUUGUCUCUCAAUUUACACAAUUUCCUUAUAAGAUUUCAGUUUAAAAAGUUUCUUGGCCAGAACUUGAUUUUACAUAAAUUAUAUAUAAUUAUUGAUACUAUAUCUUUAAAAUUAAAGGUACCGUAAAACCCAUGAAACACUUGUGAAUUCAAUAGGAGAGGAUGACGUCCCGUAACUCUCUAAGUACAACUUAAUUGGUAACUGCACGACGUUAUGUAAGGUUCUGUCUUAUAUAAGGUUCCCUCUGAUAAAAAUAAAUCUAUCAGAGAGAGAUGAAGAGAGAUGAUGAAUAAUACUGAGGAAAUCUGUACAAAAAUAGCUAAUUAUUUAUAAUUAACUAUAUUUAUUUUAUUUAUAAUUAAUAGUAAUAUAAUAUGUUCUACCAACUCACCCAUAUAUUUUGUUUAACAAAAAUGUGAUUGAUUAAAGCCAUUAGGUUUGGUCUGGUGAGAAGUUUAUGUAGUACGUUAUAGGUCCUGGGUUCGAUUCUCAGCUCUUUGUAAACAAAAAAAAAAAAAGUUAUUGAUUAACCACUCUACAUGUCCUGUGCAGUAUUUCUUCCCCAAUAUAGUGGAACUGGUUCUAUAAUAUAUAAGAUAAGAAUGAUGUUAUUUGAUUGAUCCAAACAAGUUCUUGCUUAAGCUUAUAAAAUCGAUUAAUGUUAAAGAGGCCAUAGUUCUUCAUUUUUGCCAUAACCCUUGAAUUCUUUAAAGUUGAAACAGAGAGUAACACUGCUUCUGCUCAAAAGCAACACAGUUUUUCCCCAGUGAACUAUACCAAACAAGCCCCAAACGAAGAUUUAAAUACUGUAUUAUUGCAAUUAUGCAUGAAGCCAGCCAUUGUUGUAUCACUCUGUCUCUAACUAUGAACAUUAUCAGCGACUCAGCAUGUAUAAAAAAUACACAUGCAAGAAUAUUACAUUAACUGGUAUACAUUAUUGAACAAAGCCAACAAAUAUUUAUGAAAUGUUACAUUGCUAAUCCAAAAUUUCAUAUUACAGAGUAAUUGUACUCGUCGUCCAUAACAAUUGUAUAACAAACUCCUACUGGGAUGCUUUAAUCAGAAACAAGUAUAUGUAAAUAAUUUGUUUGUUUGUUUUUGUUCCUCAUUGAAUGAUGACUCCUGGGCAAUAAAUAGAAGAGGGCCCAUGAAGAGUGAGCCAAGGCUAGGUUCAUGAGAUUAUUCAUUAUUAAUAUAAAGCUAUUCUUUCUUCACUUACUUUCAUCCAAAGUACCCACAAGGCAUUUCUCCAAUAAGAAUUCAGCAUUAACCCAAGCAUGGUAUUUAUCUGACAAAGGGGGUUAAGGAAAAGGUUGCAAGAAAUCAUUCAAGAACAUAAACUAUAAGCCUGGGAAACCUAGACAAAAACUGAAUCAUAGACAUAUUGCAGGUGCAUGAGCAAGAAAACAGGAAUAACUAGCGUUAAAUAGGAAUAAUCAAUAUAGUCAUCCACUGCAAGUACUUUGAAACCAAUUUAGAUUUGAUUUGUGUUGGUCAUCAUAUGCAUAAAAGACUCUGGAAUCUUAUAAAUAGGAUUCCAAGCAUUCGGGAAACUAAGAUCUCCAUCUCCUCUUACUAAACACCUCUUUAGUAGGCACAUUUAUCUUGAAAUGUGCAAAUUUCAACUCCAAUUUCUAAGUAAUGUAAAAUUGGGUCGUAAUUUCAAUUCCUCGUAUGGAACAUAAGUGUACAUUUGGAUGAGUGGUGAGUUAGGCAAAAUCUUAGUGACACCAUGAUUUUGUUGAAGCUUCAAAGUGUAGCUUCUAUCUAAAUCGUGGUGGCUCAUUGUGAUUCUACCAUUCUCACCGUGAAUCCAAACACGAACUAAGACAUGCUAAAACAUGUUAGAAGCAUUUAUCAAGCUUAACUAGCACAUCAAAUGCAAUGCAUACAGAGACAACUGUUCGAAGAGAUUGACAUAUGGAUGAGUGAAGCAACUAAAAGCUAUAAAUUCAAUGGUAACAUUAAAUUAACAGAAACAGAGAAAUCAAGUAAGUUCGCAAACUUAAAUAAUACAGUAGAGAAAUAACAAAAAGGAUACUGAAUAGAGAUGUGCAAUCUUUUCCCACUGUCUUCAUCAACAUAUCAACACCUGAUUUUCCCCAACAGGAAAUGCAUAUGACAAAUUUUAAUGAAACCAGUAACAAGAAUAAUGAAAUGUCAUAUAUGAACUUGAAGAUUGAGCUGAUAGCUGUACCUCCAGGGUGAAACUUCAUAUAUGGUGAUACAUUGUAAACACGGCCUUUUAAUACAGUCCACAUUUCACCUUCUAAUUUAUGUUUUCUAACUUCAUCCAUAGAAAUAAGUCUCCUGUUUGACUGUCCUUUUAGACCUGGAUCAACAUAAAUAGCAUCACUUAUUAUUAUUCUUAUAAAAUGUAAUGACAAGAACUAUUAAGUUCCCAGAAAUAAGUUACAACCAAAAACUUGACGAAAAAUACUAUUUGCAAAUGGUAUCUUUCAUAACUAAAGCAACUAGGAGUGCAAGUAACCUCUAUAUGCAUAUAAAUGGUCUGAAACUUUUUGGUUACAGAGCAAGACAAAGGAUUUCAAUAUAGUAAAAGAGUUGCUAUAAUUUGAAAUAGAAAUAACUUGCACAUAUGAACAAGAAAAUAAGAUUGUUUUUCUUUUGACCGAAAGCUUUUCGAUUAUUAGGAAGAGUGGAGAGAAAAACACUUCCAAUUUAGUGGCGGUGGCGGAGCUAGAAACCAAAAGUGCAGGGACAUCCAAUAAUUGAAAAUAAUAAAACAAAGGAUGGAAUCAACUAUACACAUGCUACAAGUUAAUCACAAGAAAAGGAAAUAUUAUAUAUUAAACUGAAGAAAAACAAAAUAAGUGGAGCGAACAGGAAGGAAAAAACAGGGAGCAUAAAAUGUAAGAAAUGAAAAUCAUACAAGAAGGGAUAGGGCAUUCAAGGUGGUUGGCUGAAUUCAACCUUGGAACAGGAAAAUUUAAGAGCCCAAGCUCCCCUAGGUCAUAACAAAGACUUGACAUUGAAUUAUCCUAAAUGUCAUAUUUGGAGUAGAGAGUAAUGGUAUCAUUGGCAUUGACUAUGAACUUUAGUAAUGGUAUCAUAAGGAUGGAAAAUUGGGACCGCAAGUGUGUGCAAAAACUUAAAACAGGGAACACAUAUUCAAGUUUCAACUAUUAAAUCAACCAGUAGCACUUAAUUCUUUCAAGUGUUGUUACAUCACAAAGCUCUAAGCAGUGUUGUUUAUGGCGGAAGGCAAAAAAUCCACCAUUUAAACACACCAUUGUGACUUACAGCACUACCACGAUGGACAUCCCUUCACAAUAUGUGCCUAUGGCAGUUGUCAAAAAUCAGCCAUGCCAUUCCGCCAUUGCGGUGUCUUGGCCGACAUAAACAACAUUGGUGUAACUAAGUAAUGAGAUGAAUUUUUUUACAAAUAGGGUCAACAGAAUAACUGUACCUGCAAGGUCAGGAUGAGUUCGUGUAAGCUUGAGCCAGUCCAUUUGACUAUAACCCUUUUCAAAAGGAACUUUGGCCCGAACUGUUGGCUUUUUAACAGAACUCUUCUGUUCUGGCAACUUCUGAGGCANNNNNNNNNNNNNNNNNNNNNNNNNNNNNNNNNNNNNNNNNNNNNNNNNNNNNNNNNNNNNNNNNNNNNNNAUUACACUGAAAGACAAAGAACCAACUGUACCCUCCUUUUUAGAGCUGGAAGAAUCAUUUGGUAAACCAUCCUUCCAUAAGAAACCACCAUUACUAUUUUUACUACUACUGACAUUUGAGGAUUCUUCUUUUAUGGAAAUAUCAGCAAUUUCUGAAACAAGCUCAUUUGUUUCUUCCACAGGUGUACUGACCUAAAAAGUCAUAUUUUAAAUUAGAAGGGUGCAUGGUUUUGGUUUGCAAAGUGUAAGAGUAAACCUCCGAUUUAAUUUGUAAAAGAUUAUUCUCUCUUCUACUUUCUCCUAAUAAAAACGAAAAAUAAUUCUAAAUCAUAUUAAAGCAAGUGUACCGUAAGUAGGUAUUUGUUUUACAGAAAUAUCCAAUUAAAAUGUAUCACUACAUUCCCCAACUUUUAUCUGUGCAAUUUAAAGUUGAUAAUAUGACAUUGAUAGAACAAUAGAAGUAUCAAAGUGAGUGUCAGUUGUAAAACUAAUUUACACCAACAGGAUAUACUCAUUAAACUCUAUCGCCCCGCUUGGAUAAACUAACGUAAUUAGACACUUAUAGAGUUAUAGUGUAAACACUUAUCAUAUGAGUGUUCAUGUAUAAGAUAUUUCUAUAGCAAAAGAUAAAAUAAAGUCAAAUUAUGUUCACAUAAGCCCAUAAGUUGUUUUCACAAGCUUAUGGAAAUAAGUUGAAAACAGCUCAUGCGUCAUGAUGAACAUGUCAUACAUUGUUUUAUUAAAUUCUCCUAUGCAGUCUCACAAGUGUUUAUGCCUCUGGAUAACUCAAAUGUGUAUGUUUGGUUUAGCUUUUGGAAGAGCUAAAAUUGAUUCUAGUAAGGUAGAAUUGAUUGUGACAUGUUUGGUUGCCCAAAUGUAAAAAAUUGAUUUUGGCUCCAGAAUUGAUUAUACUUGAAGUCAUAAAUUGUAGUUUAUGAUUCUAUAAUUGAUUUUUACACUCAAAUUUAUUGUUCAACUCACUUAUACGUUAAUGUAUCCAAAACAUAAAUCACUUAACCUUCAACUCAAUNNNNNNNNNNNNNNNNNNNNNNNNNNNNNNNNNNNNNNNNNNNNNNNNNNNNNNNNNNNNNNNNNNUUGAGCUUAUGAAAAAUAGCUUAUGCAAAUAAAUAAGCUUUUAUGUUAAUUCAUAACUUUUUACUAACGAAAAUUUUAUCUUCAUAAGCUGUUUUUUUCGCAAACUACAUUGACAGAUGACAAGCUUAUGAAUAAUACAUAAAAGCUUAUUUAUUUGCAUAAGUUGUUUUCCAUAAGCUCAAAAUUGUAUCUUCAUAAGCUGUUUUUUAGUAAACAGCAUCGACAAAUGACAAGCUUAUGAAUAAUACAUAAAAGCUUAUUUAUUUGCAUAAGUUGUUUUCCAUAAGCUCAAAAUUGUAUUUUCCUAAACUACAUUGACAAAUGACAAGCUGAUGAAUAAUACAUAUAAGCUUAUUUAUUUGCAUAAGUUGUUUUGUAUAAGCUCAAAAAUAAGUGAAUCCAAAUUCCCCCAAGCCCUAUAUCAAAAGUAUCCAACUAAUGAUGAUGUAACAUAUUGACAAAAUGAAUUUUGGUUAUUACUCCUAUUUUGAUAGUGUGAAUAAGUGAAUGAAAGAAUAUGAAAAUAGAAAAGAAAAUGGUAGUGGUUUUACCUGACAAAAAGUGAAAUCAUUAUCACUGUCCAUUUGAAACCAAACUGAUGAUGAUGAUUGCACGAUUUCCGGAUCGGUAAUUAUGGUGGCAGAAUCGCACGAUCUCCGGUGAUUACUGGCUAGGGUUCCGUUAUUCGCGAAUUGCGAUUCUAUCACUGUCUGCAAUGCUGCGUGCGUGCGUGCGAACCAAUACGGUUUCUUCCGUGCGAAAGGUCUGCGAUUAUGCUUUUCCCACUUUCUUUCUAUUAAUGGUUUCUUUGUUUGUUUGUUUGAAGAGAAAUAAGGAAGAGAGAAAUAGAGAAGAGAUUGUGACUUUCACUUGUUGUUUGGAAUGCAUAGAAAUAGGGAAAAAGAUAUUACAAAAUGAAGGGACCCAUUACUUGGGUUUUUUUUUUUAAUGAAAGUGAAGAAAGGGGGUGAAGUCGCUUUUAAGAGAUGUUAAUUUGUAUAUGUUGAUGAAAAUUCUCGCAGAGAUUAUCUGUUUGAGCCUUUGAGUUUGAAGAUUGUUUCCUUGUGGGGUUGAGAUGGAGAGAAAAGUCCAAGAGGAUACUUCAGGGGUAGGAAUCGGGGCUAAUAUNNNNNNNNNNNNNNNNNNNNNNNNNNNNNNNNNNNNNNNNNNNNNNNNNNNNNNNNNNNNNNNNNNNNNNNNNNNNNNNNNNNNNNNNNNNNNNNNNNNNNNNNNNNAGUAUAACUAUAAGAAUAUUCUUUUUACUUUUUUUUUUUUGACAAAUCUAUAGGAAUAUUCAUGUUAAUUUGUUUUGUGGUAUAAAUUUAAUUGUUUGUAAGUCAAAGCUAUGAAGUUUAUUGGAUUUGCUCGAAAGGGAUGUUUAAGGGUAUGUUUGGAUCACAAAAGAAAGUAAGAGGAAAGAAAGUGAAAGGAAAGAAAGUGAAAAGUGAAAUGGUUUUUUAGUUGUUUGGUAUAAGAGAAAGUGAAAGGAAAGAAAGUUAAAAAGUAAUAUUUAUAUUUGCAAAAUGAAAAAAGUAACCUUAACCUUAACAAUCUUUGAGCGGUAAGAUUUUAUAUGUGGGUCCUAGCUGAAACUUUCUUUCCUUCCUAUUUUAAAGAGUUACCAAACGAUGCAAAGUGGAUCCAUCCACCCACUUUCUUUCCCUUCUCUUAUCUUUCCUCUAAACCAAACACAGUGUAAGAGUUCUAAGUAUCCUAGAGAUUAGAGGUGUUAGAAGUACCGGUUAAAGGUGGAAAGCAAGUCUGUCAUUAGUGUUCUUUAUGGAAAAAUAAAUAAUGAAGUAGAGUUAAAAAAAACUAUUUUUUUAUUUAGUUAAAAAAAUUAUCUUUUACCGUUGAACAGACUAAUCCUCAAAUUUUGUGAGAUCUAAAUGAAUGACAAACUCUCUCUAAAAAUUAGAGAAUUUGUAUAAAAAAUCGGAGUUAAAAUAAUAAUGGCAUAUCAUAUGAUCAAUUAACAAUUAACCGAUUAGAUUUGUUUGACUUUUUUGUUGUCAAAAUUACUUCUAAAAUUACGUAUAUAAUUGAUUGUAAUGUAAAUAUUACAUGUAAACUAAACUAAAACUAAAAAAUUAAAAUAAUUGCAGGUGGUAUACAUACCUUUUUGUAUUAAACAAAUAAUAAAUGUUGACUAUUCUGUUAAUUGUCAGCACCUGUGGCCUAAUGGAUAAGGCGUUUGACUUCUAAUCAAACGAUUGUGGGUUCGAGUCCCACCAGGUGUGUUUUUCUGUUUUUUUAAUAAUUAUUUUUAUUUGACAAAACAUGUACCAUUGUGUAAACAUCUAUUGAAAAAUCAGAUUUGAACGUUAAAUUGGAAUGGUAGUCUUUUUUUUUUACAAGAACAAACUUGUUUCAUUUCUAAUAAAAUAGUUCUCAUAAUACAGGUUGGGAUAAAAUCAAAAAUUGUGGAAUUAGCAUACGACCUUGACGCCCUUGCAAUUGGAAGGGUGUGAGCAACAAGGUUUGCUUGUCUUCGAAUAAAACUAACACUAAAGUUUUGCAAACAAUUUAAUAGAGCCUUACACUUUCUAAUAAUAAUGUCAUAUUUGGCUACAUUUGUAAGAUUUCCAACGACUCCAUCCACCACCGAUUUACAAUCAAGUUCGAUGUUUACGCGUUGAAUACCCAACUCCCUUAACAAAAAUAAAGCCUCUUGAAGUGGAAUAUAUACUUGCCUCUUUCCAUAGCGACUUAGCCUUAACAAAGGAAAUCUAAAGGAAAUCUUUUCUCUAAAAUUUGUUACGUACUCAAACCCAUAAAACUGACUCUGAUGAAUUUAAGUAACAACAUCAGUAAACCAAUAAAAAAAAAAAAGGGGGAUUUGAAUUGUGACUCAUUCAAAAUUGUUUUGAGAGAUACUUGAGGAUGAGAAUCAAAAUAUUAUUCUAAGAUAUGUAUUACAAUGAACUAAGAUUGAAAACUAUAUGUAUGUAUAUGGUAUGCUUCUAAUUUAUCACGGAUCGUUUGACACAAAAGAUUUAUCCUAGUUCAUUCAAUGUGGGCUAGAUGGGUUUCCGCAAUAUGAGAUUCUCCACUUUGGUGUUUGAGAUAUCCUCCCAAAUAAUAGGAGGGGAGAUUGAAAUCCCCCGAUUCUCCAACAGAUCGACGUGGCUAGUAGCCUGGAAUCCCGGGUAGCUAGGACCUAGUCUACCCGUAUCUCCUCUGUUAGCGUGUGUGUUUCGAGAUAGGGCCCUGGAUAUGAACACGAAACUGUACAGGAAUAAGAAUCGCCCCACUUUCCCUCUUUGAAAGAGCAUAGCCCUGAGGCCAUUAUGUCAGGUUUAUAAGUCUCAAUUCUCAUUUUUUGUGUAUUCAAACAACAUAUUUUAAAAAACCAUUUACUUAUAUUGCCAAAUCAAUCUCACAAAGUUUAGAAGUUUCACCCGUGCGCUAUUGUAUGAAUCUUAUCUUAUAGUAUUAUAUUAUGAUUGUAUUGAUGAAAUUAUAAAAGUGUCUUUGAUAUAGAAUCAAGAACAAGACACUUUGAUAAAUAUCAUAUGUAACAAAGUGUCUUUAUUUAUCAAAGUGUCUUUAUUUAUCAUAUGUAAAUGUCAUGUUCUUGAUUCUCUAAGAUAAUCGUGAAAAGCAAAGAACAAAAAUGAAACGUUACUUGUUUGCAUAUUUUUCCACACAACCAACAGAAAGGAUGAAAAGUUUCUUGUUGCAUAUUUUUCUGCUUAUACAAAGCAUUGGCAGCUUCAUGUAAGCAGCUAUAUGCAGAAUCUAUUUCAUAAUUUGCAGAAAAGUCACUACCUUAAUGUAGAUCUUCUAAAAAAUAUCAGUUUUUACAUUGUUUUCGCGCAUUUUGCAAAACAAAUCAUAUGGAACACAGUUUCAACUUGACCGCAAGCAUCUGCAGCCAAGGAACAACAAACAGAUAACACUGAUAUAUUAUAGUUGGCAAAUCAUCAAUACACUUUUGAACAUCCAGAACAGCACAAGUUGAAGAUUGCGAAGGAGUGAGUUGUUAUUGAAAUGUUAGCAUUCCCCAAUAAAUGCCAAAAAUCAGUGUCUUCUUUUCUUUGUAUUUAUUAGUACUAGGAGAAGCUACCGUACCCUCAAUGGUUCAUCCAUUUCAGGUAUUCUUAAUACUGAUAUUUGAUAAAUCAACAUGUCGUAGAAGUGUGGCUACACAUGGCCCCAUUUUUCAAAGUAUACCAAAUAUUUAACUUAGUGUGUGCGUGUGUAGAGUAUGCGUGCGCAAGUGCGUGCGUGUAUGCGUGUGUGCGUGCAUGCGUGUGUAUUAUUUAUAAAAAAAAAGUUAGCACCAACUUCAUACUUUGCACCGUUAUACACCCAAAAUUUGUAAUUCACGGCUUGUGGCCGUCAAUCACUACUCCAAGUGGUUCUUAGCCAGAAGAUUGUGUCCGCGAAUCAGUAGACUUUUCCCAUGUAACUUUAUUUUGUUCAUUUCAUUGGUCAUUUAUCAUUAGUUUUAAAUGUUGACAUUUUGUUUUGUUAUUAGUUUGAUGCAAGAGUUUUCAGUCAACUUCGGACAGAGUGGCCGUCUUUAAAAUACAAUAAAGUUCAAGGUAUACGGAAUAUACUCUUUUGGACGGAGCAAUGGAAAAAGCACGGAACAAUUGCUCCUCAAUACUAAAUGCAGAGGAUUACUUUAAGCUCGCACUCGAUAUUCAUAAGCGUACAAUUCUAAAGGACAUCCUUCAAAAAAAGAGUAUUUUACGUGAUUAUACAAAGAUUCGCACGAGAAGAAAUUUUCUAUGCGAUUAAGGAAGCUAUUGAUGGCAAAAACCCAGAAAUUUUAUGUGUAGAAUAUACAAAUAAUUACUAUGUGAAAGAAAUAAGAAUGUGCUUGGACAAAACCAAAGAUCACAAAUACAUGGAUUGUCCUAGACCUUAUGUUGACUAUCCAACCAAGGUUGUCAGAAUCAGGAUUUUGCUUUAAAUCCAAAGAGGAUAGUAAGAUCAAAAAAUCAUAAAUCACAAUCAAAAUCGAAGGAUUCUACUCAAUUAAUUUUGUUGAAUCGAAAGGGGAAAUCAAGAUCGCAUAACCGAAAACCGCAAACCAAAAUCAAUGGAUUCUACUCAUAAUAGUAAAUGUAUAUAAAAUUAAAUUUAAGACUAUGUUUUCCUUCUUCUUCAUUGUGUUCUUCCUAAACAUGAUCAUGUAUCAUGUGUCAUGUCAUAUAAAUAAUAAUGUGUCAAAUCAUCAAAAUUAAAGGUUAAAUUAAGAGUGGGCCAACAAAUGUCUAAUUUUUUCAAAAUACAGGAAUAAAAUUGCACAAAAUAAAAUAGGGGGCCAAAAUUUUGCAUUUUGUAAAAUAGGGGAAAAUUGUUCAAAACAAAAAAUAGAAGGAUCGAAAUUUUCGGGGUUCAGUUCUGGCAUCAAAUGGUUACAGUCCCCUACCGAUCGCAGUUCUGGGGGAUCAAACCGUGGUCCUCCCUACCGAGUUCAGCGCCAAUCAUAUUAUAUUUAGAGAUAUAUGGAUACUAAGUUAGUAAAACUUUGAUGUUGAUAUAUUGACUUGGAAUCAAUCUUUACACCAUAUAUGGUUUCAACAAAUUAUCUUUAAUUUACUUUUGUUUGUAUAUUCAUAAAAAUUCAAACCCAAUUCUGAGGAUUGUUCUGUUUUUAAAUAACUUGCACUGCAAGUAAAGGUGCACAACUUCUGUAUGUGUUGCCAAAUUCAGAUAUUGAAACGAUUUUUACGAACCAUGUUUUUUGGGUUUCAGAGUCACAGUGUGGUAUUGGCAAAUUCACAUGUGGUGAACAAGAUUUAAGAGUAUUGUGAAUUCGUCUAAAAUCACACCAAUGAAACUUGAUGUUUGAAGCAAAAUGGAUUAAGAAACCAAUAAAGCAGUACGGCAAUUAAUCACAAGAAAAGAUAAACAACGAGAACAAGAGAAAGAACACAAGAAAAUUGUUUACCCAGUUUGGUCCUAAAUUGACCUACUCUAGAGGAGAGAGUAUCUCUCCGUUCUACUAUCGAAUAAAGUACUUUAUUACAAGAAAUUCCAAAGAGGUAGAAGAAUCAGUUUUAAUCCUAAUUAUACAUUUUCCCGAAUCUCUUCCCGUGGUCAAGAGACUCAAUUUAAUAGUUUUUCUAUGCAUAAUACAAUCCGUAUAUAUAGAAAAAUAAAACCCUUAAAAUCUAUGCAUAAUAGUCAUCACAAGUCUAAUGUUUUGAUGGUAACAAACGUAUUGAAAAAGAAUAUGCUUAUAGUCAUUACAAGUCAAUGAAUGCAGAGGAUUACUUAAGCCUGCACUCAAAAUUUGGAUUUCACAACUAAGCUUGCUGGUAUUGUAUUUCCAAAAGAAAGAUAUUAGUAUAUAUAUAUAUAUAUAUCUGCAUACUAAAUUACUAAAAUUAUGUAUAGCUGCUGCUGCCAUGCAUGUUUUGUAAUAAACUAACAAGUCUAAUCUUAAAGAUUCUAAACAGAAUAUAACUUAAAAAAAAAAUGAUCAAACCACUUAACUAUAGGUAUGAAUAAACUAGCAGACAAUAAACCAUCAUAGGUAAAACUAAGCUAAUAAUUUACUCCUCCCAUUGGAAGAACACUACUUUUAUACAUUAAUAUUUGACAAUAAUAAUCCUCUCCUUUAAUGCACAGAUCCUCCAUUAAUUGGGUACGUAGAUUAUACCAAACAAUGUUUCCGUCUUUUUUCCUGAAAAACAUAUCGCCAUUAUUCCCUGCUCCAAUAAUUUCUUUAAUAUUGCAACAAAAUGGUCCAAUACUAUAGAGUUUAAUCCAUGAUUCUUUUGCACCGACUUCGCCUAAAAUUGAUAUGUCAAAAAUAGUUGUAUCUGAAAUCCAUGAGAUAAAAGCAAUGGUUCCAUUUAACCCGGUGAUGAUCUUCCUUGAAUUUAUGUUUAAGAGUAUGGGUGUUGUAAUUAACACUUCAUUGACAAAGACAAAUGAUGCCAAGUCUAAUCCUUCAUCUUCAGUCGGACUUAAAUUCCACCAAUGACACAUUUCAUUGAUGUGCACACGUUUUCCAUGAAAACCUAAGAUAAACCAAUGCAAAUAAGGGUCAAUGGAAUCAAGUUUUUUCCAAGUGUUACUUUUAACGCUAUAUAUCUCCCAUAAGUUGUCGUAUGAUAAAUCACUUAUUAUAUAUGGAAUACCAAUUUCUUGACAUUCUUGCGAACUUAGUGUAUCAUAACUUACAUACCUAAUCAACUUAUAAUCAUCUCUAACUUUGUCAUAACCAUAUCCAGCAGGAUAAACCUUAGUUCUUAGAUAAGGUGUUUCCAAAUGAUGAGGGCUUGGAGGAAUGAUUUUGAAUUCCUCGGUUGUUGGGUUCCAAAAUACAGUUCUUCCAUCAUCUAAUUUGUAGAGACUAAGAACUCCAGUGAUACUACCAGAAUCCAUAACAUAAAAAUAAGGGUCCUCCUCUUGAAAUGGGUUUGGCCAAUUUAAUUUGACAAUAUUCUCAAAAUUAUCACCAGAAAGAGAAUAAAAAUCUCUAUCGGUACACUGUAACAUAAGAAAUGUAUCAUCAUAGUUAGAAUGAUGAUAACAUAUGAAAUUGUUGCGAAAUAUGUUCAUGAAAUGAUUAUCAUCAAAUAAAAGAUUCCAUGAUCUACAUACGCAUCCAAAUCUCUUCAAGGAUUUUAGAGGCAAUUUUGAUAAAAUGCAUAACGCAAGAUCAUCAGAUAUGUAGUUUCUAACCUUUUCACAUGAUGUGCUCCAACCUUUCUCCAUCUCUGAUUCAAAAUGUAGAUCUCCGAGCAAGAGAGGUUUAGUUUUCAAAGCAAGUGGUACUGGAGUUGGCAAAUAUAUAGCAUACUCACAAUCAAAUAUUUUUUAUCCAAAUAAACAACUAAAACGAUACUUAACCUAGAAAAAAAUACCAAAAUUGCUCAUUUUUCAAAAUAGGGGUAUCAAAAUUGAGCAAAACAAAAUAGGAAUGACAAAAAUUGCUUAUUUUGUAAAGUAAUAUAACCAAAACUGCAUUUAAGAUUAAAGAUUAUAACGAACAUUUUAUUUAAAAGAACAUUUUAUUUAAAUAUUCUUUUAUUCUAAUAAAUUGGAGACUUAAUUGAGAAGUAACUUCAAAUAAUGUCAUUCCCCGAUAUCUUUGUUUUUUCUUUUUAUAAACACAUUUCGAUAUAUUAGUUUUCUUAAAGGCAAAUGCUAACAUGUGCCCCAAGAGCAUAUUUUAAGGUACAUUUAAUUAACUAAUAUCCCAUUUAAUUUACUUCAAAAAUAGUAAUAAUUAACUUUAUUAAUUAAAAGACAUAGUCCACUAUAUUUAUUAUCUAUUUAAGAGAAUUGGAAAGACAAAAUAUGAUAUCUGUCAAAUUUGAUUUAUGAUCAGGAGAUUGGUAAUACGACCAUAAUUAUAUGCAUCCAAUUUUUUUUGGUUUGUUAACAAUCAGACUUACAGUACUCCUGGUAAUACUUGAUUUAUGCCAACUUGUGAUUUUUAUUUUUUUUCGGUGAACAAGACUGAUUAUUAUAGUAUUAUGUUGUAAUGGUAACGAUUGUUAGUACUAUUUUAACUUUUGAAUUGCUAAUAUGUUUUAGAAUUUUAUAAUACUUACUAUAAUUUAAUUUUUUUUUUCAUCUUAAAAAAAAGUUUGAAAGAAAAAAGCUUUGUAGCAAAAAAAAUUGACCAAUCGCGUGAUCAUAGAUCAAGUAUUUGGCAAAUAUCAUAUUUUGCCUUUGCAAUUUUUUAAAAUUGGUAAUAAAUAUAGUGAACCAUAUCUUUUAAUUAAUAAAGUUGAUUAUUGUUAUUUUUAAAGUAAAUUAAAUGAGAUAUUGGUUAAUUAAAUGCACCUUAAAAUGUGCCCUUAGGGCACAUGUUUUUUUUUUUUUAUAAGCCCUUAGGCUUAUGCUAAUAUAUUUACANNNNNNNNNNNNNNNNNNAAAAAAAAAAAAAAAAAAAUAUGAAACGUAACUAUACAAAUGAAAAAUAGUUAAAGACAAUUAAUUACAAUGAUUUCUAUUGAAUGAAAAUAUAUCCUAUUAAUAACAAAUUAUUCCAUUUUAUUUGCUUGUUGACUCAUGUACAGCUGCUUGUGAUAACAAUAUAUGCUGAAAUCAAGAAUCAAGUUAUUUGAUGUUACUUAUCUAUUAAGUUUGCACUUUAUAAUCUUUUUUUUGUGUGAAAAAGAAAUGAUUGUUUUUUGCACUUUAUAAUCUAUUUAUUUGGAUAAAGAAUAUCUUAUAUGGUGAGCACCAAUUAACUUGCUCAGAUCACAAAACCUCUCUUGCUCGGAGAUUUACAUUUUGAAUCAGAGAUGGAGAAAGGUUGGAGCACAACAUGUGAAAAGGUUAGAAACUACAUACCUGAUGAUCUUGCAUUAUCCAUUUUAUCAAAAUUGCCUCUAAAAUCUUUGAAGCGAUUUGGAUGUGUACGUAAAUCAUGGAAUCUUUUGUUUGAGAAUAAUCAUUUCAUGAACAUCUUUCGCAACAAUUUCAUAUCUUAUCAUCAUUCUUGCUACGAUGAUACAUUUCUUAUGCUACAGUCUACCGAUAGAGAUUUUUAUUCCCUUUCUGGCGAUGAUUUUGAGAAUAUUGUCAAAUUAAAUUGGCCAAACCCAUUUCAUGAGGAGGACCCUUAUUUUUAUGUUUUGGAUUGUGGUAGUAUCACUGGAAUUCUUUGUCUCUACAAAUUAUAUUGCGGAAGAACUGUAUUCUGGAACCCGACAACCAAGGAAUUCAAGAUCAUUCCUCCAAGCCCUUUUCAUCUGGCAUCACCUUAUAUAAAUAUUUAUGAUAUUAAUGUUUAUCUUGUUGGAUUUGGUUAUGACAAAGUUAGAGAUGAUUAUAAGUUGAUUAGGUAUGUAAGUUAUCUUCCACAUAUACGUGAUUUAUCAUACGACGACUUAUGGGAGAUAUAUAGCCUUAAAAGUAACACAUGGAAAAAACUUGAUUCCAUUGACCCUCAUUUGCAUCAGUUUAUCUUGGGUUUUAAUGGAAAUGGAAAACGUGUUUACAUCAAUGGAAUGUGUCAUUGGUGGAAUUUAAGUCCGUCUGAUGAUGGAGGAGUAGACUUGGUAUCAUUUGACUUUGACAAUGAAGUGUUAAUUACAACACCCAUACCCUUAAAAUUAAAUUCAAGGAAUAUAUACAUCACCGGGUUAAAUGGAUCCAUUGCUUCUAUCUCAUGUAUUUGGGAUACAACUAUUUUUGACAUAUCAAUUUUGGGCGAAGUCGGUGCAAAAGAGUCAUGGAUUAAACUCUAUAGUAUUGGACCAUUUUGUUGCAAUAUUAAAGAAACUAUUGGAGUAGGGAAUAAUGGCGAUAUAUUUUUCAGGAAAAAAGACGGAAACAUUGUUUGGUAUAAUCUACGUACCCAAAAGAUGGAGGAGCUGUGCAUUGAAGGAGAGGAUUAUAGUCAUAUAUUAAUUUAUAAAAAUAGUGUUCUUCCAAUGGGAGGAGUAAAUUAUUAGCUUAGUUUUUACCUAUGAUUGUAUGAAGUGUGCUUGUUUAUUCAUACCUAUAGUUAAGUGGUUUGAUCAUAAAUUCAAGUUAUAUUCUGUUUAGAAAUCUCUAUAAGAUUAGACUUGUUAGCUUAUUACACAUAAUUUCUUUGAUGAACAUAAAAAUUUCAGUAAUUUAGUAUCUAUAAAUCUCUAAGUGUAAUAUCAUUGUUUUGAAAUACAAUACCAGCAAGCUUAAUUAGUGGUGAAAUCCAAAUUUUGAGUGCAGGCCGGCUUAAGUAAUCGUCUGCAUUCACUGAGGAGCAAGUUCCACGGUUGCUUCCUCGACAAGUUAAAAUCCUCGUCAUUUUAAANNNNNNNNNNNNNGCCACUCUAUUUGAAGUAUAUGCAGGGAUGAACUCAUAUGAUGAUGCCAUGCCACGCCAUUAUAUACAUGAGAAACUCUAAUGAGCUUGCUUUUAUGUCACUCCCCUCUGAUUCAGAUGUUGUGCGUUAGGACCUAAGUUUUGACCUAAAUUUUGUUUCUUAUUUCAAUUCACAUCUUUACUUUGUCUUUUAUUUUAAUUUUUUUCUUAACAAAACCAAAUCAAUUCACUCAUCAUCAAAUUACUACUUUUCGGUAAUCAAACUUAAUACAUAUAGAAUCAUAUAUCUCACAUCUUCACUCGUCUUUGUGGAUCAAUACUCUCUUUAUUAUAACGAUAUUCUCCUGCAAUUGCAAGGCUAUCAUUUGUACACAUCACCUCUUUUACAACCCAACACAAAAAAUUGUUUUCUAUCUGAAUCGCUAUCGGAUUUUUCUAUUUCAACAAUAAAUUUUAACUUUUCAACUUCACAACGGACUCAACUAAUCAAUUCAUCUCGAUCCUUAUAUUUUUUAGGGGAAUGCUUCAUUUUACGAAUCACCACUUAAUGAAAUGCAAGAAUGAAUCACUACCAUUGAAUUUAUCUCCAGCCAGUCCAUGAUUUCUGCCACAUCCCACCGUCAUAUGUUUUUAUUUUUGUUUUUUCGUUUCUCAAGUGUAAUUCUUGUGUUUCUUGUAUCUAUUCAUAGUAAAAAAUAGCAUAUAUGUGUCAAAGUGACUACUUGUAUCAACAACAGGUCAACAACUAAGACCUCCGAUUCAGCAUUUAUCGGUUUCAAAUCAUUGGAAGGUGUACCAAUUUUGGAUUUAACAAUAUCCUAUUGCAAUUCAUAGGAGGGUUUGGAUUCAUCACCCAUAACUACACAUAAAUGAACAAUACCUUAUAAAUAAUAUGCAAUAAAUACAAAACCUGCAGAAAAUUGCGGGUCUGAAUGACAAAAAUAAAAAUUUAAGGAAAAACCAAGUUGAACUUGCAUGAAAUCUCUUCCAUAUGACAAACUUUAUCUCUUUAUUACUCCAAAUGACAUCCAGAAAGCAUCAAGCUUGUUACCAACCAGGUAGGCUCAUUUCCCACAUCAGUGCUAUGUCAAGGAUUGUGAAGCACUACCCUUGCCAUUCCAAGUACUACCAAAACAGAAUAGACAUGCAUCGUCCAUGAUCCUGAAAUACAAUAAAAAUAGGAGCAUCAGUGAUUUAAAGCAUCCUUCCUCCCAUGGAGUUGGGAAUUCAUGGCUGCAUUCAAGAUAUCAAUGCCGGCUUACCAGUUCACAGGAAAACAACUAAUUCUACAGAUACUCAAAUAAUCAAUGCCCUUAUGUCAGAGACUUAUCCCCUGAUUAUAGCUGCAGCAGCUGCGUCCGAUAUCUCACGUUCCAAAGUGACACUGUCGUAAGUUUUACGAAGCUCCAAUUAUUUGCCAUGGUUGAACCGACAAUGAUACUGAAGACCAAAAAACCAGGUACAAAUUAAACAUAAAUUUCAACAACAUACAUAAAUACUAGAAAAUAGAAAAAUACACAAAAUUAAAGGGACUUUCAUACUUAAUCAUUAUACUAAUAUUGUCAUUGACCAUCAAAAUAGGUUUUAAAUAAAGACUAAAUAGGUUUUAAAUAAAGAAGAAUCAACGUACGUGAUAUGAGAACUUAGGCACCAAAAGCGGUGCAGAAAAGCCCAAAAUACCCCCAAGUUUAUGAUUUAUUUCAAAAAAUUGGGAUUUUCAUCAAUUUUUCCCCCCCAAAAGGCAAAAGUGGCCAAAUAGCGCUAUGGAUCCGCUAAGAAAACGCUAUUCACCUGCAUAUAGCGGCCGCAAUUUCCGCUUCUCUAAAUAGCGGAAAGCGGGCCUAUAGCAUAGCGGGGAGGGGGUCUGCCGCUACGCUAUCCCACUAUAGCGCGCUAUAGCGCCGCUAUUAACAUCAUAGUCUAAAACAGAAGACUUUGGUUCAUGGUUAGAGAACUGUGCUUGAAUUCUUGGUUCGGUUCUCGAACUUAUAUAUUGGUGCAGUUAGUUUAGGUUCUGUGCAGUUUGGCAGAUUCAGUUUGGUUCGUAGUUAAUUUUUUUUUAACAGACUUAUCUGUAGACCUUUCCCAUAACCAAAGCCUUACAAGAAAGGAGGAUUAUUUCAUAGAUCUAAUCAUAUUCCUGAACUUUAUUUCGGAAAAAAGAGAAAUUGAAGAAAAUUGUGGAAAUAUGAAGAAAAUUGUGGAAAUAUGCUAAUGUAGGUUACCAUUUAAUUUCACAAAGAAAAAGUUUCUCCCAAUAUACAGUAAAUUUUUAUAACAAAGUUUAAGAUUCAAUAAUUCCAUCAGACAACCAGCUCUCUUGUGAAUCACCGACCUUUUAAGCCCGCCAAUUCCCAUCCUACCUUUUUUCAAAUAUUUUUGUCAAUGUAAAUCCUCGUAAUAAUCUUACUACAUUUUAGCAGUACUAAUGAAUAUUUUAUACUAGGAAAUUCCGGUGAGCAAAUAUUCCAUAUUUCAGUUACUUCUAUUUCUUUCAGGAAUAAUUCAAAAUACUCUAAAACUAAUAUGCUUCCAAGUGAACAAGAAAGUCAACUAAAACAGCACAAUAAAAAACGAGGAAUAUAGAACAAAUUUGACAUAAGAACAAAAUUCAAAUUUAGUCGACAAACAAACUCUAAAAAUAAUAAAAUAAGAUACAGCAUGCUAACCUGCAUAUCUCAACAACAGCAGAAUAUUGAGGAAUUUGGCAAUUCUAAUUCCCUUGCUCAAGCGAAAACGUGGAAGCAAUGUCUAACAACCACUGAUUUCAGUAGCACUUCAAUAAAGAGAAUGCCGCGUAUCUGAAUUUGUACUUUGAUGAUAAGAUUUUUUAAGCAAAGUGCUCUGAUUCUUAAAAAGAGUUUCUUUAACGCGUGAAGCCUCAUUAGGCAUCCCAGACUUCAAAAGACAUGAACUUAAAGUUCUAAUAGUAAUGUCGUCUGGGCAACAACCAGUAGCCAACAUUUUAUAAAAGAUACGAAUUGCUUCGGGCGCUCUUCCUUUCAUACAAUGACCAAUAAUAAGGAUAGUAAAUGUCAGUUUAUCCGGUUUGCAUUUCUCCUCCAUAUCUAGCACAAUUGCAUUAGCCUCAUCAACGUUCCCGGAUUUGCAAUAUCCAUCAAUGACAGGAUUGUAGACAAAGGGCUGCGGAACAAUGUCACUCUGAUUCAAUAGUCUCAGAAGCUCGUGAGCUUCUUGUAGUCUAUUACUCUUACAAAGAGCAUUGAUAAGAAUAGAAAAAGUAUACAAACUUGCAGAAACAUUUCUUGUAUUCAUUUCAUACCAAAGGUCCAAACCAUAGUCCACCUGUCCGGCUCUGCAAUAUCCAUUUAUCAACGAAGUGAACGUAAAGACAUCAGGACAACAACCAUGCAAGAGCAUCUUCUUAUGCAUACCUAAUGCAGAAGCCACAUCACCAGCCUUAACAAAUCCGUCAAUAAGUGCAUUAAAAGUAGCCGAACUAGGCCUAAUUCCGAACCUAACCAUUUCAUCAAAAAGAAACAAAGCCUCGUUCAUCUUCCCCACUUUGCAAUAACCCGAUAUCACUGUCGUAUAACUCACAUCAUUAAGUUUAGGACCAAACUCACUUCCUAAACCAACCUCUUUAAGUAACUCUCGUCCUCUAUCAACCUCAUUAAUUCUACAUAAGCCAUGUAUAAGAGUAUUAUAAGUAACAACAUCAGGGUAACAACCAAAACUUCUCAUAUCAUUCAAAAACCUAAACGCUUCAUCGAUUUCCCCAGCAACACAAAAACCUUGAAUCAAUAUAUUGAACGUAAACCUAUCAACAUUCAAAUUCAAUCUCACAAUCUCCUUAAACAAACAAACAGCAUCAUCUAACCUAUUACAUUUAACCAAAAUGUUGAAAAAUUUAUUAUAAACAACAACAUUAACAUCAACAUUAUUACACAAAGCAUCAUAAAUAAACUCUUUAGAAACAUCAAACCUAUCAGCAAAUGCAAAACAACAAACUAAAACCCCUAACAAUCUACUAUCAGGCAAUAACCCAUCAGACUUCAUACAAUCAUAAACAAAUUUCGCCGAAUGGUGUCGUCGGUCUUUACAAAGAGACCUUAAAAGAAUAUUGUAAGUCCAAAAGGAAUAUGAAAAAUUGAAUUUUUGUUUAGUAAAUUGAAAAAAAUUGAAACCUAAUUGGGGAUUGUUGAGUUUUUGAAUAACUUGUAAUGCAAGUAAAGGAGUUAAGUGAUGAGUAAUGUAAUUAGAGAAUUUAUCGUUGAAUGGAUUUGUGAAUCGAAGAAAGAGAGUUGAAACGAUUUUGACGAACCAUGGUUCGGGAUUGUUGGGUUUGAGAGUGUGGUAAUGGGAAAUUCGGAGAGUGGUGAAGAAGGGAGAGAAAUUCAUGUGAGAAUUUUGGGAGGAAAACGGUGUCGUUUCAUCUGGAGAAUUGCAGGAAGGAGGGUUUUGGGAGGAGAAGGAAGGAGUGAGUAGCGAGUAAUUGGGAUUUUCUUUUUGGAGAAGAAAUGGUUUUAUACGUUAGAUGAAGGACAUGUGGCAUUUUGAAAUAAUCAACGACUCAGAUUUGAUAAUCACUUAAAAGAUAUUUUAAGAGUUUCUGGGUUUUGUGUUACAGUAUUACUCCAUCCGUCCCAAAAUAUAAAACUUUGUUGAUUUUUGCACGUACAUCAAUACAUAAGUUUGAUUACGAAUAUUUUUAAUUGUGUAUUAGUAAAAAUUAUAAAAAUUUAAUAUUUUGAAAAUAUUCAUCGAAAUAAAUCAAACAAUAUUUUAUAUGAUAAUAUUUACAUUUAUAUACUUUUAGAAAAAUCAUGUCAAAACAAGACAUGAAUAUUACAUUUAGUCAAAGUAUGUCUUAUAAAAUGGGACGGAGGGAGUAUAUUAUAAAUUCAAUUUUAACAAUUUAUUUUUACUCAAUUUAAAUUUUUACAAUCCUAAUUUAAAAUUUAAAAUUUGGAAUUUCAGCCUUCCUAUAUUAUGAAUAAAUUUGGAUUUUAAUUCCUCUAUUUUAAAAUUCAGAAUUUUAUGUACCAAAAAAAAAAUUCAGAAUUUUAACUCCCUAUUUUGACUGGAUUUGGAUUUUAACUCCCUAAUUAUUUUAAAAAUGAGUUUAAAGUACAUGUAAUGUCAGUGUAAAGUGUAAACUAAUUUUACACUGACAACCAAUAAAAAUCAUUCAACGUUUCAUUCAUAUUAAGAAAAUGAGUUUAAGUGGGGUACAUAUUCUUUUUUCUCUUUGAAAAUAUGCCAUAAUAUAAAAAAUACCAUUAAAUAAAAUAUAAAAAUAAGUAAAUCCCAAUAAAAUAAAUUUUUCAAGACUUUAACUAUAUUAUCCACCUAAUUACUUAUCAUUAUUUAUAUUUUACAAUGGAAAUAUUUCAAAUGAGAAUAAAUACCAAAAACUUUCCUAAUUUGAAAAAUAGGGAAAUUAUAUAACGAUUUUAGAUUUUUAUAAAAUUUAACAUAGAUGAUCUAGACGAUAUAAGCUUUCAAUCCAACGGUGAAUUUUGUAAAAUUUGUAUUCGUUAAAGCGUUAUUGAGCGGUGUAACAUUACUCAAAUGUUACACCGGUGUAAUUUGAUCCCUCCCUAUAUAUAUAUAUAUAUAGGAAAACAAAAAUACAAUUAUUUUUGUCAUCUAUUUUACCAUUUUAUUGAAGGAAAAAAUAUUUUAAUCAAAUUAUUUUAAUUUAAAAACAUAUAUUGUUUAUUUGAAUUUAAAAACAUAUAUUUUAAUCAAAUUAUUUUAUUUAAAAACACAAUUACACCCCGUACCGGUACACUAGUCUCCCUCCAUGCAUCAGACACUCUAAUAUCUUUCAUUUUAAUGCCUUCUAAGUUGCUUUCUAAGACCUUAUGAAUAUGCUUUAGUUUUGAAUUUUUUAAGGAUUUGAGCUUUGAACUAUAUGUUACAUGAAUGUUUGCAGGCUGUUCGAAAGAUUUUCUAUUUAUUUAUUGAAUAUAGAAAGUAACAUAAUGUAUACUUCCAAACAGAUAAACUCACAAGGAAAAGCUAAACUACAUGUAAUUUAAUAAGGUUACUUAAUAUUUAAGCUUCUAUAUAGUUCUGUGUAUGUUUGGUAUCACGAUAGUAAAUAUAUGCUAGAAUCACGAUGAUACAAAAACUACAAAAUGUAGCUUUUAGAAAAUCAUGAUGGGGUCACCGUGAUUCUGACAUAUUCACCGUGUUAGGAGGAAAAAAUAAAAUCAAGUUUCCUUUGUUAGGAGGGGAUCAGAAACAGUCAAAUGUUGGUUUCUUCAUCUUUUAUUUUUUUAUUUUGAAGAAGCUAAAUUAACCCACCUAAAUUGGCGCCAGAGAGAAUCGAACUUCAGACCUCAAGAGGAGCACACUCCCAGGUCUCAAGUCAAUACCAAUGCACCAACCCAAGUGGGUUUUUCUUCAUCUUUUAUUAAUAUUAUAAUUUACUUGGAAACAAAUAAAAUAAUAAAAAAUAGGCAUAAAAGACAAUGUUUUGAUUGUGACCAAGGUUUUCACCAUUGACAUAUAAUUAUCAGUUCACAGCCAGAAAAUGAGAGAAACUUCAAAGGAAAACAUGUCUCAAGUUGGGUUGUUAAUAUUACUAGUUUAUAGCUUGUUAUUUGCAAUAAUAUCUGUAAAGGGCAAUAAUGUUUUAGCUAUUGAAUGCUUAGCUUCUGAUCAUGAAGCUCUACUAGACUUUAAAAUUGGCCUUAAGGAUUCUCGCAACCGUCUCUCGUCAUGGAGAAGCAGCGACUGUUGUCAAUGGCACGGAAUAUAUUGCGAUAACAUUACAGGUGCGGUUGUUGCAAUCGAUCUCCGUAACCCGCAUCCAGUGUCAUUUGAUGAUCCUCCUAGAAAGUAUGAAAUGUGGAACCUAAGUGGUGAGCUAAGACCAUCUUUGCUGAAACUCAAGUCACUAAGACAUUUAGACUUGAGCUUCAACACAUUCAAGAGAAUACCAAUUCCUAAGUUUUUAGGAUCAUUGGUGAAUUUGCAAUAUCUGAACCUGUCGAAUGCUGGCUUUGCUGGUUUAAUUCCACCCCAUUUGGGAAAUCUUUCUCACCUGCAAUAUCUUGAUCUCAAUUCCUUUAGCUUGCAUGUUGAAAAUCUACAAUGGUUGACUGACCUUGUCUCUUUGAAACAUCUUGCCAUGGAUGGAGUUGACCUUUCAUCGGUAGCGAGAACAGAUUGGGUUAGUACAAUAAACCAGCUACCUUCUUUAAUGAAUUUGCAUCUAUCUUUCUGCCAACUUUUUGGUCAUAUUUCAACUCCUUCAUCUCUCAAUUUUACUUCACUUGCUGUUUUAGAUCUUAGUUCAAAUAAAUUUGUUUCAAAGAUACCUGAUUGGCUUGUUAAUAUUAGUACCAUACAACAUAUUGACAUAAGCACUAAUGCUUUGUAUGGGAAAAUACCACUUGGUUUAAGAAACUUGCCAAAGCUAAAUUAUUUGAAUUUAGCAGAGAACGACAAUCUCACAGCAAGGUGUUCUCAACUCUUCAUGAAAGGGUGGGGAAAGAUACAAAAGCUUGAUUUGUCGAUUAAUAAAUUACAUGGGAGACUUCCUUCAUCCAUUGGAAACUUGACUUCACUCACUUACCUUGACCUCAGUCAUAAUGCAAUUGAAGGCGGUAUUCCUAGUUCCAUUGGUAAACUCUGCAGGUUGAAAUUUUUUGAUUUAUCAGAAAAUAAUAUGACAGGAACUCUACCUGAGUUUCGUCGAGGAAUAGAUGAAUGUCCUUCUAGAAAACCUCUUCCUAAAUUGGCGUAUUUUAUCAUGAACAACAACCAGCUUCAUGGUAAAAUCCCAGAUUGGUUAGUUCAGCUAGAUAAUCUAGUUGCUAUCAGUCUUGCAAAUAAUUUGCUUGAAGGUCCUAUUCCUAUAUCCAUAGGGUUGCUGCAAAAUCUCGCAUUCUUGAUACUUAGAGGGAAUAAAUUGAAUGGUACUCUACCGGAUAGUUUAGGAAAACUUUCUAAGUUGUCAAACUUAGAUGUUUCUUUUAAUCAGUUGACAGGCAUGGUAACUGAAUACCAUUUUUUAAUGCUGAUAAAAUUGGAGAUGGUAGCGUUGUCUUCCAAUUCUUUAACUCUGAAUGUCAGUGACAAUUGGAUACCACCAUUCCAAAUAUCGUUUCUUCUUAUGGGUUCAUGUGUUUUGGGGCCUACUUUUCCACCU
rnacentral:lncRNA from 1 species